AUAGCUUCUCCAAAAUGACUUGCGAGGGUGGGUUCGUAAACUACUCUAAUGAAUGAUGCCACAUACGCUGCUCUAACAUGUUCAUCGCAGUAUACUUGGGAAUGGGAUUGUAACUGGUAAUCAUCAUCAAUGGAGAAGCCAGCAUCAUGACGGAGCUUAAAAGUCUCCAGGUACAAAAUUUCAAAAGAACCUUCCUCCUCAAUUAUGUACCUUAUUUCUUCUACUGAAGAAGUAUAGUUUGGAAGAUUGAAACUAUCCAUUCUUUCUUCCUCCUGAUGUCCCUGCAGAUAUGCCAAUCAUCAAUUCAAUUCAAAUUAUUUGAAGCGCGAGACUUGGAAAUUAGCCAAUUUGUUAAAACGUCAAGUCUAGCGUAAAAUGCACAGUUUUUUUUCCCUUAAUUUCAAUAUGAAUAUAUUAUUACUUGUGUUUUUAGUUCAUACUUCAUAUAGAAAAGUUGCCAAAAAAUUAAAUAAUGAACGAUUUCUUCCUUUCCAAUACUUUUUUUUUUACCAAAAAGGGAAAAAAAUACCUGACAAAUUAAAUCCCACUAUAUUUCUAACUUUCAACAAAUUAAUUUGGUGGAGGCUAGACGAAACUCAAGGAAAGAAUUAUCUUAAAUGUAUUGAAGUUGUGUGAUAACAAGCAUCUAGAGAUGACAAUGAAAACAGAUGUAAUAGGGUGGGGAAGUGGCUAAUAGGGUGGGACGAGGUGGAGGACAUUUUUCUCCUCCUGUUUUAAAUGAGGUGGGGGACGGGAAGGAUACCCCCUACCUAUCUGCCACCCCAUCCCCUACUACUAAAAUAAAGUUUUAAAAAAUAAAUAUUUGUAUAUAGUUUUACACAUAUAUACAUAUACACAUUAUAAUUACAUAUCAAUUAUUUAUAUAUGCGCGCGCGCGCGCGUGCAUGUGUAUUAUAAAUUAAGAAUAAAAAAAAUCAUAAUUUAUAUGAUAAAAUAAUGAUAUGGCUAUCUUCAAUUUCCUUAAAAUUUUUUACAUAUUGUAAGUAAUUUACCUAAAAAUAGGAAACAAAUAUGAUGGUUAUAAGUUUAGAUUUGCCAUUAAAAGUAAAGAGAUGAAUUAAAAAGAUCAAAAUAAUUUUUAAUCUCGAUUUCACAUUGAAUAUUUUACUAAGAAUCUAUAAAAGAGUGAUUUAUAAGGUUUUGAUAUUAUAUAUGUAGACAAAUAAUGUCAAAAUAAAAAAUAUAAUUAGCCAACUGGGAGGACACCCAUGGGGAUGUGGGACCGGGCAGGGGGCGAGGUGGGAGGAGAUUUUAGAACACCGGGCAGGGGCGCCCCUUGCCCCCCCCCCCUCCCCCCCUCCAAAAAAAAAUUGCCAUCCCUUAGUGAAGCAUCUGAUAAUCAUCAAAGAGACAGAGAGAUUAAGAUCUCGACAACCAAGUCCAUUAAUGCCAUGUCAAGUAAGUCAAAGAUAUUCGGGCCGUCGAAUUCAUCUCCUUCACACAUGAAAGUAAGGAGUAUUCGGCCAUGUGAAACCAACUCUUCCGAAUGCAUCCUUAGAAAUGUGGUAAAAUCUUUCAUAAAUUGGUCCAAAUAUGCCUUUUGGGCGGGCGGACAGCUUGCUUUGGAAGAGUGAAUGCUCCCUUUAUUCACACUGAUCCCCGAUUCAGUCACCAAACCACUGGGAACCUGCACGUCUAAAGCUGGUAACUUAUAUUGUUGGAGCAUUUUGUUAGCGUUGCAUGUGGGAAUAUAAAUCAUGAGCCGCGAAUUUUUAUUUUUUUUUAAUAAAAAUGUUGUUGGUUUCUUCAGAAAUCUCUUUCUUGGAUUCUUGUGGAUACCUUGAGAUUGAAUGAAAAUCAUGAACGAUUUUUGCUACAAGAGAAAGGAAAAGGAUAAAAGGGAUUAAUUCAAAGACCUGAGAUAACCAGUGAAGACUGUAAGAAGGGUGUAAAAAAUGCAUGGACUCCUCGGGGAAGAGUCUGCCGUAGAAAGAGCCAGGCAUUGUGGCUAUCAGGCACGAUCCUAUUUUGCGUCCGUUUUCUUUCUCAAGUUUGCGGUAGAAGCUUGGCAGCGACUUGAAAACCGAAUUGAAAUCAUUUUGGAAAAGAUCAUUCAGAAAAAUCUGAAUGGUGGGAGGUUCGAAUGCAUUCUUCUUUUCCUGGCCAACUUUGUCGACACUUUGUAUAAUGUUCCAAACUGUUAAAACUGUGUUUGGGCCAGAAGCGCAUCCCAAAUCCGCAACUUUAAGGCACUUGUUGAUGUUGGGUAAGUUGGCCCGCAACAAUUCUCGUAAGCAUUGUUCAAGGGCAGGUUUCACCUUGGUGAGAACCGAAUUCUAGAUACACCACUCCAAAAAACAAAUGUUAAGGAGGAAAAAAAGAUAUACUAUUUUAGAGAUCAACGUGUCAUAGCAUGAGUUAGUACUACUCUGUGUGUGUGUGUGUGUGUGUUAAAGAGAUAGAGACAGAGAGACAGACAGAUUUGGUAGGGUGAAUUCUUUGCGUAGCUUGUGUCGCCUUCACCUCCAUUCAUAUGCAGUACUUAACCGAAUCGCAAUGACGGAGCAGGAUUUUUUCUUUUUGGGGGGGGGGGGGGAAUUUUUUUCGAACAAAAUUACCUUAAUUUUCAAAAUAAUUUCAUUUAUUUAAAUAUAUGACAUCUUAUAAUAUCAAAUAUUAACUUUAAUUAUAAAGAUAUGUCUAUUUCAUAAAUAUGUAACAGAGUCAUAACUAAAAUUAAGACAAGAAAUAAUCUUUGAUUAAAUGUCUUAUAACAUCACAAACCACUCAUUAUGAGAAGAUGCUCCAAUAUGUCACUUGUACAAAAAAAGAAAAUAUAACUAUUUUCAAUUAAAAAAAGAUAAAAGUUAUGUUAGCAUACCUUAAAAUUUCAUCCUCUUUUAUUAAAAGUAAAUUGAGAUUUACGUUCUUUUAUAGAACUAAAUUCAUGUAUAAUUGAAUCAAUGCUAAAUUUUCGAACAACUUUCUUUUUUAUGUACAUUGUUAGGCAAUCAUUCAAGAAAUUAUCUUUUAUCUUGUAUUGGAGAUUUGUUUUGAUUAUCUUCAUAAUUGAAAAUGUCUAUUCUAUAGACUAUAGAACGGAGCCAGGAUUUUUUCCUUGGGAGGGGGGCCAAAAUUUUUCUAAACAAAAUUAUCUUAAUAUGUUAUAUUCAAAAUAAUUUUCAUCUAUUUAAAUAUAUGACAUCUUAAAAUAUCAAAUUUUAAUUUUAAUUAUAAAGGUAUGUCUAUUUCAUAAAUAUGCAGCAUAGUCAUAACAAAAAUCAGGAUAAGAAAUAACUUUUUAUUAAAUAUCUUAUAACAUCACAAAUUACCCAAAUUGUACAUUAUGAGAAAAUGCUCCAAUUUGUCACUUGUGCAAAAAUAAAAAUAUAACUAUGCAAUAUAAAUAUAACUAUUUUCAAUUAAUAAAAGAUAAAAGUUAUGUUAGCAUACCUUGAAUUUCAACCUCUUUUCUUAAAAGUAAACUGAGUUUUGCGUUCUUUCAUAGAACUAAAUUCAUCUAUAAUUGAGUACUAAAUUUUUGAACAACUUCCUUUUUUUUAUGUACAUUGUUAGACAAUCAUUCAAGAAAUUAUCUUUUAUCUUGUUUUGGAUCUUUAUUUUGAUUAUAUUCAUAAUUGAAAAUACCCGUUCUAUAGUUGCAAUUGACAUAGGAAGAGUGAGAAUAAAUAUAAUCAAUCUAUCAACAACAAGAUAGAUCACUCAAUUUCUUGUCUUCACCAAGCCUUCAAGUAAUUAUUUGUAUAUUUGUAUAUGGGUCAACAAGAGUAUAGUUCACUAAUUUUAAAUUUUUUUAUCAAUUAGGCUAAGUUGUAUAUUUGUAUAUGGACCAAUAAAGUAAUUAUUUUUGUUUUAGCCCAUUGAUAAUUAUGAAUUGAGUCUUUUAUUAUAAUAUAUCAAAUUGGGUCAAUUUACUAUGGAUUACCAAAUUAUAUGUUUAAUUUUUUGAAUGUUAAAUAAUUAGCACGAUAAAAAAUAAAUAACUUUUUUUGAAGAAAAAAUUAAAUCAAAGGUGACUAAUUCAUACGCACAUACAUAUAUAUAUAUAUAUAUAUAUAUAUAUAUAUAUAUAUAUAUAUAUAUAUAUAUAUAUAUAUAUAUGUAUAAACUCUCAUAAUAUAAAUUAAAAUUGUAAAAAAUUAGGAGGGCCAACUUUAUCUUAUACAUAUAUUUACAUAUUAUGAAUUAAAAUUUUUAAAACUUAGGGGCCAUGGCACCGCUCAGCCUCCCUUGGCUCUGUCAUUGCCGAAUCGGGACGGCUGAAGAAAGUGUCGGUUAAUGAUUGAUGGUACAAAGAAGUUUCGGACUUAAAUAGCGGAAAUUUCUUAAAUCAAAAGUGCAUUUGAAUUGACAGAAAAUCUGUCGACUAGUCAAACAGAAAGCCACGGCCAUUGGGAACGAGACACAAAGGAAAUGAUAGGCAUAUUGUAGAAAAGUUAUAUUUAUUAUUCCCUCCGUUUUAUUGAAAGUAUCAUAUUUUCAUUUUAAAAUGUUUCAAAAUAUUUGUCAUUUUACUAAAAUCAAAGUUACUUUUGAUCUCUUUUUAUUAAUGUUAACCUCACAUUUAUUUAUAUUUCAUACUAAAUUCAAAUUUGAAUCUUGAAUUUUCGAAGGUUUUUGAAAACAAAUCCUCUAACACUGCUAUUGACAGGUGUUGAGUCUGUGUAAUAAUAAAUACUUACUUAAAAAAAUAUUAAUUUUAUAUAUAAUGGUGAGUAGGAUUGAAUCCAUAGGGAUUGGGGAUAAUUUGUUUCUUUUAGAGUACAGAGUAUGGGGGAUUUUUAUAAAAAUGAGAAUAAUUAAACAAUUCAAACAAAAAGACCUAACUGAUAAUUUAUUAAAAUUGAAACAAUAAUAAAUAAACUCUAGCCAAUAAAUAACUUUGGAAAUAGUUCAUUCAAUUGAUCAUGGAUGUAACAAUAAUUUCAUUUAUUUACUGAUCAUUUAUUUACUGACAAAUAAGUUAUAACUGCCAAACACGCGAUGACAGUCAACUUUUCCUUAUUGUAUUGGUAAUUAAGGUAUAACUGUUAACAACUGCCCUAAUCAAAAAAUAACACUAGGUACAACCUUAGAGUUUAAUUUUCCAAUUGUCUUAAGAAUUAAAAAAUCCUUAUUCUAACCAAAUAACACGCUACAAUAGUUAUUUUAAGUUAACCCAUAUGUUCCCCUAACACAAAUUCAAUCAUGCCAAUUACCACUAGUUUAAAGCAAUUAAAUAAUUACGAAUUUAAUUACUCUAGUUGAUAUGAGGUUAUUAGAUUAAUUUAAAUACCAGGCCCUUGAUAUUCAAAUAACAUAAUAAUCAUAAGAAAUUAAAUUAGAAAACAUACGAAUGCCAAUAAAUAAAAGAAACAAAUGAAAACAAUUAAAUCUCACAAUUAUAGAUGAACCAAAUCCUUUAUUAUCCCUUGACUAGCAAAAGAAAUUAGCCGCUCAUCGUUGGGAAAAAUCUCAAUGCAAAAUUAUGGUGAAUCUCGAUGGACAUGCGGCCACCAAAAACUAAGAACUAAAGUCUAUCGUUUCUCUCUCUUUUGAAGCAAAGAGUCAUGACCCCUCCCUCCCCCAGUCCCCCAAAAUUCUUUUCUUUCAGAAGUACUAGUCAAGCGAGAAAACCAGCCGUCUCAAUUCCUACUUUUUCUCCUAGUUUGUAGCAUGCUAAAAUGAAGUAAACUCCCAAGUGGAAAAGGAAGCUUCAAACGAUAAUUUUCAUUACUCCCUCCCUUUUUUUAUAACAGACGUUUGCACAUCAAUUAAGAAAAGUUUUUCAUUGCUUAAAUCUGUACACUACUUUUCUUUUGUACCCUCAUUAAUUGUCCAAUUCACCCAUGUUUUCUCUCACUAGAGUACUAAAUGGUGCUGUUUUACUAGGCCAAAAGUAGUAAUUAAGAACCCUGUAUUGGAAAAGAGAGAUAAAAGGGUAAAAUUGUGAAAAAAUAAUUAAUACUGUAUGGGGAUAAUAAAACGACAAAUAAAAGUACACUAGAGCAAAUUUCUUAAACGUCAGUUAUAAAAAAAGGGAGGGAGUAUUUUCUAACUAAAUCCUAUAACUAAUAAAGCUAUCUCAUAAAUUUUCAGUCAAAAUUUGCUCAAAGUUUGACACGAACUACGAAACCUUUGCUCGCAUGAAAAAUCCGGAGCUUCUCGGACUUGACAACAGAUAUUGACCGCGUCCACAUCAAACUAGUUCAAAAUAUUCUGGAAGAUUGUCCCUUUAACCACUUUUUCUCCACUUCCCUAUAACUAGUACCAAAUACUAUUGGAGAUUGCAGAAUAUUGUGUGUAUAUUUUGUGCAUAUAUUUGGGCUGUAAUUGCGUAAAGAUAGGAGCUCUGUUUUUGGUAGUUAUUCUUUGGUAAUUGUUUUGGUAGUCGAGAUAGAGUAGGAAUUGAUUUCCUUUUGGUAGUUACGGUAGAAUUAGGAACCAUUACCUUUUUCGAUUUUGGCUUUGCUUUGUAUAUAUUUUGGGGCCUGAGGGUCAUGAAAGGAUGGGAAGAUUUUUUCCACAAUUUCUUUUCAUGGUAUCAGAGCUAUGAACGACGACACGAAGAAACAGAAUGGUGAAGGAAGAAAAUUUGUCUCACCAUACAUCUUGACGGCGAACGACAAUCCUGGGAAUAUUAUCACCCAGGUACAAUUGAAAGGGGACAACUACGAUGAAUGGGUUCGAGCAGUGCGAACCGCGUUGAGAGCCAAGAAGAAGUGUGGCUUUAUUGAUGGAAUGGUGAAGCAACCCGAUGAGGAUUCUCCCGAUCUGGAGGAUUGGUGGACUGUGAAUUCAAUGGUGGUAUCAUGGAUUCUCAAUACCAUAGAACCAACUCUACGAUCUACCAUAACUUAUAUGGAGAUCGCAAACGAUUUGUGGGAAGAUAUCCGAGAAAGGUUUUCUAUUGCUAACGGGCCUCGAGUUCAACAGAUCAAAGGGGAACUUGCAGAGUGGAAACAGCGAGGACUUCCAAUUGUGACCUACUAUGGAAGGUUGAAGCAAUUAUGGGAAGAACUUGCGAACUAUGAUCAGAUUCCGACAUGUCAAUGUGGAAGAUGCACGUGCAAUCUCUCAGUUCAAUUUGACAAGAAGCGCGAGGAAGAAAAACUCCACCAAUUCUUGUUGGGUUUGGACGACACGAUGUAUGGAACGAUUCGUUCCAACAUUCUAAGCACUGAACCGCUGCCUAGUGUCAGCAAGGCAUACUCUUUGAUAUGUCAAGAGGAGCGUGUCCGGAAUAUGUCAAAAGAAAAGGAGGGACGUGGGGAACCCAUGAGCUUUGCUAUUCAUGCCAACACAGGAGGCAGAAGACCUGGAACUGGGACAAAGGAUAAGCCAGUUUUAUGCUCAUACUGCAACCGUGGUGGACAUGAUGCUGAAAGCUGUUUUCAACUCAUCGGAUAUCCUGAUUGGUGGGGUGAUCGGCCCAAGGGGAUUGGACGCGGAUCAGGACGUGGACGCGGGAACCAAAAUUCAGGACGCGGACGUGGGAGUGCACCUAGAGCUAACUCUGCUCAGAUGGUUAGUCAGUCCUCCUUGUCGGCAGAAGCUGCAAAAGGGGAACAUGCAGCGCAUGGAUUGAUGAGUAGCGACCAGUGGGCUGCCUUUUAAGUUUGCUAAAUUCUUGCAAAUCGGGUACCAAUGAGAAGUUGUCUGGUAAGAAUUCUUUGAACUGGAUAAUUGAUUCAGGCGCCUCCCACCAUAUGACAGGAAGUUUAGCAUGUAUGACUGAUUUGAAAGAAUUAUUGGGCUGUGCAGUGGGGUUGCCGGAUGGCAACCAAACAAUGGCCUUAAAAGAAGGGUCGGUUCGUUUGGGUGAAUACAUAAAGUUGAAAAAUGCACUUUAUGUCCCAAACUUGAAUUGCAAUUUAAUUUCAGUGUCACAAUUGCUUGAUGAAUUAGAUUGUUUUAUCCUAUUCACUAAAAAAUUAUGCGUUAUACAGGACCCUGCUUCGAGGAUGGUGAUUGGAGUGGGUGAACGACGCGAAGGGCUUUACUACCUCAAGUCUAUGGCAGAAAUCAAGGCAUGUAAUGCAAAUCGUCUAGAAACCAUUGACCUGUGGCAUAGGAGAAUGGGACAUCCAUCUACAAAAAUAGUAGAGUUACUUUCUCAGGUUAAUUCUGGUGGUAGUAGUUUAGUUAAAGAAAAACCAUGUGAUAUUUGUUUAAGGGCCAAGCAGACUAGGGCAGCAUUUUAUUCUAGUGAAAAUCAAGCAAAUGAAAUUUUUGAGAUGAUUCAUUGUGAUCUAUGGGGACCUUAUCGAACUCCUGCUUCAUGUGGUGCAUCAUAUUUUUUAACCAUUGUUGAUGAUUGUUCAAGAGCUGUGUGGAUUUAUUUGUUAAUGGUUAAAUCUGAAGUGGAACGUGUACUUCGAAAUUUCUUUGCUAUGAUCAAACGUCAGUACAACAAGGAUGUGAAAAUUGUUAGAAGUGAUAAUGGCAAGGAAUUCACCUGCUUGAAAGAUUAUUUUGCUGAAAAUGGGAUGAUCCAUCAGACUUCAUGUGUGGGAACACCUCAGCAAAAUGGACGUGUUGAGAGGAAACAUCGUCAUAUUCUGAAUGUAGCUAGAGCACUGCGAUUCCAAGCAAAUCUUCCCAUUAAAUUUUGGGGAGAAUGUGUGCUGACCGCUGGAUAUUUAAUAAAUCGGACUCCAUCCAAACUCCUGGGGAAUAAGACACCUUACGAAUGUUUGUUUGGCAAACCACCCAGUUACAAGCAUAUUCGAAUUUUUGGGUGUCUGUGCUAUGCUCGAGACUUGAAUCGAGACAAGGAUAAAUUUGGGAGUAAGAGUCGGCGUUGUUUGUUUGUGGGAUAUCCUUUUGGUAAGAAGGGAUGGAGAUUGUAUGAUCUUGAUACCAGUGAACACUUUGUUUCGCGAGAUGUGGUAUUUUCAGAGAAUGAGUUUCCAUAUGAUAGUGCACCAGAUGCACCUCGAGGUGUUCCGGGGCUAAAUUCUUUUGAAGUCUUUGAUCGCACCAUAGAGGAAGUGGUUGAUAAAAGAGAAGACAUUCUGAUAGAAGAUAUUCCAAGUGAAACAUCAGAAAUCACAAACCGGGUUCACAGUGAAGAGAAUAACGAAGAAAGAGAGGGUGCUGGAACUGAAGAGAUUGAGGUAGUUGAUGAACAACUUGGGCGAGGUCAUCGAAUAAAGCGCUCAUCUAGUCGUCUAAAAGAUUAUGUGACAUAUACUGCUAGACGCAUAAGCCCUUCUGCAUGUUUACCCACACCAAUUCCAUUCUCAGGUACUCCUUAUCCUAUAGCGCAUUAUGUGAAUUGUGAUAAAUUUUCUAUGUGUCAUCGAUCAUUCUUAGCAGCAGUAACAACUGGUAAAGAGCCAACCUUUUAUGGUGAGGCGGUGAAGGAUUCUCGAUGGAGACAAGCUAUGGCAAGUGAAAUUGAGGCGCUUGAAAAGAAUGGGACAUGGACAGUGGAAGAUCUACCACCAGGAAAGAAAGCGAUCGGUAGCAAAUGGGUGUACAAAAUCAAGUAUAAUUCUGAUGGAACAAUUGAGCGGUAUAAGGCACGAUUGGUGAUUCUUGGCAAUAAUCAGGUUGAGGGGAUUGACUACAAUGAGACGUUCGCUCCUGUUGCAAAAAUGGUAACAGUUCGAACUUUCUUGUCUGUGGCAGCAGCGAAGGACUGGGAACUCCACCAAAUGGAUGUUCACAAUGCAUUUUUACAUGGAGAUUUAGCAGAGGAAGUGUAUAUGAAGAUGCCUCCGGGUUUUGCAACUCCCCAACCAGGAAAGGUAUGUCGAUUGCGAAAGUCUCUUUACGGGUUGCGACAAGCUCCAAGGUGUUGGUUCGCUAAACUCACUAAUGCCUUGCAGCGGUAUGGCUUUACUCAAUCUUAUUCUGAUUAUUCGUUGUUUACUCUGAAUCAAAACAACAUACAAAUAUGUAUUCUGGUGUAUGUUGAUGAUCUUGUGAUUGGGGGAAAUAAUAGUGCUGCAAUUCAGAAAUUUAAGAAAUAUUUAUGUCAGUGCUUUCAUAUGAAAGAUUUGGGAGUAUUGAAAUAUUUCUUAGGUAUGGAAGUUGCCAGAAAUAAGAGUGGCAUUUUUCUUUGUCAACGCAAAUAUGCGUUGGAUCUUAUUACUGAAGUUGGUUUAUUGGGUUCCAAACCAACUAGUUUUCCGAUGGAGCAGAAUCAUCGCUUGGCAAUGGCGGAGAGCAUGCCCUUAACAGACCCAGAAAAGUAUAGACGUUUAGUCGGAAGAUUGAUCUAUUUGACACUUACACGACCUGAGUUGUCUUAUGGUGUGCAUGUUCUUGCUCAGUUUAUGCAAAAGCCAAAAGAAGAACAUUGGGAAGCAGCUUUGCGCAUGGUUCGUUACUUGAAAGGUAGACCUGGUCAAGGUAUAUUUCUCCGAUCAGACUGCAAUCUACAGUUGCGCGCAUACUGUGAUUCUGAUUGGGCAAGUUGCCCAUUAACUCGUCGCUCACUCACUGGAUAUUUUGUUUUGCUGGGAAACUCACCCAUUUCCUGGAAAACUAAGAAGCAACAUACUGUGUCCAGGUCAUCUGCUGAAGCGGAAUAUCGAUCUAUGGCCACCACGAUUUGUGAACUAAAAUGGUUGAAAGGGUUGUUGGGUUCUCUAGGGGUAAUGCAUUCUAGACCUAUGAAACUUUAUUGUGACAGCCAAGCAGCCAUGCAUAUUGCGGCAAAUCCUGUGUUUCAUGAACGAACAAAGCAUAUAGAAGUUGACUGUCAUUUUGUGCGCAAUGAAGUUCAAAAUGGAAAUGUAGAAACUACAUAUGUACGUAGUUCAGAGCAGUUAGCCGACAUUUUCACCAAGGCGCUUGGGAAACAACAGUUCGAGUAUCUUCUUUACAAGUUGGGCGUUCGAGAUCUCCACGCACCAACUUGAGGGGGGGUAUUGGAGAUUGCAGAAUAUUGUGUGUAUAUUUUGUGCAUAUAUUUGGGCUGUAAUUGCGUAAAGAUAGGAGCUCUGUUUUUGGUAGUUAUUCUUUGGUAAUUGUUUUGGUAGUCGAGAUAGAGUAGGAAUUGAUUUCCUUUUGGUAGUUACGGUAGAAUUAGGAACCAUUACCUUUUUCGAUUUUGGCUUUGCUUUGUAUAUAUUUUGGGGCCUGAGGGUCAUGAAAGGAUGGGAAGAUUUUUUCCACAAUUUCUUUUCAAAUACCAAAUAUGAAUAGAAUAUAUUAAUUAAUACAAUAUUUGACUAAAAUUAAGAGAAAAAUAAUUAUAAAUUUAAUAAGAAAAAUGCAACCUAUCAACUAUCAAUCCUCUAUUUUUAAAAUGUUGGAAUUUCAAAAUGCAACAAACAUUUAACACCUCUUCAAUGACUAAAUAGAAAAAAAUAUGUUUUGUCCAUGCAAAGCAUGACACGUAACAUCCAAGCUAAAGUGAAUACGUGUUAGUAGCAGAUAGGUCAAGUGCAGGAGAAUGAGGAAUGGGGCCGAGCUAAUAAAAUAAUUAAAACUAAAAAGGAAAGUGCAAAUGUCAAAGGAAGUGGGGGCAUGAUGAUAAAUGCAGCCUGCACAAAGCAGGGUCCGGGGACGUAAAUGAAAGGACUGAAGUGCAAUUUUUUUGGGGCCAGUAUUUGGUCGGUAAUAUAUAGUGUGUUUGGAUAUCAAAAUUAUUUUAAAUAAUAUUUUAUUUACAUCACAAAUAAUUUGAAAUUUGUUUUUUUGACAAGAUUUCAAAGAGUUUGUAACAGUGGAAGUAAUGCAACCAAAUUAUAACUCUAAUCAACCCACAAAUGGUAUAAAAGGCUUGGAUAUAUUGUUCACCAAGGACUGAUUUGGCGUAUGACAAUAUAAAGAAAUAAAGUGUUCAUUAUACUUUGUCUUUUGCCUGUGGGGUCAAAAUUUAGUACAGCAAAAUUUAUUUUUUUUUUAAAAAAGUUACUAACAUUAUAUACAGGCUAUAAUUGUACCCUAUGAAUUUUUUUUUUAAAUGUUGCAAAAUCAAUUCAUUAUCAAUUUUGUUAAAUGCAUAUUUUUCAAUGUAAGUAACUGAACCUCUUGAAUUUUUUAAAAUAAUCUGCGAAUCAUCAUCAACUUGAUCUUCUACAGGUUUAUUUUAUAAAAUUUAUCUUUAUCCUAUUAUAAAUAAAAAUCAUAAUAACUUAAUUUCAUAUUAUAAAUAAAAAGUUUACCAUCCACUUGAAUAAUUCUUGUUUUUGAAGACUUUGAAGUUUGAAAAAAAAAUUGAUUUUCUCACUCCACUCAAAAAAGUUCACACCUUGUUUUUGGAAAUUUUAGAUGAAUUUAGUCUUGAACUAACUUUCAUAGAUAAUUUGAAAUAAAUUCAAAAUUAUUGUGAUAGUAAGAAUUAUGAAUCUUCAAUUUUUUUGGGGUCAAUGUAUAUAGGAAAUAUAAUUUGAUAAAAUAUAGUGGGAUCAAAUAAGAUGCAACUUUAAAAUUUUUUAAAUUUCGUAAACCUAAGAACUAAUUUUUCAAAGUUAAGUGGGGUCAAUUGACCCCACUUGCUUGUAUGUGGCUCCGUCACUGUCUUUUGUUGCCCCUAACUAUUUCCAAAACUUAUAUUUUUGGAAUAACAAAUAUUUGUAGGUGUCGCAGAAGUGUUCAUGUGUAUCAACUAUUAUUGGUUAAAACUUAGAGGCAAUGUCCAAAAUUGUCACUAAAUUAUUUAAAAUGUUACGAUUUGAUCACCCAAUUUUUUUAUGGCAAAAAAGGUCACUCAACUGAAAAAAAAACGCUAUUCAAAUCAUUUUGUCAAUUUGUAUAGGUAAAUCGUCCGGUUUCUCCCUCUAUUUAUCCUUGUAUCCAGAAAGACUACCAACACACACUGAAACUUCUCGUCGCACAUCACCAAAAUGCCACCAUUUUCACCAUCUUCCUGGAUUUUGACACCCUCCUCUCUAGUAUAGUUCUUCUUAACAGUGCUCCUUGUGAAAGUGCUGAGGGCGGUCUUAACAGCUGCUUCUCAUGAAAGAAUCCAUAAAGCAUUUUAAGUGAAUGCAACAAAAGUGAAGAAAGUAGAAUUGGAAAGGAAUAAAAAAGAAUAAUUGCAAAGAAAAAGAAAUCUUUUUUUGGAUUCAUUUUUCCUCUAUUUUCUUUAGGUAGAAAGAUAGAACUCUUUUCAUGAUUCAUUGGCCAUGGUCACCACCUCACCAUCUUGACCAACAUUCUCAAAUUGUUUCCUUAUAUAAAAGAUAAAACCCAAAGCAAAUGUCGACUUUUUUUUGUUUUAAAAAUUUGCCUAAAGGGUAUUGAGAUCUGAGGAGAUUACACGGGGAACUGAAAAUGGAAGCCAUCCAAGAAAAAUAUCUUUACCGUGUGUUUGUCCGUCUAUGUUAAAGGGAGAGAGAGAGAGAGAGAAUUUGUUUGCUGAGAGACAGAGAAAGGAUAAAGAUUGGGGGAGUUAAAGAAAAAGAGGGAGAGACUAGAGAUGAGGCGGCGACAAAAUGACUCGACCAGGGAUGAGUGAGGAUUGAGGAGACAUUUUUUCCCAUGGGAGAAUGUUGGUCCAACACAAGUAACAGUGUAACCGGAUGGUUUACCGGUAGAAAUUGACAAAAUUAUCUCAAUGUCACUUUUUUCAGUUGAAUGACUUUUUUGACCAUAAAAAAUGUUAGACGAGCAAAUCGUGCCAUUUUGAAUAAUGUAGUAACUAUUUUGACUAUUCACUCAAAAAUUUAUUAAUAUUAGUAGAGCAAAUGACAACAAAUAUCACUAAACUUUUAAGUUCUACGUCUUUUGGUCAUUAAAUUAUUUUUUUAGCAGAAAAUGUCACUCAACUCUAUAAAGGGUGUUUUUUUUUUGUCCUUCCAUCUAAUUUUGGCGUAAAUUCUUAAAUUGUGAUGAAAAAAAAGGUUUUUCUACUAGAGGGAUUGUUUUUGGGGCUGAUUCUAGAAGUAGAAUCUUCGCAUUUAUGAAAUGUGAAGUCUUCGCAUUUGAUAAAUGCGAGGUUCAUGUUUUUGAAAAAAAAAAAUGAUAAAGGUUUUAGGCUUAAAAAAAAAAAAGAAGUGCCAAACGCUUGCAUUUGCUAACUAUCUUCCCGACUAAACUCAUCUUCAAAACCGCGGGCGGUUACUGCCUCGGUUACUGAUCAGACAUUCAAAUACAGUUCCUUUUUCCACACUUUGAACUAAUACUCUCCAAAUCAACAUCCCAUCUUUUAAACAAGAUCAUUUUACCCCUUUUAGUGCAAACUCACCUCGUUUACCUCAUGCGAGUUUUAAAAAUAAAAAGUGCUAUUCAACAUAUUGGAUAGCUCUCUCUUAAACCCAUGGUAAAACUAAAUAAUAUCACUAAUCUAACAAAUACUAAAUACCAACCCAAUUAAUAUUUCGUAGUUAGAAUUAGAUUUUUAAGAUAUUUGAAGUAAGCCUUAGGACAACUAAUUCUACGUCAACUACGCAUCAACUACUGUUAUUGUAUAUCUAGUACUCAAUUUUUUUUUCCGAAACGAUAGAAAUUUUAUAACAUGAAAAACUGUACACUUUUGGAGCAAAGGCUCCUAUCUUUACAAGAGUGCAUUUAGCACUACAAAGUGGCGUAGUCCCACUCCAUAUCACAAAAAUUCAAAAGAGCAAUUUUGCUCAAACUGUAGCAUAAGCUAUCAGUGUCUUCAUUCAAUCUUCCAAAAGAGCACAUUCGAAACCAUAGUGACAUUUGCUGGACGUCCUCCAUGAUAGCUUCUAUUGCUAUAGUCCAUGCUUUCCCAUUUUGAAACCGUGCCAGCAUGUUUUUGUUUUCAAACCGUAUGUUGAUUUUUCUCCAUCCUUUCCUUGCUGCCUUGACCAUGCAUAAUCUCACUGCCUCUGCCAGGUCUUGAUCUUUGUUUCCUGAUGGUCUCUCUCUUAGUGACCAGGCUGCUAACCCUUGGUUUGCAGCAGUCGAAGCUGUGAUGCCAAUGCCAAAGGAGUUGUAUUGCUUCUGGUGCUGGAUUGCGAGCUUCAGAGUUACAGCCUCAGCAUCUGCCUGUUCCCCUUGUCCAUUUCCAUGUUACCUUCUUGUUUCUGCUGUGCUCUUCCUCGGAUUGUGUUGAACUGCAUCCAUGUGUUCUUUCCAUUCCUUAGUUGCCUUUUCAUUUACUUUAAAAGGCUCCUGUUGUAAGGAGUUGAAGACUCUUGCAUUUCUAGCUUUCCAAAUCUGCCAUAGCACAUUAACUGUUAAGGCUAUGUGAUCUUCACCAUCGUUCCUAGUUCUUGCAUUCAUCAUCAUGUUCCACCACUGUUUGAAGCAUCCAGUUUGGUCUUGUAGUCCAUCCCAUUGUACCAAUGCAAAUUUCCAUAUUUCUUUUGCUUUCUUGCACUGCAAUAGUACAUGCUCAAUGGUCUCCACGCUCUCUCCACACCCACAACAAACCGGAUCUCCUUUCCUUGUUCUGUUGAAAAUUUGAGCCUUGACUGGUAGCCCAUUGUUGAUGUAUUUCCACACAAAUAUUUUCAUUUUGUGUUUAAUAGGCAUCUUCCAUAAAGCUUCCCAUAGUUCCCUGUUUGUUUGUUGAUAGCUGCAUCCCUCCUCUUUGCUUCUUUGUUUGUUAAAGCUUCCAUAUAUCUAGUACUCAAAGUUUAGUAAAAUUGUAGCUCUAUUAUCAAUGAAGUUGUACAAUGUCGUAUGCGCAUUACUUCUAUCAUUAUUAUUUGACUAGAUAAUAUUGUACAUCUUUGUCAAAGAAAAAUGUUAUUUUUAAACUAGAUGUUAAUAUGAUAAUUAACUAAUUCAAUAACUUGCUCAGCAAUAGGCAUAAUUAGAUAGCAUAGGAAGUGCUUGAAUUUAAAAAGCAUUUACAGCAGGCACAAAUCUAAUUAUGGGACCAGGUAAUAUUAGUGUUCUGUUAAUGUGAAAUUCAAGAUCAAUGGAUAAUAACCUAAAUAUUCAUUCUCUGAAAUUUUACAAAAUAAAAAACAAAACCCACACUCAAAAGAAAAACUAAAAUGGUUUGCUUGAAUAUAUAUAUAAAAAAAUAGAAAUGCAUGAGCAUGAAUUUAUUAAUAUUCAAAAACUAACAAAUGCGAGGUCUGAAGCAUUUUUUUUUUUGGGUUUUUGCAAGUCAAAAAUUCAAUGAUAAAUCGCAUCUGUGAAAUGCGAACUCAGUGAGCUCGCAUUUUGCAAAUGCGAACAUCACUUCACGGAAUGUUAUACUCAAAAAGCUGCAUUUGUAGAAAAAUUUUAAAUUUCAUUAUAAAAUUAGGAAUUUCUGGGUUAAAGAGAUGGAAAGCCAUGCAUGUGAUGUCCACAAGCAUUUUUGAAGAGUAAAAAUGUCUCACAAAUAUUUGAAGGACAAUUUGAGAAAGAAAAAAAAUGUUUUGGGAAUCAAUAUAGUUACAUCAGAUAAUUAGGGACUUUAACUAAAUUAUAUACAAGUCCCUAACCUAUAUUUAGUUUUCAAAACAAGAACAAAGGCACUCGGCCUUUACUUCAUCCUUACCAGCAUCUACUUAUCAAUAAAGAGAUUCAAACCCACUAAAAUAGUAUUUUUUUUCUGCCCACAAGAGUCAAAUGGAAUUGGUAUUCAACUCAUCUCUCUUACAUAUUAUUCUCAAUAAAGAACUCUCAUAAAACCAUCAAUUUCUUUUCUUUAGUCACUCAUAUUCUAGAUGAGAAGAAGAAGUAGAGAAAAGUUAGAGAAGAAAAGGGGUAGAGACGAAUCACUGAACAAAACAAGAACUCGGAUCCUUAAGAUAAGAACUCCUAGAUCUGGAAGGAUCGUAACGGUCCCCGUCAACAGAUAUUUUCAUCCAAAUAUCGGGGUAGUGAGAGAAAAAUGGUUCUAUGUAGUCACAGGCACUCUCAGCGUACUUCCUAGUCUCAGCAUAUUCCCGAUCAAUAAAUCUAAAUGUCAAAUUAAACUAAGUAAUGGAGAAAUUGAACUCUUGACUCAUUAGACGGAAGCGAAUCACAUUUGGGGUAUCUACAAUAUACCCCGUAGGCAAGUCGAACUCAAAAGUGUAGUAAAACUCUCUAACCAGUUCAACAAAACAGGACAGAAAAUGUCAAUAUAAGGUCGCCAACCAAUAGCGGUAAACAUCCGCUCAACCUUUUCCCUUAUACCCAGUGCACUCAUGAUAAGUUUGUCAAGACAUUUACAGGGAUGAUACGCUGCUCGGAGCACACAGCAUAUCGCUGUUUAUCAGCGGCUUUAGUGAGUUUAGAUGACCCCCAAAGUGAGAGGGUGUAGCAACAUGGACACCUUUACCCCUAUCUAGAUGUGUUCAGACACCCGAGGAAGACGGUUGGUUGAUAGGCUCAUUAACAGGAAUGGUGGGUUGAGGUGUAGUAGGUUGAUAUUUAGGAGUUUUAGACUUGGAAGUGGAAUUUUACUUAACCAUAGUCUCUACCAAUCAACCCAAUCAACAAGAGAAACAGAAUUCUACCGAAUAUAUGAAGCAAGUAAUCCAGAUGUGGCAACUAUGUCCAAUGCAACAAUCAACUCAAAAAGCACAGUUUAUUGCUCAAUUUAUCCACUCAAAGUCUUAGUAGAUGUCCCAAGCAAAUCAGUCAUUCAAUUAACAGGCAGAUUACUCCCAACAAUGUAAUUUAAUUCAACCAAUUAAUAAUGCAGCCACAGAAUCCUCAAUUUAGUCCAAAAAUUGAUUCCAGCAACUCAACACAAUAAUUUAGCAAAAUGAUUUUCAGUGAAGUCCAGAAUGCAACUGCAAAAAUUAAUACUCCAGAGGUUUGCCAAGUGAUUGAGACAAAGAGAUACCGUCACACCGUUGACCGGCAACAAUUCUUGGCGAUAAGUGAGCCGCAAAGAGAGGCGAUGGUGACUGGAAGGGCGACUCCUAGGUGGUUACAGACUGCGCGGAUGUAGGAGGGAGAGGGGCGUUGAAAUGCGACGAACGACUGGGGUUGAUAGCGUUGGUGGAGGAUGAGGCAGCUAAUGAAGUGCGGUGACGACAGUGGCGGCGUGCAAGGGAUGGUGGCGGAGUUCACGUUAGUCACUUGAAGCGCGACAGUGGCGGCGGUCAACUUGGGGGAGGGAGCGACAACGAAGAAACAGAGAGACGGACAGAGAGAGAGAGAGACAGCGAGCUCUAGCGACGGCGUGCGUCUAUCGAUUGAGCGGUGAAGCAGCGAUGGAUGUCUAGGUGGGGGUUGGGCUUCGGCCGAAAGGGAAAAAAAAGGAAAUAGGGGAAGAAGAAAGAAAGAAAGAGAAAGAAAGAAAAAGAAAGGAAGAAAGAAAGAAAAAGAAAUAGGUGCGGCGAUUUUUUUUUUAUUUUAAAUUUAAAAUUAGAGAUUUGAAAUUUAAAAUUUGAAUUUAAACAAAAAUGUAAAAAAAAUUUCAAUUUUUUAAUUAAUGAAUUAUAUAUAUAUAUAUACAUACCUUUCUCUCGAACACGACGUGAGCACGUUCUGGACGUAAGAACCCUUCUAAUGAAGAGUUGUUGAAUUAAAAGCUACCACAUGCUCGGUUGAUACAGGUGCAUUAUAAGGGUGGAAACCCUUCUAAUGGGGAGUUCGAGAAUUGCUCAUUACCACGCGCCCUAUUGACCCGGGCGCGUCAUGUCAGUCAGUCCGCUCUAAGAUCGAAGAAAGAGCUCUCCAGGUGAUUUGACGCGGGCACGUCAUGAGGGUGCAAACCCUUCUGAUGAAGCACCUGGGAAUUGCACAUUACCACGCACCCCAUUGACGCGGGAGUGUCACGUCGGAGGAACACCUACUAAUCAUCAAAAAUGAAAAAUUAAAUCAAAAAUUUGAGAAAACUUUUAGAAAACAUAUUGAAGCUAUCAACUAGAACUGAACAAAGAAGUAAAAAAAUUAGGUUACCUCCUAAUAAUCGUCUUUCUUUAAUGUGUUUCGCUAGACAUAGUUAGUCGCCCUUAACAUUCCUGAGACGGCUCUUUGAGGUGCAGCAUCUCUCCCUCUUCCACUGGCAAUCCUUCAUAAUAAAAUUUAAUACGGUGGCUGUUGACGACACAUUUCUUCUCGGUCUUUAAAUUUUGUAUUUCUACUGCACCAAAGUGAAAAACAUUAGUCACUACAAAAGGAUCAAUCCACCGAGAACACAGUUUACCUGGAAAUAACUUAAGUCACGAUUGGUAGAGCAGAACCUUUUGGCCAACGACAAAAGUUUUUCUUGAGAUCUGCUGAUCAUGAAAAGAAAAACUUUAUUUUUCUCCAUAUAAAUGGUCGCUCUUUAGUUUGUCCCUCUUUGCUUUGGGCCAAUCUGCAGGUAAUUUGCCAAUUAUUAGGUAAUUAACUAAAUCAGCAUACCAAGGCAAUUUAGAAUUUAGCGAAAAUAAUUGUUCAUCAGGGAAUGUAUCCCUCAAUGGCACGUUCUCCUCUCCAACUGGUAUGCAACUUAAAUGGUCAGUUACCAAAUUCUUCGAGUCUCUUUUAUCCCUUAUUUCCAGAUCGAAUUCUUGCAAGAGCAAUAUCCACCUUAUUAGCCUCGAUUUUGCAUCUUUCUUCAUCGUCGAGUAUCUCAGAGUUGCAUGAUCAGAAUAUACAACAACUUUAAUUCCUAAUAAAUAUGACCUAAAUUUCUCUAAAGCAAAGACAACUGCUAAAAGCUCCUUUUUUAUGGUGGAGUAAUUCAAUUGAACUCAAUUCAAAGCCCUUGAUGCGUAGUAGAUGGCAUGGGUUGCUUUUCCUACUCUCUGUCCCAACACUGCUCCCACUGCAUGAUCACUGGCAUCACAUAUGAUCUCAAAUGGGAGAUUUCAAUCAGGAGGUUCGAUGAUCGAUGGCGAUGUGAAUAGCUCACUUAACUUGUCGAAUGCUCUCUCACACUCGACAUCGAAGUCAAAAGUUGCAUCUUUUUGUAAGAGUUUGAACAGGGCAGAUCCAAUUUUCGAGAAAUCCUUAAUGAACUUUCGGUAAAAACCUGCAUGUCCAAAAAAAAAAUACAUUUUCCGCACACUCGCGGGGUAAGGUAAAGCAGAUAAAAUGUCUAUUUUAACCUGAUCAACCUCAAUACCCUUAGAAGAUACUACAUGACAUAGAACUAUCCCGUACUCAACCAUAAAAUGACAUUUUUUCAAUUAAACACGAGAUUAGUUUCUAUACAUCUAAACAAGAUCAAUUUCAGAUUAUCUAGACAAUUAUCGAAACUAUCACCAUAUACACUAAAGUCGUCCUUGAAAAUUUUAAUAAUUUUUUCAACAUAUUCUGAAAAAGUGCUCACCAUACAUCUCUAAAAUGUCACAGGGGUAUUGCACAAUCCGAAAGGCAUUCACCUGUAUGUGAAAGUUUCAAACGGACACGUGAAGGUGAUCUUCUCUUGAUUCUCUGGUGCGAUUGCAAUUUGAAAAUACCCUGAAAAUUCGUCCAAAAAAUAAUAGUGAGCUCGAUAAGCUAACCGCUCAAUCAUUUGGUCAAUAAAAGGAAGGGAAAAAUGGUCAUUUUUCGUGACAGCGUUUAAUUUUUGGUAGUUGAUACAUUGCCGCCAUUCGGUGGGUUUGCGUACUGGCAUAAGUUCACCCUUCUGAUUGGCCUCCACUGUCAUUCCUGUAUCGGGUUACCUGUAUCGGGCUCACCCACGGACUGUUUGAUAUUGCGUAUACGAUUCCCACAUCUAGCAAUUUUAGUAUUUUUUUUUCACCAUUUCCAUCAUGAGAGGAUUGAGACUCCUUUGAACUUGCUUUACAGGUUUGGCAUCCUUUUCGAGCCUUAUUCGGUACAUACACAUAGAGGGACUGAUCUCUUCAAUGUCAGCGAUGGUCCAUCCUAUUGCCUGCUUAUACUCUCUAAGAACUCGGAUUAACUUGUCUUCUUGGGUUUCCAACAGUCUCGCCAAGAUAAUCACCGGAAGCAUUUCUUUCUCGCCCAAGUAUGCAUAUUUCAAGUGUUUCGGUAAAGGUUUUAAUUCAAGUACAGGUGCCUGCACCACAGACGAUAGUACCUUUUGGUAAGAUUCGGGUAUAAAAAUAGGUGUGAGCUCAUACAUUGUCGUCGUGGUUGGCAACGAGUGUAACGCUCCAAUCAUACACUUCAGAUCUUCACUCAAUUCUACCUCAUGAAUUGUGUCUAACUCGAAGUGUUUGGUUAGAACAACUUCUAAUUCAUUCCUACCCACAAAUUCAAAUACUACCUGCACCGCAGGAUCAAUAGCACUUACGAAAAAAAUAGAGUUAAAAUUAAAGUUCGAGAGGUAUUUCAUGGUUUCAAAAAUAUUGAAAUGAACAAUUUUUUCAUUAAAUUUUAUGAACAAGAUACCCUUAUUAACAUCAAUUUUUGUCUGGAUUGUGCUAAAAAGGGUGUACCUAACAACAAAGACGAGGGGUCGAGGGAAUGAUCAUCAUCUAUGUCAAGUACAUAAAAAUUAUAUGGGAAUACCAAUUCUUUAAUUUUAACCAACACAUUCUUGGCCAACCCAUCAGUAUAUUCAUUUGUUCGGUCAGUUAAUCGAAUUAUUAUCUCAGUUUCUUUUAACGGACCAAGGUUCAAAGAAGUAUAGAUAGAUUUAGGCAUUACAUUGAUUGAUACUCCUAAGUCCAAUAUGGCAUUUCUAAUCAAAGUAUUACCUAUCCUACAGGGGAUAGUCAACAUACCUGGAUCUCUACAUUUCAGUGGAAGAUUCUUCUAUAGAAUCGCUGACACAUUCUCCCCCACAAUGACUCUUUCAUCUCCCCUCAAUCUUCUUCGUUGACGCACAAAUCUUUCAAAAACGUCGCGUACUUUGGCACUUGUUUGAUUGCAUCUAGUAGGGGAAUGUUGAUUUCUACCUUGCGGAAUACCUCCAAGAUCUCUUUCUCUUUGUCCUGCUUUUUCGAUUUCUCCAACCUGCUAGGAAUGGGAGGCGAAUUAGUUUUAACUUCAAUGAUUAGGUCAGGGAGUACCCCUGGAUUUUUACUGUUUCUAUCCUCCUCCUCAAGCUCUUUCUCGAUCUUUUCUUCAUCCUUGUCCUUUGGAGUCACGAGUUCGGAUCUCUGAAUUUUCUUCCCGUUCGUUAAGGUCAUUGCACUUACAUUCUUUGGAUUCAGUUCAAGUUGAGAUGGCAAUUUUUCGUGAACUUGGGAUUCCAGACGGUUGAUUGAUAUUGCCAUCUGACUUAUCUGAAUCUGCAUUGCUUGCAUCUGAUCCAUUUGAUUCCUUAAAUUUUAUAAGUCAGAUUCUGUCUUUUGUUGACAUUGCAUAUUACUAACAAUUAAUUGUUUCAUCAUUUUUUCUAAAGACAGGCUUGAACUUGGAGGAGGUGGUGGCUGCCGAGGUUAGUAUUGCUGUUGAUAUCUUUGCUGUCUAUUCAAUGCAAAAUUUGAUUGUCUAUUUCCUCCAUAACUGAGGUUAGGGUGAUCUCUCCAACCCGGAUUAUACAUGUUCGAAUACAGAUCAUAUGGCUUUCUUGGCGCAGGCGCAUGACCAACCAUGUUUACUUGCUCUACACUUUCUUCUUAAAUCAUUGGAUACAUCUCUGUAGAAUGGCCCAUGGCAGUACAAAUCCCACAUACCUUGGCUUGUGGUGCAUUUUCUACAGUCAAUUGCCUAACAAAAGAUGUUAACUCGAAUAGUUGUUACAGGAUAGAGGAUGUUUCUAUCUCAUUUACUCUAUGUAUCAGGACAUCCUCCCUUGUGCCAAACUGCUGCGAGCUCUCGGCUAUCCCUUUAAUCAACUCCCAUGCUUCUCGAGAAGUUUUGUUUACCAACGCCCUUUCACUUGCAGUAUCAAUAAUACUCAUGUCUCUAAAAAGUAGCCCCUCGUAAAAGUACUGGAUAAGCAAUUGCUCGCUUAUUUGGUGUUAAGGGUAUUUGAUGCAUAACUUCUUGAAUCUCUCCCAGUAAUCAUAGAGCGACUCCCCUGGAUAUUGUUUGAUAGCGCAUAUCUCCUUCCUCAGACUUGUAGCUCGAGACGUAAAAAAAAAAAUUUUCAAUAAUUUUUUUUUAGCUGCUCCCAAGUGGUGAUACUACCUGGAGGUAGGUAGUACAACUAGUCUUUUACUGAGUCCUUGAGAGAAAGGAAAUGCCCUCAUUUUUAUUUGUUCUUCCGUAAUUUUCGAAAGUUUCAUACUGUUACAAAUAAUAUCAAACUCUUGAAAGUGCUUAUGAGACUCAUCACCUGAUAAAUCAUGAAAAGAUGGUAAAAGAUAAUUAGACCAGAUUUUAACUCAAACAGGGUGUUAUCAUUUAAAUUUGAAAAAGUAAUGCAUAAGCGCUGCUGAUUUAAAUUAGGAGCAGCCAGAUCCUUCAAUGUUCAUGCAUUAGCCAUAGUGAUUUCUUCUCGAUUCGGGUCACUCGAAAUAUCAUCAAGCGAACUUGUUAAUUCAACUUCUGGAUCAAGUCUCCGAGAUGCAGCACUAGAUUGCUCUUCCCUGAGCUGUCUGGUCUCUUUUCGCUUUUGGCACGUGAUCUUCUCUACUUCAGGAUCAAAAAUUAAUUUACCCGUACGAGAAGAACGAGGCAUAAACUAGAAAAAUACUAGAAAAUUAAAACGAGAAUUAACUUAAAAAGAAACAAAUUAACUAACGACAGUCCUUGACAACGGCGCCAAAAAUUGACAGGUGUCGAGUUUGUGCAAUAAUAAAUACCUGUUCAAAUAAAGUAUCGAUUUUGUAUACAGUGGUAAGCAGGGUCGAAUCUACAGGAAUUAGGGGUAAUUCGUUUCUUCUAGAAUUCAAGAUAUGGGGAAUUUUAUAAGAAUUAACAAUAAGCUAUGCUACUCGAAUAUUUCAAUUAAAUAAAAAUUAAAUGACAAAUUAUAAAAAUUCAAAUGGUAUUGGACAAACUCUAGUCAAGAAGCAACUUCGAAAUGGUUUUCCUAAUUGAUCAUCGAUGUAAGAAUAAUUCCACUUAUAAACUGAUAAAUAAAUUAUAAUUGUCAAACAAGCGAUGACAAUCAAUUUCUCCUUAAUUAUCGAUAGCCAAGGUACGACCGUUAGCUACUACCCUAAUUACGAAAUAACUCUAGGUACGACCGUAAAAUUCAAUUCCCCAAUUACCUUACGAAUUAGAGAAAUCUGUUCUAAUUAAACAAUACACUACGAGGGUUGUUUCAAAUUAGUCCGUAUAUUUCUCUGACACAAACCAAUCAUGCCAGUUUUCACUAGUUUUGAAUAAUUAAACAAUUACAGAUUUAAUUACUCUAAUUGGUUUUAGGUUAUCGAAUUAGUCUAAGAUCUGGGCCCCGGAUAAUUGAAUAAUAUGACAACCAUAAAAAUAUAAAGUAGGAAAUAUACGAAUACCAGAAAAUAAUAGGAAAAAGUAAAUUAGUUUGAUCUCACAAUUUAAGUUGAACCAAGUCCUCCGUUGUUCAUUGAUUAGAAAUAAAAGUUUAGUUCAUCUCUAUUGAGAGAAUCCCAUGCAAAAUUGCUGAAGUAAUUGUCGCGUACAUCGUCUCUCAAUUGAAAUGAAAAAUCCGAUGGAAUAAGAAUAAGGAAAGAUUACAAAGUCAAAAGAAUGACUAAUGUUUCUUCCUUGGGAUCAGUCAUAUGAUGGAAUCAGAAAAUAGGAAUUAGCCAAAAGCCAAAAGCUAGAUUCCUCCUAUUUUCUUAUGGCGGCUGGCUCUCCAAAAGCUAAGUGGAGUCCUCAUCUCAAUUGACUUCUGUCUCCUAUUCAGUCGCAGCCAACAAACUAGGAAAUCUCCUAAUUGGCAAGCUUCCUUUUUGUGCUAAACUACCUUUAUCAAUUCAAAUCAAACAAUCAACUAAUGGAAUGUUUGCGGCCCCAUGUUGCACUUCCAAUUGGCAGUUGGUGUUACGCGCCUUUCUCGCAUUUUCUGGACACGUUGAGACCUGACUUGACGCUACUACGCCAAACAGCAAUUGUAGUGGAAAAUUUGCACCUUUUUACCACAUUUUAUUCCAACUCCCUGCAAUCAAUACAAAUUUUCAAAAGUGAGUAGAAUCCACCAAUUAAUACACAUUUGGUAAGAUAAUAUGAGAGAAUUAAUUAUAAAAUAAAUGACAAAGUUGUGACCUAUCAUUUAUGCCAAAUAAAAGUCUUCCCAUACACAUGAUAUCAGCAUGGUACUACAUAUCUAUAAACAAACAUUUACAUAUCCGAUUUCUCUAGUUUUUUUUGGCAAGAGAGAUGAUAAGACUAUUAAAGAAGCCUUUGCCCAUGCGGAGAAGCUUUGCUGCAUUCUUCGCAAACCUAUGGAAUAUGUCAGGUAUAAUAGCUUCUCCAAAAUGACUUGCGAGUAUGGGUUCGUAAACUCUGUUUGUUUUAGAUAUCAACGUGUCAUAGCAUGAGUUAGUACUACUCUGUUUGUGUGUUAAGAGAGAGAUAGAGAGACUGACUGACUUGGUAAGAUGAAUUCUUUGCGUAGCUUGUGUCACCUUCGCCCCUAUUCAUAUGCAGUAUUUGUUGGAGUUCCAUUUCUGAUCUCUAGUUCUUAAUCGAAUCGGGACUGCUGAAGAAAGUGUCGGCUAAUGAUUGAUAGUAGAACGAAGUUUGGGACUUAAAUAGCGGAAUUUUCUUAAAUUCGUGUACUAACUGACUACAUACGGGUGUGAAGUGCAUUUGAAUUGACAGAAAAUCUGUCAACUGGUCAAAGAGAAAGCCACUUCACACACAUACGUAGCUAGUUAGUAGAUGGAUUAAUGAAAGAGAAAGGCACAGCCAAUGAGAACGAGACACGAAGUAAAUGGUAUGCAUAACACUGAAAAGUUGUAUCACUUCUUCCAUCCCAUUAAAAGUAUAAUAACUUCUAUUUUGAAACAUUCCAAAAUGUUUGUCAAAUUAAAGUCACUUUUGAUUUUUUUUUCAAUGUUGUCCUCAUCUUUAUUGAUAUUUUAUACUAAAUUCAAAUUUAAAAUUUGAAUUUUUAAAGGUAAUUGUGGAAACAAAUCCUCUAACAACACUAUCAAUCCACUAUUAUUAAAAAAUUGAAAUCCUAAAAUGCAACAAACAUUUCGGAGAGAGUAUAAUUCAAAGAAUUAUAUGUAAAACGUAGGCACGACAUGUUUUGUCCGUGUGAAACAUGACACAUAACGUCCAAGCUGAAAUGAAAACGUGUUAGUAGCGUAGAGCACUAAUAGGUAGUGUUUUGAAACCUAAGUUGAACCGGCCGGUUCAACCGGUUAGAUCGCGAACGAAUCACGGCUCCAGUCCUAGCACCUUCCACAUACAUCAUUUUCACACUUUUUUAGGGACAUUUGAGGGGAUGUUGCAGCAGCAUUUUGGGAACUCAAAGACUGUUUUUCUUGAUUCUCUGGCAACAAGGAACAACUAGAAAUAUAGGAGUAAAGACUUAGUUUUCUUGAACAUAUUUCUCUAGUUUUUUUAGUUAGCUUAGUCUUUCAUUUUUCUUGGAGAAUUCUUGGAGAACUCUUGAUGUGCUCAAUAUUUUGAAGACAAUGAAGAUAAUGGAAAUUGAAAACUCUUGUUUCUUCAAUUGAAUGAGUAAUUUUUUCACUCCUUCUUUCUUUAUUGUUGGAUUUAUGUUUGGUUGCUGAUAGGUUGCAUUGUUGUUAUUAAUUUUGUGAUUAUUUCCUCUUUGAUUUUAGCCAAAUAUUGUAUUAAUGGAUAAAUUCUACUCAUAUUUGCUAAUUUGUGCUAAUUGUAGGAAUAUGACGAGAAAAGGAGUAAAAAGUGGUUUAAUGAAAAUUUUUAGCCAGUUCUUUGUGGGCUCGUUCAAAUCCUACUGUCAAGUCUCAGAGACUCGAGAUUUUACUACGAGUGGUAGUAUCCCAGUUCGAAUGGAAGUUCUUAGAAGCAUGUUUCCUUAUCUGAGAUAAUUGGUCUUUCUUUUUGUAUUAAGAAACAAAUGGGUUAUCUUUUGUCAAUUUAGGGAAUCUCCUUUUCUUUGGAGAAAAUUAGGAAGUAUUAGUAGUUUAGGAAAGUAAGAGACGUGAGAACAAGGAAGUCUUCUUGUUUGCGUUGGCUUUAAAAAGUCAUAGUUGUUUUGAGCGAAAGGGGUGAUUAGUCUCGGCAGUCGGCACCAAGGAAGAACGAAGAGUUUUUCUCUUCGUCUUUUCUUUUCUAUUGCUCCUUCUGUUGUCGAACCUCAGGCAACUUUCGUCAAUGAAAUUGCGUGAGUUAUUUUCAAUGGAAAGCAACUAAUCCCUUUUUCUAGUCAAUGGUCAAUUUGAAGAUACGGUUUCAAAUAUCUAUGAGAUUGAAUUAUUUUUAUUUAUUUCUUUUAUUCAUUAGUAUUCGUACGUCUUCUGUUUCAACUUCUUAUGAUUAUUUUGUUAUGUGAAUGUCAAGGAUUCGAUAAUUGAAUUAAUCUAGUAAUCUACUGCCAUAUUAAUCAAUUAAAUUCAUAAUUUUUUGAUUGAUUAAUACUAGUGGCAACUAGCGUGAUUUGUCCCAUGUUAGGGAAACAUAUAAUCUAACUUCAAUGAACCUUCAUAGUAUGUCUGUUAGUUAGGAUUGAGCUUUUCUAAUUUUUAAUGCAAUUGGAGAAUUAAAUCCUAUGGUCAUAUCUAGAAUUGUUUCUUGGUUAGGAAAAUAGUUAAUGGUCGUACCUUGAUUAUCGAUAAACUAAGGAAAAGUUGGCUAUCAGAACUUGUUGAUGGUUGUAACAAAUCUAUUAAUGAGUGAUUAAAUCAUCCUUGCAUCAAUGAUUAAUUGUAUGAAUCGUAUCUAAAAAGUUGUACCUUUGAUUAUAGUCAUAUUUAUUGUUGAUUUAAUUCUUAUUUAUUUCGUUAAUUGUUUCUUUAAUUGGUUAGUGAAUUAUUUCUAAAUUGUCUAAAAAUUCCCCUUACUUUAGGCUCUAAAAAGAGAAAAUUUUUUCAAUCCCUGUGAAUUCGCUCCUACUCAUCGCUAUAUACAAAAAUUUGUAUUUUAUUUGAAUAAAUAUUUAUUAUUGUACAGGCUCGACAUGUCUCAGUUGCAUUAAAGCCUUAAGCUUUUCUAUUCUAUCUACUAUGUCUAAGUAAGAUAAAUAUUAUUAUUCGGAUUAAUCUUUCCUAUACUGACAGUGUAUACACUAUUAGCAUUGGAUAAAUGAUAACUAUACAAAUUUUGAAUUUGAAUUUGAAAUUCAAUUUUUGCACACAUGUCAUGAAUCAAACGGUGAUAGUGUAUACACUGUCAGUAUAUUUAAGAUAUAUUCUUAUUGUUUUAGGGUGGAUGAAUCUAUUUGUACUUUAAUUAUGGAUUAAUUGUGGUUACCAAUUGCCAUAUCUUGCAUUUGCAAGUUCACUUACUUUGUGCAUGAACAUUUGUGAAUGCUUAAUCAUAAUUUACAAUACAUGUUAGUUAUUAUUAAUAUAUGUGAGUAGUUAACAAUGAUGGAAAUAGAAUAAGCAGAAUCUAAAGAACACGAAAGUAAUCAUACACUUUGGUGGAUUUUCUUCACAUUUCUUCGUUUUAAUGAAACCUCCACCUGUGAUUUCACCAUUAAAAUUAGGGAUGUACAAAAUCAAAAAAUUUCGAUUUAUCGACUGAAUUCGAAUUGAAUUUGGAAUUUUCAAAAUUGGUAAAUCAGAAAUAGGAAUUGAAUUCGGGUUUUUCUAAUUCAUAUAUUUCGAAUUUCGUUCAAAUUCGGUAAUGGGGUUUUUCAAAUCUAAAUUUUCGAUUUCGAAUUCACAAUUCGAAAUCGAAAAUCAAAUACCGAUUUCGAUUUCAAAUUUGUUUUUAAUAUAUAUAUUUUAUAUAUGUAAUAUAUAAAUUAUAUUAUAUAAUAUUAUAUAAAAUUUAUAUUAUAUAAUAUUAUAAAAUUUAUAUUAUUUAAUAAAGUUUAUAUUAUAUAAUAAUAUAUAAAAUUUUUCGAAUUUGAUGAAAUCAAAAUUUACCAAAUUCUAAAUUAAAUUCGGUAUGAAUUUGAAAUCGAAAUCGAAAUCGAAUUGUUAGACCCGAAGACAAGCUAAGAGGGGAGGUGAAUUAGGUUAUUUAAAAAAUUAAUCAGGUUGUGAGACACCUUUUUGUUCAAUAUGAAAUUUACCCUCUUUUCUAGGAAAUCACACAAUAAAUCAAUCAAUGAAUGAACAAUAUCACUUGAGAGAAGUAGAAAAGAUAAGCAAUUUAAGAAUCACAACAUAACAAUAAGUAAAUGAGAAGAAAGGAAUUGCAAACCAAUUGACUACUAAUGUGAGGACUUGUAAAAUUCCUGAUAUUUUUCUUAAAAAUUCCCUUUAUUUAAAAAUUAUUACUUUAUAAUAGCCUUACUAUCUAAUCACCCCACAAUAAGUGCAAAUGAACAUAGAAUUAAGGGUUUUCCCUUUUCGUUUUCAAGUUAUCGCAAAUUAGGAUUUUUACACCUUUUCGUACUGUGACUAUUCGGUACGGAGUGUGUAUCAAAUUUGAUAAUUAAGAGUGAGUUUUAGAUGAUAUUAAGUGUGUGCUUAGAAGUGAUAAUAAUAAGUUAGUGAAUUGUAAGAUAAAACCCUAGUUUACGCGAUUUAAGACGGGUAUCGUUCACUACCGAUUGAAUACACCACUUGACCACCACUUUCUUACCAUGAAACAUCAUUGAAAUUAGUGCAAAAUAUCAGCCCCUUUCUUAGCUUAUAGUGGCCGAAAUUGUUGACUAGAAAAACACAAGGAAAAGAAAAAAUUUGAGAGUUAAUCUUAUGGCGACAAGUGGCGGUCAUCCAAAGGUUGUUGACCAACCAAUUUCUUCCAUAUUUAUCACCAAAAAUCACUCACAAUGCUCCUCAUUUCAGCAUUCCAGCCGUGAGCUUUGAGGGAGAGAGAGCAAGAGGAAGAAAACUCCAUUUCAUCUUGAGGUUAAUCCAUUUGAAUGAGAAAUCAAGGAAACUAAACCGAUUAACUUCUCAAUUAGGAGCUUAGGAAGCUUGGGGAGCUAAGUUUUUCAAGGAAAGGUGAAGGACAUCUCUUGCAAGCCUUUUAUUGAGGUAUUAUGGCUGUUCAUCUUCCUCCUUUCCCUUAGUCUUGUCGAAAUUAUGUAGUAACUUGUAUUCUUGCCUUGUGAUACCUAGUUAAGGGGUUUUGAUGCUUGUGGUGCUGAAAUUUUGAGUUAAGGUUUUGAAUGGUUCACUUAUAUUUCUUGUUGUUUGGAUGGUAUAUGAUGUAUAUAAUCUUGUAUAGGAAGUUGUAGUGGUGGUUUAAGCUAGAAAGGUGAAGUUUACACUUUAAAAUCACUGAAUUCCAGAUUUGGGUUUUCAUCUUACCCUGUUCUGAUCGGUUCUGUUUGGCCAUGAUGGAGGUCGAAUUAGACUUAGCUCAAACCAUAAAAGUUGUAGAAAAUGAUGUUUUAUAGCUGCCUACGAAAUUUCAACUCAAUCCGAGCACUGUAACAUGUGAAAAGAUAAAAAUACCCUUGACUGCCAUAGGUAGAUCUCUGUGGAUAGUUUUGACAUUUCACCAUUCUGGCCCCAUUUUUUCCAUCUUGAUCCGUAUUGAAUUAGCAUUUGGCUAAAACACAAAAGUUGUAGUACUAUAUUUUAGCUUUCCAACGCCUCUGAAAACGCCUCAAUCGAACUUUUGUAGCCUGAGUUAUUAUCAGUUGAAUGCAAUGCUAUUAACCAGCCUGACGGUAAAAUUCUGGUUCUGUAAACGAUGAAUUUGACUUGGAUACACUAUGAACUGGAUUGAGUGGCUUUCAUCAAAGUUGUAGUCCUUUGUCUUAACUUCGAAAUGGUAUAAAUUUCACCCCAAUCCGAUAAGCGUAACUUCGGUUGUGACUGAUACGCUAAGAGACGUCGAACCUGUCUUUUACUUUUUGCCUUAAACCCUAUUUCUGGUCAUUUUUGUAGCAUGGUUUUGUAAUUGUAUGACGUUGAGCCUAUUGAACGGCUAUUGUAAUGAAACUAUUUGCGUGUGAUUUUAGGACUGAUUGAGGAAAAGAAUGAAAUCAUAAAUGGCUGAAAAAUAGGUAAAUACAAAGGGCGUGCUGCCCAAAUUUGCGCUCGAGGCCUAAGUAGAUAUACUCGCGAUUUGCGUAAGGAUUUGAGAACGAAUACCACUUGAACCAUCUAGGAUAUUUGUAUCUUCUUUUAUCGAGAUAUAUAAGUUAGAACUUGGCCGACCUUGUACCCUUGGGAAAAUGGAAAUAACGACUAGUAGAAAUACGUUUUUCCUCGUUCUUUCGAUUCAAAUAGUAUUUUCAGGUAUAAUUGCUACCAAAUCUUACAGUUUGAAAAGCGAGCAAGAGUUUUACGAAUAUUUUCUAAAUGAAUUUCAAUUACUUGAUUCUUGUUAACCGAAAUGUUUAAGUUUCGAAUCUUAGUCGAUUUUUAAAAUUCUUAAACAAUGUUUUAUCGCAGAUUUGGACUCCAAACCAGGGGUACAACCUAGACGUGAUCACUAGAAGCACUACAUUUUGGUGAGUGCUUCCAAAUAUCUGAUUGAACUUGACAUUUGUGUUUAACACUUGACCAAUGUGAUUACAUGAUACAUAAGUGAAUUGAUAGGGUAAGAGUGUACUUUAUCGCACUUGUCCUAAUGUGAUUUAUCCUUGUUCAUCGAUUUCAAUUGACUUGAUAUACAUGCAUAUGAAUUGUAUCUUGCCUGAAAUUCCAGAAACCCUGUGGCUAGUUAGUCGAGUCGAGCCGACAAGGGUCUGGUCGAUUAGAUAACGAACCUUGGGUAGUUAGUGAUGUCGAGCGGAGUGUUAUCUUCUCGACUAAUCGGUAUACUCCAGUAUUACCACCAGUAUUUAUUGUGGAGUUCGGGUCCGGUAAGGGAUUUGGUCGGUGGUCGGAAAUUGGAGUUAAGUGGUGUUCUACUGGACUAGUUACCUUAUUUGAAAGUUGACGGAGUGUCAACUACCAAUCGAUUAAACUAUGGUGGAACCGAUAUAUGAGCAACUGUAUCCUUAUAUGUGAAAUGCGAAAAAUUUAUUGUUUGGCUAUAUGAAGUAUUAUUACUCAUUUCUUGACUUGUUUUGCUCGCUAUUUCACUAUUGUUCUACUUCUACGUUAUUUGAUGGUUAAUUUGAUAUUUGGAACAUCACUGAAUUUUAGCUCACUCCAUUAGUUUUGUUUUCCUUACAGGGGGUACGAGCGAGACGUGAGACGUGUGCAGACUAGCGUAUUCUAAAUAUUUUGAAUUUUGAAUUGUACGUGCGCUAUUAUUCGACUAGGUUGAUUUGUACUUGAAAUGUAACCACUUUGAAGUAUUUGGGUGUAUAGAAAUUUUGUACCUUGGUUUGUGCAUCCUUGUAUAUUAUAAGUUUGAAUUACGAUAUUAUGUAUCGUCUAUGGAUGUAUGCUUGAGAUACGAGUGAGUGAGUCCUGACGAGAGAUGGGCAGACGACUCGCUAAACCCUAGGGUACGCCCCAGGGGGAGGUGGGGUCGUCACAACCAAGAUCCUCUUCCUCUUGAAGAUCAAUUCAAAUAAGUUUCAUCAAAUUGAUGAAAUAUAAUCAAUGUUGUGUACAAAAGAAGACUCACUUUCUCCUUGCCCAAGCUCCACUCAGUUAAGUUAGAAAGUUUUAUUAUCCCUCAGGACAACCCUCACAGAGUUACACUAUUGAAGUAUUCACUCACAAAUAAAAGUUUACAAUGAACUUCACACUAUCAAAACUACAAAACUUCCUUGGAGAGUGUUUUCUCACUAAAAUUACUCUAUAUCUUUUGUAUGUUUAGUGUGCAAAAGUUGUUUGAAAUUUCUGACCAUGCACUAUUUAUAUAAGACCAAAAAGUGCUUCAUUAAUGUUUUCAACAGAUAGAAAGUAGCUGAACAGCCAACUAGCUGUUAGGAGUAUCGAAUGUCCGGUACUAUCGUUGCUUGCGUCCGAUAGCAGACAGAGAAUUAGAAGGAUUUUAUCGGACAUCCGGUAUUUCCGAUGCUUGCGUCCGAUAACAGACAGAGAGUUUGAAAGAUCAUCUCAAUUCUAUCAGAUAUCCAGUACUUCGAAUGCUUGCGUCCGAUACGAUCUGCACAGUUUAUUGGACGUCUGCUAUUGUUUUUGUGAGUGUCCGAUAGCUUUCGUCUUCCUUUAUCUUUUUUUAAAUACUCUUGUUCUUUGAAUCAAAUUGCUUCAAAGUUGAAAGAAUUUCUUAGAAAAGAUAUCAGUACUAUCAAUUUGUUUUGUAAAUAUCAAAAGACAGGGAUCAAGAUUAACAUUCUCCCCCUUUUUGAUGAUGACAAAACAAUGGAUGGAAGGAAGAAAAUGAGCAGAAACUCCCCCUUACUCAUAACAUCCCAAACCAACAUCCAUUUAGUAAUUUCUCUCCCUUUUUGCCAUCAUAAAAAUAGAGAGUAAUUACCAUAAAAAAUAACAGCAGUGGCAACCAUCAUCAGCCAAUAACAGAAAAAUAACAUCAAAAGAUACAAAAAAUAACAAUGAACAUCAAUGAGACCAACAUUUAUGUCAACCAAUAUUCAUUAGUCAUUCAAAAACCAUCAAAGGAACUUAGUUCAGAACAUCUGAAAUAUCAAAAGUAUUACAAAAUACUUGUAGCAAUCAUAACUCUAUAUUUCUUUUCAUGAAUUUUCGUACCUUCUUCAUCUUUGUCAAGUUUGGUAGAUGCAUACAUAGGCGUUCCAACUUGUUUUGAAUCCUCCAUUCUGAAUCUUUUGAGAAGUUCCUUUGUAUACUUUGCUUGAUUAAUGAAUGUACCCUCUUGAAUUUGAAGCACUCGGAACCCAAGGAAGAAAUUUAACUCUUCCAAUAUACUCAUCUCAAACUCAUUUUGCAUAAUAGUGAAAAAAUUCUUGCAUAAACACUCAUUAGUAGCACCAAAAAUAACACUCAUUAGUAGCACCAAAAAUAAUAUCAUCCACAUAUAUUUGCACAAUUAGAAGAUCAUUGGAACUUUGUUUAGUGAAAAGAGUGGUAUCCACAAUACCCCUUUUAAAAUCAUUUUCAACCAAAAAAUUAUCCACUUUUUAAAACUAUUCUCAAUCAAGAGUUUUGGAUCCUUGAGAGUUAGCAUCAUUUCUAACUAUCCACAUAUAUUUUAUGCUUCUUCUCAUGUUUUUCCUCACAUAACAAUCACUUUUCAUGUGACCUUUUUGACAACAAAAAUUACACAUAACCAAAGAGUUAUUUGCAUGAAAAGGUUUAAUAGAUCUCUCUUCUCUUCUCUUAUGAAUGGUAAAUUCAUUUGCACCAAAUUUAACUGCUUUUUAUGAGUGUCAAGAUGAGGUUUUAAUCUAUUUUCUUGAAAAUAAUUUUAUUUUUUAUGUUGGAGAAAUUCAUUUAGAUUGUCCAUUCUUCUUUUCAAAUCACCUUGUUCCUCUUUGAACAUGUCACAAAGUUUUAUUUUUCUAUCAAACUCAUUUUGUAGAUCAAUCUCAUCUUUUUUCAAGUAAUCAUUUUCAUUUUUUAACUUUUUAUUUUCUUGAAAAAUACGUGCAAUGUUUUGAAGAAAAAAAUUAAUUUUAUGUUUUAAUUUCUUAUUUCUAGCAUAAGAUUCUUUUAAACAAUCAUGCAAUUUUUCAAUGAAGGAUUCAAGAUCGUCAUCAGUUUCAUCAGCACUUUCAAAUUGAAGGUUAGAAGUUGUUAUCUCAUUAUCUCCAAUGGCCAUAAAAGUCAAUUGAGCAGAUUCUUUUUCCUCUUCAAUUUCACCAUCAGAGUUGCACUCAUUUCAUAUGAAUUAGAAGUUGUUGAAUCUUGAUUUUCUUUCAACUUUUCCUUCUUUUUUCUUCUUCAUUAGACACUCAAUCAUGUAGUGUCCAGGUUGGCCACAUUCAUAGCAUUUGUUGCUUCAUUUUUUAUUGGCCUCUUAUUUUCCUUUGUUUCUUGCAUUGUUGAAUUGAUUUGGAAAUGAAUUUCUAGGUCCUCCUUUUCUGAAUCUCCUUUUGUUGAGGAUUCUCUUGAAACUUUUUGUGAUGAGAGCAAGAUCAUUGUCGUCAACAUCCAUAUCUUCUCCAUUCAAGGAAGCCGAGUCAUCUUCAUCUUGAGAUGCUUUUAGAGCAAUACUCCUUCUUACCUUUGCAUCUUCUUCUUCUUAUACCUUAGUUUUAAGUUUCAGCUCAUAAGAGGUUAGAGAGUUAAUAAGAGAUUCAAUAGGGAUAGAAUUCAAAUCUUUAGCCUCUUCAAUAGCAGUCACCUUACUUUCCCAAUUUUUGGACAAAGUAUUCAAGAUUUUUCUAUUUUUCUCUCAUAAGAAGUUUCUAGAACUUCUAAAUCCUUAAUAAAAUCAUUAAAUUUACAAUACAUUUUGUCAAUAUUUUCAUGAGAUUCCAUUUUAAAUGACUCAUAUUUAGUAACCAGUAUAGAUUUCUUUUGUUCUCUAACAUUCUCACUACCUUCAUGAAUUUCUUUUAAUUUGUCCCAAAUUUCUUUAACUGACUUACAGCCUUUGACCCUAAUAGAUUCAUUUGGGUCUAAAGCAGUAUAUACUACAUUCAUGCCUUUUGCAUUUAAGGUGAGAUGAGUUCUAUUUUCUGCAGUCAAUUCAUUUCUUGUCUUUGGUUUAAAUCUAUGAGUAUUUUCAUCUACUAUUGAGGCAUCAUAUGGACAUUCAUUAACAAUAAAUCAUAAUUCAAUGUCAAUAGAUUGCAAGAAAAUAAUCAUUCUCUCUUUCCAACUCAGAUAAUUUGAUCCAUUAAAAAUGAAAGGUCUAGUUACAGAUUGUUUUUCCAAAAAUAUGACAUUGUUGGUUAUCAUUUUUACUCCUAAACCGAUUGAGGUUAAUCUCCAGAAGACCAAACUCUGACACCAAUUAUUAGGUCCGAAGACAACCUAAGAAGGGGGUGAAUUAGAUUAUUUGAAAAAUUAAUCAGGUUAUGAGACACCUUUUUGUUCAAUAUAAAAUUUACCCUCUUUUCUAAGUGAUCACACAAUAAAUCAAUCAAUGAAUGAACAAUAUCACUUGAGAGAAGUAGAAGAGAUAAGCAAUUUAAGGAUCACAACAUAACAAUAAGUAAAUAAGAAGAAAGGAAUUGCAAACCAAUUGACUACCAAGAUCCUCUUGAAUUUGAAGAUCAAUUCAAACAAAUUUCUUCAAAUUGAUGAAAUACAACCAAUCUUGUGUACAAAGGAAGACUCACUUUCUCCUUGCCCAAGCUCCACUCAGUUAAGUUAGGAAGUUUUACUAUCCCUCAGGACAACUCUCACAGAGCUACACUAUUGAAGUAUUCAUUCACAAAUGAAAAGUUUACAAUGAAUUUCACACUACCAAAAUUACAAAUCUUCCUUGGAGAGUGUUUUCUCACUAAAACUACUCUAUAUCUUUUAUAUCUUCAGUGUCCAAAAGUUGUUUGAAGUUUCUAACCAUGCACUAUUUAUAUAAAACCAAGAAAGUGCUUCAUUAAUGCUUCCAACGGAUAGAAAGUAGUUAAACAGUCAACUAGCCGUUGGGAGUAUUGAGCGUCCGGUACUAUCGUUGCUUGCAUCCGAUAGCAGACAGAAAGUUUGAAAGAUUCUAUCAGACGUUCGGUACUUCCAAUGCUUGCCUUCGAUAGCAGACAGAGAAUUUGAAAGAUCAUCUCAAUUCUAUCGGACGUCCGGUACUUCUGAUGCUUGCGUCCGAUAUGAUCUGUACAGUUUAUCGGAUUUCCGGUAUUGUCUUUGUAAGCGUCUGACAGCUUUCGUCUUCCUUUAUUUUCUUUCAAAUACUCUUGUUCUUUGAAUCAAAUUGUUUCUUAGAAAAGAUAUUAGUACUAUCCAUUUGUUUUGUAAAUAUCAAAAGACAGGAAUCAAGAUCAACACGAAUUCGGUCGGAUUCUCUGAUGCGAAAAUUUUGAAAAAUUUCAAAUUCAAAAUUCCGAAUUACCGAUUUCAAAUUCGAUACACACCCCUAAUUAAAAUAGGGAAACUCUAGUGUUGGCAAUAAUCAGUUCAUCAGCAAAAGCGAGUCUUGAUUACUUGAGGAAAAUGUAUCUUUGGCAAGACAAGAGUAGUUAGUGAUAAUUAACCACUUCAUUGAUAGUUUGGUACAUUUAGUGGAUUUUACACCCUAGAAUGCUUGUGUUUAGUUGAGAUGCUCCAAUUUCACUACUUUCAAGUGCAUUGUUAUAGUAAUGAUAUUGCUUUACUUUUGUUAAAAAUUCUUGAUAGACUAAAUAAUAGAGGGAAUUUUAGGCCUUAGUAAUUGGUUUGUGUUUCUCGUGGGAUAUAACACCUCGCAUGCUACAAAAGUGACUUGUAUAUUUGCAACAAACGAGAUAGUUGGUUAUAACUUUCGAGUGCAGGUUUGAACCUCAUUAUAAAUAAAUUAUCUAAUCCAUAUUCAUUUUUAUCCUAAAAAAGUAGGAUCUAAUUCAAACUAUAUUCAUUUUUCUCAAAACAAAAAAAGGAAUCGAACCCAAUCCAUAUUCAUUUUUAUCACUAAAAAGUGGGAUCUAAUCUUUUUGUACAGUAAAAAAAUGACUAUAUGUAGAUCACGUGGUGAUUUCAUCCUGAAAGUGGUCAAAAACUUAGAUUGGGAUUAAAUUUUGUUAAGGUAAACUUGUAAUGGACGUAAAGUGAACAUUUUAAAAAUGAAUGACAAAAAAUUCAUUUGGCGAAAUGUGAGGGACAUUUUGAACGAUUUUUCAUACUUUUAAUACCAUAUCUUUAGGCCAAUAUAUAAUCAUAUUAUUUCAAAAAUAUACUAACUAUGUCUCCUAGGCUCUUAGUCCCCCUUCUCAAUUGAUCAACAAUGUAAAUAAUAACCUUCUAUUUUUCACCUUCCUUGAGAAAUUUGAACAGAAGAAAAAUGAUACUAUUUUUUAUUGUAUUCGUGAAAUUUUGUUCAGCAGAAAAUAACAAAAUAAAAUAAAAAAAUAGUGAAAAAGUGAAGAUAAAGGCCAUUACAGCUAUAAAACAAUAAAGAACAAAAGAAGACGUAUUACGUUUUCUGGAUAUUUACUUAUUUUCUGACAUUUAAUUUUACUUUGCAUAUCUUCUUUUUUCCCUCGUGUUUUGAUCCAGUUCAAACUUCUUGCAAAUAUGCCCCGAACUGGCCUAGACAAUGAGUACCAAAGCCAUGUGAAAAUCGACCUUAAAUGUAUCGAAAACUUCUAUGUUCAAUCACGAAAAAAUUCAGGGCCUUAAAAACUGUCCAAAAACAAUACACCACAAGCCAUUGCAUUCACACAAACAUAGUGAAAGCAGAAGAAGCUUUAGCUUUGAAACUUGCUCAAGUAUUAAAAUCUUGCAAAUCCCUCUUGCCCUGGCCACUCCAAUCCUUCCAUUAUCCAAAAAGGUCAGCAAAUCGAUGCCCAAAUCACUGUCAAUGGACUUAAUAGCUUGGGUUUAUUGGGAACAAGGGUUUUGGGAAUUUACAUACUUUGUGGGAAGUUUUUUGAUGCCAAGAACUUAUUUUUUCAGCUUGAGUUGUACUAUGCCUCCCCUUGGAAUUGGAUGAUUAGGGGAUUUACUUUGGUGGGUUGGUUUGAUUUUGCAUUAAUGUUUUACUAUAAGAUGUUGGGUUUUGGUACUUGUCCUGAUAAGUACACUUUUCCUUAUGUAAUCAAGGCUUGUUGUGGUUUGCAAUCAUUGAAAUUAGGUAGAUUAAUACAUGGGUCGAUUAGAGAUUUGGCUUUUGAGUUGGAUGUGUUUGUGGGUAUUGCUUUGAUUAAAUUGUAUGCGGAGAAUGGUUGUAUAGAUGAAGCGCGACGUCUGUUUGAUAAAAUGCCUGAAAAAGGAUAGUGUUUUGUGGAAUGUAAUGCUUAAUGCUUAUGCGCAAGAUAGGAACUUGGUGGAUGAUGUGCUUAGGUUGUAUAGAGAAAUGAGGAUGACUGAAACUAAACCUUAUUCAAUUAGUUAUGCUUGUAUUCUUUCAGUUUGUGGUUUAGAACAUAUGGUUUAUUUUGGUGCUCAGGUACACGGUAAUGUUGUCAGAUGUGGGUUGGAGAUAGAAUCUUCGGUUGCUAACACUUUGAUUGCUAUGUAUGCAAAAUGCCAAUGCUUGUCUGAUGCACGAAAGUUAUUUGAUUUGAUAACGCAGGCUGAUUUUGUAACUUGGAAUGCAAUGAUUGGGGGCUAUGGUCAAAGUAGGCGUUUGCCUGAAGCUUUAGAUUUGUUUUGCCAAAUGUUAUCUAUGGGUGCUAUACCAGACUCAACCACCAUUUACAAGUAUACUUUCAUUGUUUUCUGACUUGCAGUCCCUAAAUCAAGCCAAGGAAAUUCAUGGUUACAUAUUAAGAAACAAUGUCAAUAUGGAUGUGUUCUUGAAGAAUGCACUUAUUGAUAUUUACUUUAAGUGCAGGGUUGUGGAGAUGGCAUCUAAAAUCUUCAACUCUUGCCUUGCUGUAGAUAUCGUCAUUUGUACUGCAUGAUUUUGGGGUUUGUGCUCAAUGGAAUGGAUUUUAAAGCCUUAGAAAUGUUUAGAUGGGUGCUAGAUAAGAAAAUGAGGCCCAAUCCAGUAACUCUAGCAAGUCUCUUACCAGCUUGUGCUGGUUUGGCUGCUCUGAAAUAGGGUAGGGAGUUGCAUGGUAGUGUUCUUAGAAAUGGGUUUGAAGACAGGUGUUAUGUAGGAAGUUCAAUUUCAGAUAUGUAUGCAAAAUGUGGAAGGUUGGACCUAGCACGUCUAGCUUUCUUCAAAAUUUCCAAAAAAGACACUGUUUCUUGGAACUCAAUGAUUACUAGCUGUUGCCAGAAUGCAAAGUCGGAGGAAGCAAUUGAUCUUUUCUAUCAGAUGGGUUUAGAAGGAGUCAAAUAUGACUCUGUUAGGAUAUCUGCAACUCUUUGUGCAUGUGCAAACUUUCAAGCACUGCAUUAUGGCAAAGUAAUACAUGGAUUCAUGAUUCGAGGAGCAUUUAGCUCAGAUCUUUUUGCUGAGAGCGCAGUGAUAGACAUGUAUGCUACAUGUGGACACUUGGAAUUAGCAUGUACUGCUUUUGACUUGAUGGAGUGCAAGAACGAAGUUUCUUGGAAUAGCAUAAUUGCUGCUUAUGGGAACUAUGGACACCUUGAGGAUACUUUGGCUCUACUGAAUGAAAUGAGGGAAAAUGGAUUCUAGCCUGACCAUGUCACUUUUCUAGCCAUAAUAUCUGCUUGUGACCAUACUGGCCAAGUUGAAGAGGGCAAGAAAUUUUUUGAAUGCAUGACCCAAGAAUUUGGAAUUACAGCUCGAAUGGAACACUAUGCAUGCUUAAUAGAUUUGUUUCACCGAGCUGGUUGUCUUGAAGAAGUACAUCAAGUGAUUAGGAGCAUGCCAUUUACUAUAGAUGCUGGCAUAUGGGGCACGCUACUCGAAACCUACCGUGUCCAUGGCAACGUUGAACUAGUUGAAUUGGCUUCAAAUCAACUUUUUGACCUGGACUCGCAAAAUACUGGAUAUUAUAUGCCCCUAUAACAAGUGCAAGCUGAUGCUGAAAAGUGGGAAGGGGUUAACAAAGUAAGAAAUAUGAUGAAGGAAAGAGAAGUGCAGAAAGCUCCUAGUUACGACGCGAUCUCGCAACUCGGGAAUACGUGGUUUGACAAUUCUUCAUUCAGGCAGAAGAGACAUUUUGAUGAGAGGUUGAAACCAAACUGUUGUAAAAUUUCUGGAAAAGUUAGCAAGGAGUACAACAACUGUCACAUGAAGAUGGAAAUUUUGUAUGGUAGUCGUUUAUCCCAAAUCAGCAGACAUGAGACCAUUGAGGCACCUUGUGAGCGCAGCUGUAGUAGUGCUAAAGAUAUGCUAAAGAGUCCAUUGGAUGAGGGACACCAUGCUAGACGAUCAUCACCACUUGAGAUAGAGAUUUGGGGAGGUCCGAAUGUCAUGUAUCUCACUAAGGGAUAAGGCACUCUCGACAGGUUGUAAGUUCCAAGACCCAUUUUCCAAACAAUCGCUGACUUGCAGGGCAAGGGACAUAUGCCUUCCCUGUAGCAAGCAAGCCCGUACCCAACCAGUUUUCAAGCCAAAAGGAUGAACCACCUGUGCAUAUCAACCGUCACGACUGAUCCUCCGCAAAAUCUCGAGCUUGUAACAGUCAUCACCAUGUCUUCAAUCCUUUGCUGGACGUUGGUAACUGGGUUAAAUGCGAUUGUUGGCUAUAUUUCACAGUCAUGAAACGGGUCCAUAACGUAGAGGUAGUUCGUAGCCACCACCAAAGCUUGCAACUAAAUGCCUGCAGCACAGCCUCUAGUGCCAUGAACCCUAAGCCAUCCUCUUCGACUAGUUUACAUAGCUUCUUCCAUUCCCUCUAAUGUCUCCUCUCCUUCCCUUCCAUCUCACCAUAGAAGAAGGUAGCAAAACAGCAUUCCAUUUGGCAUAAAGUACUUGUUGGGGGCUCCAAAAUAGCCAUGAUAUGUUAGGGUAUUGACGUCAAGACGUGCUUGAUAAGCAAUGCGUGACCCCAGCUGAAAAUGCCUUGGUUUUCCAGCCAGCUAGCUUCGUUCUCAUUUUGUCAAUUAUAUGUUGAAAAUUCACUCGACUUGGUCUGCUUUUGCUAGCGUGCAGCCUGGAUAUUGAAAAGGUAACUGGCGGCCUUUAAUAUCUAGCCAUUGGGAUAUUUGCCAUGAUGUAACCGUCAAGCAUUGUAAGGAGAUAAUAAAGAAGCUCUUGUUUUUAUUGAUUCGCUGCCCCGAGCCCACUUGAUAAGUGUCGAGAAACUCUAGUAGUGAUUUGAUGUCUAUUCACUCCCCCUUCAUAAAGAGCAAGACAUCGUCGGCAAAGCUCAGAUGUGUGAUUGGGAUACAUUCCCUCGGGAGGCCGAAUGGAGAGAGUUUACCCGUCAAGAGUAGGGCAUUCAAGCCUCGGUUGAAUGCUUCAGUAACUAGUAAGAAUAAGUAUGAGGAGAGUGGAUCUCAUUUGACUCCCCGCUCACCUUGGAAGAAGCCGAAGGGCUUGCCAUUGAUAAGCACUGAAAACCAUGCUUCUUGAAGAUUGUUCAUGACCAAGGAAAUAAACUAGCCAUUAAAUCCAAAUUUACACAGCAACUUGGAUAGAAAUUGCCAGGAUAUGAAGUCAAAGGCCUUCAUCAUAUCCACCUUGGGAAUCAUGUUGUGGCCCGAGUUUUUGUGCCUAUCGAUUCUAACAAUUCGUGGCCCAGAAGGAUAUUGUCUGAUAUUUCCCUCCCUUUGACAAAAGCAGAUUGCUCUGAUGAUAUCAAAAAGGCAUCAAUGAUUUCAUUCGCAUACAAAGAAUCUUCGUGAAUACCUUUUUUAGGAAGGUGCAAAGAUUUAUUGGUCUAAACUCGACAAAUGUCGACGGCUGUUCCUUUUUUGGCAGCAGUGUGAUUAAGGUGCUGGCAAUACUUUUUGGGAUUGGAACCCCACAAAAAAACCCUCGACUGCUUGCAAUAGGUCUUGAGCUGUUAUGUCCCAACAAGUCAUGUAAAAGAACCCCGUAAAACCAUCCACCCCUGCUGCACUUUGACCAUCUAAUGCAAAAACAGAUUUUUUGACUUCCUCCAAUGUAACUUCGCUCAUUAAAUCCUCGUUUUGUUGGUAUGUAACCAGCCUUGGAAUCGAAGCCAACAAUUCUUCAAUUGCUGGCUCACUAUUAGGAGUGUUUUGGUAGGACAGCAAGUUUCUAUAGAAAGCCGCUGCACUCUGACCUAUAGCCUCCUCGUCUUCUAACAUGUUGUCAUCUGCCCCUCUUGACGAAUUGAGAGGCAUGCCCGCUUGGAUAUUAGAGUGGAAUGGAAAAAUUUUGUGUUGGAGUCUCCCUCCGUCAGCCACCUUAUUCGUGCUUUUUGUUUCCAGAACAUUUCCUCAUCAGCAAGUGUCUUGAGCAGCCUCGCUUGUGUGUGGCUCCAUUGGGUCUUUGGCUCUUUUGUCCCUUCCUCCUCAAGCAAGAUCUCGCAUGCUUUAACUUCUUCUUUAGCUGCUACUACGUCCUUGAAAACAUCUCCAAACAUGUCUUUGUUCCACUGCUGAAGUUCAUGUUUGAGGCGUUUGAGCUUGAAGAAGAAAGCAAACAUGCCAUAGCCUUGAACGACUUGUUCCCAACUCUGGUGAACCGUGUCAAGGAAUGUUGGGUUCUAGACCCAUGUAUGCUAGAAUUUGAAUAACUGUGGAGCAAGGGCGCUGCAUUGCUUAACUUUCAGCAAAAGUUAAUUGACACUAACACUUAACUAAAACUUCAAAAAUGCAUGAAAACUGAAACAAAUAGUCUUGGGUUGCCUCCCAAGUAGCGCCUUUCUUUAAUGUCUUUGGCUAGACAUUAUCAUGUUUUGCUCAUGGAGGGUAAAAUCUUGUGGCUCGUCUUACUGCUUCAUCCUCUAUAUAGUCCUGAUAACCCUCGUAAAUAGAAUAAUCCUUGAGCAUACGAGCUACGGGCUUCCAUGGACUAGUGAAUGGCGCCAAACGAGUCGAUGAUAAUUUGCAUUCUCCAUUCACUCCUCCCCCACUUGCAUUUAUUGGUACAAGAUAUCUUGCCAUCGCCACUCUUAAUUUAUUCCUGUCAUGAAAUUCAAAAUUGUCUGGUAUAAUAAAUUCAAUUUCAUUAACAGGAAUUGAAGAGUAAGAGUCAGGAGAAUAGUGAUGAAGGAGUGGAGGGGAUGUCACCGCAUUUGGAGAUUGUUCACUGGAUUCAUUCACUUGAACCAUUUGAUGUUGGGGUCUCAAUUCUUGCUCUUCAACUUUCUUUUCAACUACAUCUUUAGAUUCUUCUUCUCGUGACUCUUGCAGUACCAUGUCAUUUGUCAGAAUAAUUGCACUCUCAUCUUUCUCAUGGUCGAUAAUAGUCGGUGAGGACAAUUCUUCAUAAACUGGAGAAAUCAAUUUGCUCGUUUUAAAUGCCCAUUCAAGCCUUGCUUCUUUCAUCUCUUCACUCAUCUUUUGUGUCUCCUGUUGAAGUUGAUAUGUGUUAGUAGCUAUUAAUUCAACCAUUUCUUCAAGAGACAUACCUGACAUGGAUGACGGUUCUUGAGACUCUAGCUGUUGAAAAUCUAGUGGCCCUGUUGUAUAAUUAUAACUGGAGUUAUCCCACCAUCCUUGAUCAUACCCGUUUGGAUUAGGGUUAUACCACGUUUGAGACCAUGGUGAAAAAUCUCCAUAAUUAUUGAGUGGGACACUCAUAUUAUCUUGAUAUUCGGGGCACAUACCGGUCGAAUGAUCCCUGGCAUAACAAAUUUUACAGGUUGCAGCAGCCAUUCUUUCUCUAAUAGAGUUUACUGCCUCUGAAUAUGCAAACUUAGCAAAAAAACUAGUCUCAUCGCUUUCCCCGGAAACAAAAUCCAGUCUAUCACCAAAAUACGGAGUGUUAGAAGCCAUAAACUAUAAUAAAAAAAAUAAGGGAAAAAUAAAUAAAAAAUAAAAAAAUAAAAACAAGAUGAACUCAAAAAGAAACAAAUUAAUCUGGCACCAGUCCCCGGCAACGGCGCCAAAAAUUGACAGGCGUCGAACCUGUGCAAUAAUAAAUACCUGCUCAAAUAAAAUACAAAUUCUGUAUAUAGCGGUAAGCAGGGUCGAAUCCACAGGGACUGGGGAUAAUUUAAUUUCUUCUCAAGUUCCAGAUAUGGGGGGUUUUUGAAAAUGAGAGUAACUAAAUUAUUUGGAAUAAAAUAAAAUAAAAUAACUACAACUCAAUUAACUAAUUAUCACAAUAAGAAUAAUGAUGGACGAACUCUAGCCAAGAGACAACUUCGGAGAUGGUUCACUUAAUUCGAUCACAGAUGCAAGGAUUAUUCCAGUUACUAUCCGAUAAAUUAGUUAUAGUUGUCAUACACGCGAUAAACAACCAACUCUUCCUCAAUUUGUCGAUAGCCAAGGUACGACCGUUGACUAUUUCUCUAAUCAGGAAAUAACCCUAGGUACGACCAUAGAAGUUCAAUUCCCUAAUUGCAUGAAUAAUUAGAAGAGCCUAAUUCUAACCAAUCAACACGCUACGAGGGUCUCUUUAAGUUAGCCUGCCUAUCUCCCUGACACAAACCCAAUCAUGCCAGUUGCCACCAGUUUAGAAUAAUUAAACAAUUACGGAUUUAACUACCCUAAUUGGCUUCAGGUUAUUGAAUUAAUCUAGAAUCCGGGCCCUGGAUAAUCGAAUAAUAAAACAACCAUAUGAACAUAAAGCAGAAGAUAGACAAAUACCAGUGAAUAAUGGGAAUAAAUAAAAACUAAUUCGAUCUCACAAAUUUAGUAGAACCAAAUCCUCCGUUGUUCUUGACUAGACAAACUUAGCCACGCCUCAUGAGAAAUUCUUCAAGUAAUUCCACUGAGGUCCAGGCCAUCAAAAGAGCCAAGAAAGAAACGAAAAAACUAAAACUAUGCUAAAAACUGUCUAAACUAAAACUAUUGAUUGAUAAACCUCUCGUACGUUUCUCCCUUUUUAAAGCCAAAAGGAAGUCUAAUGCUAUCUCUAGUGGUCCCCACACCAAAUUCAAAGUCUUGUACGUUUCUUUUCCUAGAGUCCAAAUGACUCAUGCUUCUUAUCCGUGGUCCCCGCACAUGUGGACAAAGCCUCCAAAGUACUUGUUGUUCCAAGUCUCUCUACGUUGCUUUCUUUGAAAAGCCCAAAUGACUAAAUGCCUUGCACUAGCUUGUGGUCCCCACCAAUUCAAGGACCUAAAGGUUGAAGCCCUUAGAAGUCUGCAUUUUUCCAUACAAGUCCCUCCUUUUUGGUAAUUUUCUGCUUCACUCCUGAAAUUGAUUCCAAAUACCAAAUAUGAGUAAAUAUCAGCAAUUAACACAAUAUUUGUCAGGGAUAGAAGGGGAAAUCAAUAAUAAAUUUACUAACAAAUUAUACCCUAUCAAUUCCCCCCACACCUGAAUCAUGCUUGCCCUCAAGCAUGGGAAAAGUAUACAGACACCAAAAUUUGAUAAUGGUCAUUGCUCUAUCUACCAAAUUGCCAAGAUAUUCAAGAGAGAACCAUAUAUCGGGCAUUAGUAAUUAAAAUCCAAGAAGCAUCCCCCCAGUUAGCUUCCCAACCACCAACUUUUCCAAUUCAAAGCAAACUAAUCUAAGAAAAAGGAAUGGUUGCUCACAUUUAUCAGUAAAUGGUCCAGCUAUUAACCAAAAUCUCGACAUUAAGAUCACAAACCGGCGAGCUGACUUAUUCACAUACUAACACAAUCUUUAUUUUAUUUUUUUCCACUUUUUUUUUUGUUUUUUUUUUUGUUUUAUUUUUUUUUUUUUGAGUAACAAAAGACUUAGUGUAUAGCCCUUAGAGCCUUUUGACUCGAACUCCAACAUUUGAUAGAUGGAGGAGCCCGGUUACUCAGCUCCAAUCGCUACAGGACCACGCACUCAUAGCAACUACUACCUUUUGACGCGAAAAUCGACACUUUAGGUGAAGAUCCCCGGUUACUCAAUAGUAACUACUAGCAGAGUACAGUCAGCUCUUAUUUACAACCAUACAGCACAAUAACUAAAAAUAACACAAAAAUAACAGCAGCCAGCCUCAAAUUUCCAAAUAUGGAGAACUAAAAUUAAUAACUGGACCAAUUCACAUAAAAAAAUGCCAACUAUCAUUCCCUAUGCCUAGAAAAGUUAACCAAAAACUGAAAAAGUCAAGCAAUUACCGAUAUUCACCAGAGAGAUGUUCAUGAACUCAACCACAUUAAUUUAAUACCCUUUUAUUAAUAAAACUUGGCAAUAGCAUAAUUAGAGGCAACAAUCCCGCAUCAAAACUUGGUAUUCAUUUAAGGACUGACCACUAGGAAAAGAAAUGAAAAGGAAAUAAAUGAAAAGGGAGAUAAAUAUCAAACUAAAAAUAAAGGAAAAACCUUUAGAAACUAAAAAUAAAAAUACUAGCACCCAAAACUGACCCCCCCCACACCUAAAUCACACAUUGCCCUCAAUGUGAUAAACUAACAGCAAAAGGAAGGAGAAGGGCAACGGUACUUCCCUGAAGUUGUCAAAACAGGGGUGGGUCGGGCGGGGUACUGCCAAAUUCCGCACCAUGUUAUGCAAGUCGACGUCAAUGUGGGUCACUCGAGUCUCCAGUCUCUCAACUUGUAUUCGGAGUUGGACCCAGUCGUUAGCCCCUGGUUGGUCCCCUCAACAAGCAAAUGCAAACUGUCUCCAAUUGGACAGUCAAGUAUCCAAUUCCACCUACUAAAAUUAGCAAAUGGCUCAAGAAAAUGGUACUCCAGUAACAGUAGUUCAAAAGUCGGACAAUAACCAAAUCACAAGGGUAUUAGUUGGCUAUCAGACAGGCAACCAUAUAGAAUCCAUGAAUGUAUUCAAAACACCCCAACCAGUACCACUGGUACAGGCAUAGGGAAAAAUUAAAGCAAAUGACCAACCCAAAGUAUUGAUAAUUCCAAGCAACGCCAAGCAGUACCAGAAAUCGAAAAGACCAAAAUGGUAGUCAAUUGGGGCAAAUAACUCCCAAGGCAAAUAGAGGCAACCUACUUCAAUAAGCAACGGAAAUGGCACAGGAGCCGUCCAAUGCACCAAUUAAAUGCAAUAAACCCCAACCAAAGGCAGCUCAAUAGAUUCCAGGCAGAAAGUACCAAAUGAUACUCAAUUGACACCAAAAACGAUCCCAACAAAGCAGCAAGAUCGAAGGAUACUCAGUCACAGAUGCUCAAUCAUAUCGAAAUAAGAAAUUGCAAGCAAAUUAGCACAACCAGUACCACUGGUGUAUACACAGGAAAGGAGGGAACCACAUGGCCAUCCCAAUUAAUAAAAAGCACAACUGAGGCACCCCAAAGGCUAGAAAAGUACCCGAAAAACACAGCAAAUUGAAUGAAUAUGCACUGGGUCUCCAAUUCAGUCAAAAUAAGAUCAAGGGGCACGAUACAGAAACUAACAAAGCAGUACUCAAGUGAUACCAGUAGGAACCCCAACAAAGCAAUGAAUUCAACCAAUUGGAGCAAGUGAAACUCAACAAAUGUCACCAAGUGGACAUUCAAUUACCCACUUCAAGAUACCAAGCCUUAAGAAUUUUAAGAAUCCCAGCAAACAAGCAAUUCCAGCAACUACCGAUUAGAAUUCAAGAAAAUUUAAGAAUUGUAAGCAACACCGCAACCAGUACCACUGGUGCACAGACAGGAAAGAAUUAAAUUCAACGGCAGCAACUCAACCACAAGAACUGCAACUUAAAAAUAAGGAAGUAGCUGCAAAUAGAAGCAACAAUGAUAUGCAAAAUAUCUCAACCAGUACCACUGGUGAGUCACAGGCAAAAGUUAAUCAAACAGCCAACACUGCAAUAAAUAGCAGAAAAUAUCCCCACUAUGGCAUCAAUUAAACCCAAAUCUGUCCAAAAUUUAACCUAGAAAAUGCCCAAAUAACACCUUCUUUUAUCCGUCAAGAAAUCCAGACACAAAUUUCAGAAAUUUAAGCUAAUUGGAGAAGGAAUUACAAUACCUCCACCUGUCGAUUUCUGACAGGUGGUGACGACGUGGCUGGACAGAAAGGCUCGCGAGGGAGGAGCUGUCGGCGUGCGCGGGUUGAGGUGACGUCCUGGUCUGCUGUCGCACGCGGACAGCGGUGGAGGGAGCUGCGCGCGGAGCUUGGCGAGCUCGUGAGGUGGUGGCUGAGGUGGGAGCGAGCUGGUGCAGGCUGCGGCACGCUGGUGGUAGCGGCAGGCGGCGCGCGAGGAAACUCCUGGGCGGCGCGCUGUCGGCUGCGUGUGGCGAUGGGCUGGCUGGUGUAGAGACGAGCUGGGGCGGAGGGCUUUGGCCUGCGAUUGCUUGGCUGUGAGGGACGGCGGCGGCGGCUUCCCUUGGGCGAGCCAGUGACGCGCGGCCAAGAGAAAAGGGAGAAGGCCGCGCGCUGUGGGAGAGGAGGUUCGCGAUCUGUGGCCGCGCAAGGGGGAGGGAGCGCGGGGCCUGGGCUGCACGCUGGGGUAGCGCGCGCGCCGUGGAGAGCUCGCUGGAGCUUGGAGCUGUUGCUGAGAGAGGCUGACUGGACUGCGAAGGUAGAGAUUGGUGGUGCCGUGCGCAGGUGGAGGGCAGACAGCAACGGUGGCGGCGCGCGGCGUGGGCAGCGGAGGUCGUGCGGCUUUGGUUGCGGAGUGGAGCUGCUGUGGUGGUGGAGGUUGAUGAUUGGGGGAAUUGAUAAUUAGGGGGAAAGGAUGGCGGCCGAAAGAAGAAAUAAAAGAAAAGGGAAACAGCGCAGCAGGGAAGAAAGGAAGAAAGAAAGAAGAAGGAAAAAAAAAAAAAGAAAUUUUUUUUUUAUUUUUUUAUUGCACACUCAAAUUUCAAAACUCGAAUUGUGAGAACCAAAACUGAAGGUGUAAAACGGAAAAUGUUUUUAUUUUUUAAUUUUUGAUUUUUUUUUUUCAAGGAACCUCUGGCUUAGGCGUGGGCACGUCUAACUGCUAUAGAGUCCGCAGAUCCUGAACGAAAAUUUCUUUCCCUCAGGCGUGACCACCUGGUGUGGGCACGUCUAACUGCUAUAGAGUCCGCAGAUUCUGAACGAAAAUUUCUUUCCCUCAGGCGUGACCACCUGGCGUGGGCACGUCUAACUGCUAAUUCCCUGUCACCAAACAUCAAACUAUUAAUUGACACUAACACUUAACUAAAACUUCAAAAAUUCAUGAAAACUGAAACAAAUAGUCUUGGGUUGCCUCCCAAGUAGCGCCUUUCUUUAAUGUCUUUGGCUAGACAUUAUCAUGUUUUGCUCAUGGAGGGUAAAAUCUUGUGGCUCGUCUUACUGCUUCAUCCUCUAUAUAGUCCUGAUAACCCUCGUAAAUAGAAUAAUCCUUGAGCAUACGAGCUACGGGCUUCCAUGGACUAGUGAAUGGCGCCAAACGAGUCGAUGAUAAUUUGCAUUCUCCAUUCACUCCUCCCCCACUUGCAUUUAUUGGUACAAGAUAUCUUGCCAUCGCCACUCUUAAUUUAUUCCUGUCAUGAAAUUCAAAAUUGUCUGGUAUAAUAAAUUCAAUUUCAUUAACAGGAAUUGAAGAGUAAGAGUCAGGAGAAUAGUGAUGAAGGAGUGGAGGGGAUGUCACCGCAUUUGGAGAUUGUUCACUGGAUUCAUUCACUUGAACCAUUUGAUGUUGGGGUCUCAAUUCUUGCUCUUCAACUUUCUUUUCAACUACAUCUUUAGAUUCUUCUUCUCGUGACUCUUGCAGUACCAUGUCAUUUGUCAGAAUAAUUGCACUCUCAUCUUUCUCAUGGUCGAUAAUAGUCGGUGAGGACAAUUCUUCAUAAACUGGAGAAAUCAAUUUGCUCGUUUUAAAUGCCCAUUCAAGCCUUGCUUCUUUCAUCUCUUCACUCAUCUUUUGUGUCUCCUGUUGAAGUUGAUAUGUGUUAGUAGCUAUUAAUUCAACCAUUUCUUCAAGAGACAUACCUGACAUGGAUGACGGUUCUUGAGACUCUAGCUGUUGAAAAUCUAGUGGCCCUGUUGUAUAAUUAUAACUGGAGUUAUCCCACCAUCCUUGAUCAUACCCGUUUGGAUUAGGGUUAUACCACGUUUGAGACCAUGGUGAAAAAUCUCCAUAAUUAUUGAGUGGGACACUCAUAUUAUCUUGAUAUUCGGGGCACAUACCGGUCGAAUGAUCCCUGGCAUAACAAAUUUUACAGGUUGCAGCAGCCAUUCUUUCUCUAAUAGAGUUUACUGCCUCUGAAUAUGCAAACUUAGCAAAAAAACUAGUCUCAUCGCUUUCCCCGGAAACAAAAUCCAGUCUAUCACCAAAAUACGGAGUGUUAGAAGCCAUAAACUAUAAUAAAAAAAAUAAGGGAAAAAUAAAUAAAAAAUAAAAAAAUAAAAACAAGAUGAACUCAAAAAGAAACAAAUUAAUCUGGCACCAGUCCCCGGCAACGGCGCCAAAAAUUGACAGGCGUCUAACCUGUGCAAUAAUAAAUACCUGCUCAAAUAAAAUACAAAUUCUGUAUAUAGCGGUAAGCAGGGUCGAAUCCACAGGGACUGGGGAUAAUUUAAUUUCUUCUCAAGUUCCAGAUAUGGGGGGUUUUUGAAAAUGAGAGUAACUAAAUUAUUUGGAAUAAAAUAAAAUAAAAUAACUACAACUCAAUUAACUAAUUAUCACAAUAAGAAUAAUGAUGGACGAACUCUAGCCAAGAGACAAGUUCGGAGAUGGUUCACUUAAUUCGAUCACAGAUGCAAGGAUUAUUCCAGUUACUAUCCGAUAAAUUAGUUAUAGUUGUCAUACACGCGAUAAACAACCAACUCUUCCUCAAUUUGUCGAUAGCCAAGGUACGACCGUUGACUAUUUCUCUAAUCAGGAAAUAACCCUAGGUACGACCAUAGAAGUUCAAUUCCCUAAUUGCAUGAAUAAUUAGAAGAGCCUAAUUCUAACCAAUCAACACGCUACGAGGGUCUCUUUAAGUUAGCCUGCCUAUCUCCCUGACACAAACCCAAUCAUGCCAGUUGCCACCAGUUUAGAAUAAUUAAACAAUUACGGAUUUAACUACCCUAAUUGGCUUCAGGUUAUUGAAUUAAUCUAGAAUCCGGGCCCUGGAUAAUCGAAUAAUAAAACAACCAUAUGAACAUAAAGCAGAAGAUAGACAAAUACCAGUGAAUAAUGGGAAUAAAUAAAAACUAAUUCGAUCUCACAAAUUUAGUAGAACCAAAUCCUCCGUUGUUCUUGACUAGACAAACUUAGCCACGCCUCAUGAGAAAUUCUUCAAGUAAUUCCACUGAGGUCCAGGCCAUCAAAAGAGCCAAGAAAGAAACGAAAAAACUAAAACUAUGCUAAAAACUGUCUAAACUAAAACUAUUGAUUGAUAAACCUCUCGUACGUUUCUCCCUUUUUAAAGCCAAAAGGAAGUCUAAUGCUAUCUCUAGUGGUCCCCACACCAAAUUCAAAGUCUUGUACGUUUCUUUUCCUAGAGUCCAAAUGACUCAUGCUUCUUAUCCGUGGUCCCCGCACAUGUGGACAAAGCCUCCAAAGUACUUGUUGUUCCAAGUCUCUCUACGUUGCUUUCUUUGAAAAGCCCAAAUGACUAAAUGCCUUGCACUAGCUUGUGGUCCCCACCAAUUCAAGGACCUAAAGGUUGAAGCCCUUAGAAGUCUGCAUUUUUCCAUACAAGUCCCUCCUUUUUGGUAAUUUUCUGCUUCACUCCUGAAAUUGAUUCCAAAUACCAAAUAUGAGUAAAUAUCAGCAAUUAACACAAUAUUUGUCAGGGAUAGAAGGGGAAAUCAAUAAUAAAUUUACUAACAAAUUAUACCCUAUCAAUUCCCCCCACACCUGAAUCAUGCUUGCCCUCAAGCAUGGGGAAAGUAUACAGACACCAAAAUUUGAUAAUGGUCAUUGCUCUAUCUACCAAAUUGCCAAGAUAUUCAAGAGAGAACCAUAUAUCGGGCAUUAGUAAUUAAAAUCCAAGAAGCAUCCCCCCAGUUAGCUUCCCAACCACCAACUUUUCCAAUUUAAAGCAAACUAAUCUAAGAAAAAGGAAUGGUUGCUCACAUUUAUCAGUAAAUGGUCCAGCUAUUAACCAAAAUCUCGACACUAAGAUCACAAACCGGCAAGCUGACUUAUUCACAUACUAACACAAUCUUUAUUUUAUUUUUUUCCACUUUUUUUUUUGUUUUUUUUUUGUUUUAUUUUUUUUUUUUUGAGUAACAAAAGACUUAGUGUAUAGCCCUUAGAGCCUUUUGACUCGAACUCCAACAUUUGAUAGAUGGAGGAGCCCGGUUACUCAGCUCCAAUCGCUACAGGACCACGCACUCAUAGCAACUACUACCUUUUGACGCGAAAAUCGACACUUUAGGUGAAGAUCCCCGGUUACUCAAUAGUAACUACUAGCAGAGUACAGUCAGCUCUUAUUUACAACCAUACAGCACAAUAACUAAAAAUAACACAAAAAUAACAGCAGCCAGCCUCAAAUUUCCAAAUAUGGAGAACUAAAAUUAAUAACUGGACCAAUUCACAUAAAAAAAUGCCAACUAUCAUUCCCUAUGCCUAGAAAAGUUAACCAAAAACUGAAAAAGUCAAGCAAUUACCGAUAUUCACCAGAGAGAUGUUCAUGAACUCAACCACAUUAAUUUAAUACCCUUUUAUUAAUAAAACUUGGCAAUAGCAUAAUUAGAGGCAACAAUCCCGCAUCAAAACUUGGUAUUCAUUUAAGGACUGACCACUAGGAAAAGAAAUGAAAAGGAAAUAAAUGAAAAGGGAGAUAAAUAUCAAACUAAAAAUAAAGGAAAAACCUUUAGAAACUAAAAAUAAAAAUACUAGCACCCAAAACUGACCCCCCCCACACCUAAAUCACACAUUGCCCUCAAUGUGAUAAACUAACAGCAAAAGGAAGGAGAAGGGCAACGGUACUUCCCUGAAGUUGUCAAAACAGGGGUGGGUCGGGCGGGGUACUGCCAAAUUCCGCACCAUGUUAUGCAAGUCGACGUCAAUGUGGGUCACUCGAGUCUCCAGUCUCUCAACUUGUAUUCGGAGUUGGACCCAGUCGUUAGCCCCUGGUUGGUCCCCUCAACAAGCAAAUGCAAACUGUCUCCAAUUGGACAGUCAAGUAUCCAAUUCCACCUACUAAAAUUAGCAAAUGGCUCAAGAAAAUGGUACUCCAGUAACAGUAGUUCAAAAGUCGGACAAUAACCAAAUCACAAGGGUAUUAGUUGGCUAUCAGACAGGCAACCAUAUAGAAUCCAUGAAUGUAUUCAAAACACCCCAACCAGUACCACUGGUACAGGCAUAGGGAAAAAUUAAAGCAAAUGACCAACCCAAAGUAUUGAUAAUUCCAAGCAACGCCAAGCAGUACCAGAAAUCGAAAAGACCAAAAUGGUAGUCAAUUGGGGCAAAUAACUCCCAAGGCAAAUAGAGGCAACCUACUUCAAUAAGCAACGGAAAUGGCACAGGAGCCGUCCAAUGCACCAAUUAAAUGCAAUAAACCCCAACCAAAGGCAGCUCAAUAGAUUCCAGGCAGAAAGUACCAAAUGAUACUCAAUUGACACCAAAAACGAUCCCAACAAAGCAGCAAGAUCGAAGGAUACUCAGUCACAGAUGCUCAAUCAUAUCGAAAUAAGAAAUUGCAAGCAAAUUAGCACAACCAGUACCACUGGUGUAUACACAGGAAAGGAGGGAACCACAUGGCCAUCCCAAUUAAUAAAAAGCACAACUGAGGCACCCCAAAGGCUAGAAAAGUACCCGAAAAACACAGCAAAUUGAAUGAAUAUGCACUGGGUCUCCAAUUCAGUCAAAAUAAGAUCAAGGGGCACGAUACAGAAACUAACAAAGCAGUACUCAAGUGAUACCAGUAGGAACCCCAACAAAGCAAUGAAUUCAACCAAUUGGAGCAAGUGAAACUCAACAAAUGUCACCAAGUGGACAUUCAAUUACCCACUUCAAGAUACCAAGCCUUAAGAAUUUUAAGAAUCCCAGCAAACAAGCAAUUCCAGCAACUACCGAUUAGAAUUCAAGAAAAUUUAAGAAUUGUAAGCAACACCGCAACCAGUACCACUGGUGCACAGACAGGAAAGAAUUAAAUUCAACGGCAGCAACUCAACCACAAGAACUGCAACUUAAAAAUAAGGAAGUAGCUGCAAAUAGAAGCAACAAUGAUAUGCAAAAUAUCUCAACCAGUACCACUGGUGAGUCACAGGCAAAAGUUAAUCAAACAGCCAACACUGCAAUAAAUAGCAGAAAAUAUCCCCACUAUGGCAUCAAUUAAACCCAAAUCUGUCCAAAAUUUAACCUAGAAAAUGCCCAAAUAACACCUUCUUUUAUCCGUCAAGAAAUCCAGACACAAAUUUCAGAAAUUUAAGCUAAUUGGAGAAGGAAUUACAAUACCUCCACCUGUCGAUUUCUGACAGGUGGUGACGACGUGGCUGGACAGAAAGGCUCGCGAGGGAGGAGCUGUCGGCGUGCGCGGGUUGAGGUGACGUCCUGGUCUGCUGUCGCACGCGGACAGCGGUGGAGGGAGCUGCGCGCGGAGCUUGGCGAGCUCGUGAGGUGGUGGCUGAGGUGGGAGCGAGCUGGUGCAGGCUGCGGCACGCUGGUGGUAGCGGCAGGCGGCGCGCGAGGAAACUCCUGGGCGGCGCGCUGUCGGCUGCGUGUGGCGAUGGGCUGGCUGGUGUAGAGACGAGCUGGGGCGGAGGGCUUUGGCCUGCGAUUGCUUGGCUGUGAGGGACGGCGGCGGCGGCUUCCCUUGGGCGAGCCAGUGACGCGCGGCCAAGAGAAAAGGGAGAAGGCCGCGCGCUGUGGGAGAGGAGGUUCGCGAUCUGUGGCCGCGCAAGGGGGAGGGAGCGCGGGGCCUGGGCUGCACGCUGGGGUAGCGCGCGCGCCGUGGAGAGCUCGCUGGAGCUUGGAGCUGUUGCUGAGAGAGGCUGACUGGACUGCGAAGGUAGAGAUUGGUGGUGCCGUGCGCAGGUGGAGGGCAGACAGCAACGGUGGCGACGCGCGGCGUGGGCAGCGGAGGUCGUGCGGCUUUGGUUGCGGAGUGGAGCUGCUGUGGUGGUGGAGGUUGAUGAUUGGGGGAAUUGAUAAUUAGGGGGAAAGGAUGGCGGCCGAAAGAAGAAAUAAAAGAAAAGGGAAACAGCGCAGCAGGGAAGAAAGGAAGAAAGAAAGAAGAAGAAAGAAAGAAAGAAGAAGGAAAAAAAAAAAAAAAGAAAAUUUUUUUUUAUUUUUUUAUUGCACACUCAAAUUUCAAAACUCGAAUUGUGAGAACCAAAACUGAAGGUGUAAAACGGAAAAUGUUUUUAUUUUUUAAUUUUUGAUUUUUUUUUUUUUCAAGGAACCUCUGGCUUAGGCGUGGGCACGUCUAACUGCUAUAGAGUCCGCAGAUCCUGAACGAAAAUUUCUUUCCCUCAGGCGUGACCACCUGGUGUGGGCACGUCUAACUGCUAUAGAGUCCGCAGAUUCUGAACGAAAAUUUCUUUCCCUCAGGCGUGACCACCUGGCGUGGGCACGUCUAACUGCUAAUUCCCUGUCACCAAACAUCAAACUAUUAAUUGACACUAACACUUAACUAAAACUUCAAAAAUUCAUGAAAACUGAAACAAAUAGUCUUGGGUUGCCUCCCAAGUAGCGCCUUUCUUUAAUGUCUUUGGCUAGACAUUAUCAUGUUUUGCUCAUGGAGGGUAAAAUCUUGUGGCUCGUCUUACUGCUUCAUCCUCUAUAUAGUCCUGAUAACCCUCGUAAAUAGAAUAAUCCUUGAGCAUACGAGCUACGGGCUUCCAUGGACUAGUGAAUGGCGCCAAACGAGUCGAUGAUAAUUUGCAUUCUCCAUUCACUCCUCCCCCACUUGCAUUUAUUGGUACAAGAUAUCUUGCCAUCGCCACUCUUAAUUUAUUCCUGUCAUGAAAUUCAAAAUUGUCUGGUAUAAUAAAUUCAAUUUCAUUAACAGGAAUUGAAGAGUAAGAGUCAGGAGAAUAGUGAUGAAGGAGUGGAGGGGAUGUCACCGCAUUUGGAGAUUGUUCACUGGAUUCAUUCACUUGAACCAUUUGAUGUUGGGGUCUCAAUUCUUGCUCUUCAACUUUCUUUUCAACUACAUCUUUAGAUUCUUCUUCUCGUGACUCUUGCAGUACCAUGUCAUUUGUCAGAAUAAUUGCACUCUCAUCUUUCUCAUGGUCGAUAAUAGUCGGUGAGGACAAUUCUUCAUAAACUGGAGAAAUCAAUUUGCUCGUUUUAAAUGCCCAUUCAAGCCUUGCUUCUUUCAUCUCUUCACUCAUCUUUUGUGUCUCCUGUUGAAGUUGAUAUGUGUUAGUAGCUAUUAAUUCAACCAUUUCUUCAAGAGACAUACCUGACAUGGAUGACGGUUCUUGAGACUCUAGCUGUUGAAAAUCUAGUGGCCCUGUUGUAUAAUUAUAACUGGAGUUAUCCCACCAUCCUUGAUCAUACCCGUUUGGAUUAGGGUUAUACCACGUUUGAGACCAUGGUGAAAAAUCUCCAUAAUUAUUGAGUGGGACACUCAUAUUAUUUUGAUAUUCGGGGCACAUACCGGUCGAAUGAUCCCUGGCAUAACAAAUUUUACAGGUUGCAGCAGCCAUUCUUUCUCUAAUAGAGUUUACUGCCUCUGAAUAUGCAAACUUAGCAAAAAAACUAGUCUCAUCGCUUUCCCCGGAAACAAAAUCCAGUCUAUCACCAAAAUACGGAGUGUUAGAAGCCAUAAACUAUAAUAAAAAAAAUAAGGGAAAAAUAAAUAAAAAAUAAAAAAAUAAAAACAAGAUUAACUCAAACAGAAACAAAUUAAUCUGGCACCAGUCCCCGGCAACGGCGCCAAAAAUUGACAGGCGUCUAACCUGUGCAAUAAUAAAUACCUGCUCAAAUAAAAUACAAAUUCUGUAUAUAGCGGUAAGCAGGGUCGAAUCCACAGGGACUGGGGAUAAUUUAAUUUCUUCUCAAGUUCCAGAUAUGGGGGGUUUUUGAAAAUGAGAGUAACUAAAUUAUUUGGAAUAAAAUAAAAUAAAAUAACUACAACUCAAUUAACUAAUUAUCACAAUAAGAAUAAUGAUGGACGAACUCUAGCCAAGAGACAAGUUCGGAGAUGGUUCACUUAAUUCGAUCACAGAUGCAAGGAUUAUUCCAGUUACUAUCCGAUAAAUUAGUUAUAGUUGUCAUACACGCGAUAAACAACCAACUCUUCCUCAAUUUGUCGAUAGCCAAGGUACGACCGUUGACUAUUUCUCUAAUCAGGAAAUAACCCUAGGUACGACCAUAGAAGUUCAAUUCCCUAAUUGCAUGAAUAAUUAGAAGAGCCUAAUUCUAACCAAUCAACACGCUACGAGGGUCUCUUUAAGUUAGCCUGCCUAUCUCCCUGACACAAACCCAAUCAUGCCAGUUGCCACCAGUUUAGAAUAAUUAAACAAUUACGGAUUUAACUACCCUAAUUGGCUUCAGGUUAUUGAAUUAAUCUAGAAUCCGGGCCCUGGAUAAUCGAAUAAUAAAACAACCAUAUGAACAUAAAGCAGAAGAUAGACAAAUACCAGUGAAUAAUGGGAAUAAAUAAAAACUAAUUCGAUCUCACAAAUUUAGUAGAACCAAAUCCUCCGUUGUUCUUGACUAGACAAACUUAGCCACGCCUCAUGAGAAAUUCUUCAAGUAAUUCCACUGAGGUCCAGGCCAUCAAAAGAGCCAAGAAAGAAACGAAAAAACUAAAACUAUGCUAAAAACUGUCUAAACUAAAACUAUUGAUUGAUAAACCUCUCGUACGUUUCUCCCUUUUUAAAGCCAAAAGGAAGUCUAAUGCUAUCUCUAGUGGUCCCCACACCAAAUUCAAAGUCUUGUACGUUUCUUUUCCUAGAGUCCAAAUGACUCAUGCUUCUUAUCCGUGGUCCCCGCACAUGUGGACAAAGCCUCCAAAGUACUUGUUGUUCCAAGUCUCUCUACGUUGCUUUCUUUGAAAAGCCCAAAUGACUAAAUGCCUUGCACUAGCUUGUGGUCCCCACCAAUUCAAGGACCUAAAGGUUGAAGCCCUUAGAAGUCUGCAUUUUUCCAUACAAGUCCCUCCUUUUUGGUAAUUUUCUGCUUCACUCCUGAAAUUGAUUCCAAAUACCAAAUAUGAGUAAAUAUCAGCAAUUAACACAAUAUUUGUCAGGGAUAGAAGGGGAAAUCAAUAAUAAAUUUACUAACAAAUUAUACCCUAUCAAUUCCCCCCACACCUGAAUCAUGCUUGCCCUCAAGCAUGGGAAAAGUAUACAGACACCAAAAUUUGAUAAUGGUCAUUGCUCUAUCUACCAAAUUGCCAAGAUAUUCAAGAGAGAACCAUAUAUCGGGCAUUAGUAAUUAAAAUCCAAGAAGCAUCCCCCCAGUUAGCUUCCCAACCACCAACUUUUCCAAUUCAAAGCAAACUAAUCUAAGAAAAAGGAAUGGUUGCUCACAUUUAUCAGUAAAUGGUCCAGCUAUUAACCAAAAUCUCGACAUUAAGAUCACAAACCGGCGAGCUGACUUAUUCACAUACUAACACAAUCUUUAUUUUAUUUUUUUCCACUUUUUUUUUUGUUUUUUUUUUUGUUUUAUUUUUUUUUUUUUGAGUAACAAAAGACUUAGUGUAUAGCCCUUAGAGCCUUUUGACUCGAACUCCAACAUUUGAUAGAUGGAGGAGCCCGGUUACUCAGCUCCAAUCGCUACAGGACCACGCACUCAUAGCAACUACUACCUUUUGACGCGAAAAUCGACACUUUAGGUGAAGAUCCCCGGUUACUCAAUAGUAACUACUAGCAGAGUACAGUCAGCUCUUAUUUACAACCAUACAGCACAAUAACUAAAAAUAACACAAAAAUAACAGCAGCCAGCCUCAAAUUUCCAAAUAUGGAGAACUAAAAUUAAUAACUGGACCAAUUCACAUAAAAAAAUGCCAACUAUCAUUCCCUAUGCCUAGAAAAGUUAACCAAAAACUGAAAAAGUCAAGCAAUUACCGAUAUUCACCAGAGAGAUGUUCAUGAACUCAACCACAUUAAUUUAAUACCCUUUUAUUAAUAAAACUUGGCAAUAGCAUAAUUAGAGGCAACAAUCCCGCAUCAAAACUUGGUAUUCAUUUAAGGACUGACCACUAGGAAAAGAAAAGAAAAGGAAAUAAAUGAAAAGGGAGAUAAAUAUCAAACUAAAAAUAAAGGAAAAACCUUUAGAAACUAAAAAUAAAAAUACUAGCACCCAAAACUGACCCCCCCCACACCUAAAUCACACAUUGCCCUCAAUGUGAUAAACUAACAGCAAAAGGAAGGAGAAGGGCAACGGUACUUCCCUGAAGUUGUCAAAACAGGGGUGGGUCGGGCGGGGUACUGCCAAAUUCCGCACCAUGUUAUGCAAGUCGACGUCAAUGUGGGUCACUCGAGUCUCCAGUCUCUCAACUUGUAUUCGGAGUUGGACCCAGUCGUUAGCCCCUGGUUGGUCCCCUCAACAAGCAAAUGCAAACUGUCUCCAAUUGGACAGUCAAGUAUCCAAUUCCACCUACUAAAAUUAGCAAAUGGCUCAAGAAAAUGGUACUCCAGUAACAGUAGUUCAAAAGUCGGACAAUAACCAAAUCACAAGGGUAUUAGUUGGCUAUCAGACAGGCAACCAUAUAGAAUCCAUGAAUGUAUUCAAAACACCCCAACCAGUACCACUGGUACAGGCAUAGGGAAAAAUUAAAGCAAAUGACCAACCCAAAGUAUUGAUAAUUCCAAGCAACGCCAAGCAGUACCAGAAAUCGAAAAGACCAAAAUGGUAGUCAAUUGGGGCAAAUAACUCCCAAGGCAAAUAGAGGCAACCUACUUCAAUAAGCAACGGAAAUGGCACAGGAGCCGUCCAAUGCACCAAUUAAAUGCAAUAAACCCCAACCAAAGGCAGCUCAAUAGAUUCCAGGCAGAAAGUACCAAAUGAUACUCAAUUGACACCAAAAACGAUCCCAACAAAGCAGCAAGAUCGAAGGAUACUCAGUCACAGAUGCUCAAUCAUAUCGAAAUAAGAAAUUGCAAGCAAAUUAGCACAACCAGUACCACUGGUGUAUACACAGGAAAGGAGGGAACCACAUGGCCAUCCCAAUUAAUAAAAAGCACAACUGAGGCACCCCAAAGGCUAGAAAAGUACCCGAAAAACACAGCAAAUUGAAUGAAUAUGCACUGGGUCUCCAAUUCAGUCAAAAUAAGAUCAAGGGGCACGAUACAGAAACUAACAAAGCAGUACUCAAGUGAUACCAGUAGGAACCCCAACAAAGCAAUGAAUUCAACCAAUUGGAGCAAGUGAAACUCAACAAAUGUCACCAAGUGGACAUUCAAUUACCCACUUCAAGAUACCAAGCCUUAAGAAUUUUAAGAAUCCCAGCAAACAAGCAAUUCCAGCAACUACCGAUUAGAAUUCAAGAAAAUUUAAGAAUUGUAAGCAACACCGCAACCAGUACCACUGGUGCACAGACAGGAAAGAAUUAAAUUCAACGGCAGCAACUCAACCACAAGAACUGCAACUUAAAAAUAAGGAAGUAGCUGCAAAUAGAAGCAACAAUGAUAUGCAAAAUAUCUCAACCAGUACCACUGGUGAGUCACAGGCAAAAGUUAAUCAAACAGCCAACACUGCAAUAAAUAGCAGAAAAUAUCCCCACUAUGGCAUCAAUUAAACCCAAAUCUGUCCAAAAUUUAACCUAGAAAAUGCCCAAAUAACACCUUCUUUUAUCCGUCAAGAAAUCCAGACACAAAUUUCAGAAAUUUAAGCUAAUUGGAGAAGGAAUUACAAUACCUCCACCUGUCGAUUUCUGACAGGUGGUGACGACGUGGCUGGACAGAAAGGCUCGCGAGGGAGGAGCUGUCGGCGUGCGCAGGUUGAGGUGACGUCCUGGUCUGCUGUCGCACGCGGACAGCGGUGGAGGGAGCUGCGCGCGGAGCUUGGCGAGCUCGUGAGGUGGUGGCUGAGGUGGGAGCGAGCUGGUGCAGGCUGCGGCACGCUGGUGGUAGCGGCAGGCGGCGCGCGAGGAAACUCCUGGGCGGCGCGCUGUCGGCUGCGUGUGGCGAUGGGCUGGCUGGUGUAGAGACGAGCUGGGGCGGAGGGCUUUGGCCUGCGAUUGCUUGGCUGUGAGGGACGGCGGCGGCGGCUUCCCUUGGGCGAGCCAGUGACGCGCGGCCAAGAGAAAAGGGAGAAGGCCGCGCGCUGUGGGAGAGGAGGUUCGCGAUCUGUGGCCGCGCAAGGGGGAGGGAGCGCGGGGCCUGGGCUGCACGCUGGGGUAGCGCGCGCGCCGUGGAGAGCUCGCUGGAGCUUGGAGCUGUUGCUGAGAGAGGCUGACUGGACUGCGAAGGUAGAGAUUGGUGGUGCCGUGCGCAGGUGGAGGGCAGACAGCAACGGUGGCGGCGCGCGGCGUGGGCAGCGGAGGUCGUGCGGCUUUGGUUGCGGAGUGGAGCUGCUGUGGUGGUGGAGGUUGAUGAUUGGGGGAAUUGAUAAUUAGGGGGAAAGGAUGGCGGCCGAAAGAAGAAAUAAAAGAAAAGGGAAACAGCGCAGCAGGGAAGAAAGGAAGAAAGAAAGAAGAAGGAAAAAAAAAAAAAGAAAUUUUUUUUUUAUUUUUUUAUUGCACACUCAAAUUUCAAAACUCGAAUUGUGAGAACCAAAACUGAAGGUGUAAAACGGAAAAUGUUUUUAUUUUUUAAUUUUUGAUUUUUUUUUUUCAAGGAACCUCUGGCUUAGGCGUGGGCACGUCUAACUGCUAUAGAGUCCGCAGAUCCUGAACGAAAAUUUCUUUCCCUCAGGCGUGACCACCUGGUGUGGGCACGUCUAACUGCUAUAGAGUCCGCAGAUUCUGAACGAAAAUUUCUUUCCCUCAGGCGUGACCACCUGGCGUGGGCACGUCUAACUGCUAAUUCCCUGUCACCAAACAUCAAACUAUUAAUUGACACUAACACUUAACUAAAACUUCAAAAAUUCAUGAAAACUGAAACAAAUAGUCUUGGGUUGCCUCCCAAGUAGCGCCUUUCUUUAAUGUCUUUGGCUAGACAUUAUCAUGUUUUGCUCAUGGAGGGUAAAAUCUUGUGGCUCGUCUUACUGCUUCAUCCUCUAUAUAGUCCUGAUAACCCUCGUAAAUAGAAUAAUCCUUGAGCAUACGAGCUACGGGCUUCCAUGGACUAGUGAAUGGCGCCAAACGAGUCGAUGAUAAUUUGCAUUCUCCAUUCACUCCUCCCCCACUUGCAUUUAUUGGUACAAGAUAUCUUGCCAUCGCCACUCUUAAUUUAUUCCUGUCAUGAAAUUCAAAAUUGUCUGGUAUAAUAAAUUCAAUUUCAUUAACAGGAAUUGAAGAGUAAGAGUCAGGAGAAUAGUGAUGAAGGAGUGGAGGGGAUGUCACCGCAUUUGGAGAUUGUUCACUGGAUUCAUUCACUUGAACCAUUUGAUGUUGGGGUCUCAAUUCUUGCUCUUCAACUUUCUUUUCAACUACAUCUUUAGAUUCUUCUUCUCGUGACUCUUGCAGUACCAUGUCAUUUGUCAGAAUAAUUGCACUCUCAUCUUUCUCAUGGUCGAUAAUAGUCGGUGAGGACAAUUCUUCAUAAACUGGAGAAAUCAAUUUGCUCGUUUUAAAUGCCCAUUCAAGCCUUGCUUCUUUCAUCUCUUCACUCAUCUUUUGUGUCUCCUGUUGAAGUUGAUAUGUGUUAGUAGCUAUUAAUUCAACCAUUUCUUCAAGAGACAUACCUGACAUGGAUGACGGUUCUUGAGACUCUAGCUGUUGAAAAUCUAGUGGCCCUGUUGUAUAAUUAUAACUGGAGUUAUCCCACCAUCCUUGAUCAUACCCGUUUGGAUUAGGGUUAUACCACGUUUGAGACCAUGGUGAAAAAUCUCCAUAAUUAUUGAGUGGGACACUCAUAUUAUUUUGAUAUUCGGGGCACAUACCGGUCGAAUGAUCCCUGGCAUAACAAAUUUUACAGGUUGCAGCAGCCAUUCUUUCUCUAAUAGAGUUUACUGCCUCUGAAUAUGCAAACUUAGCAAAAAAACUAGUCUCAUCGCUUUCCCCGGAAACAAAAUCCAGUCUAUCACCAAAAUACGGAGUGUUAGAAGCCAUAAACUAUAAUAAAAAAAAUAAGGGAAAAAUAAAUAAAAAAUAAAAAAAUAAAAACAAGAUUAACUCAAACAGAAACAAAUUAAUCUGGCACCAGUCCCCGGCAACGGCGCCAAAAAUUGACAGGCGUCUAACCUGUGCAAUAAUAAAUACCUGCUCAAAUAAAAUACAAAUUCUGUAUAUAGCGGUAAGCAGGGUCGAAUCCACAGGGACUGGGGAUAAUUUAAUUUCUUCUCAAGUUCCAGAUAUGGGGGGUUUUUGAAAAUGAGAGUAACUAAAUUAUUUGGAAUAAAAUAAAAUAAAAUAACUACAACUCAAUUAACUAAUUAUCACAAUAAGAAUAAUGAUGGACGAACUCUAGCCAAGAGACAAGUUCGGAGAUGGUUCACUUAAUUCGAUCACAGAUGCAAGGAUUAUUCCAGUUACUAUCCGAUAAAUUAGUUAUAGUUGUCAUACACGCGAUAAACAACCAACUCUUCCUCAAUUUGUCGAUAGCCAAGGUACGACCGUUGACUAUUUCUCUAAUCAGGAAAUAACCCUAGGUACGACCAUAGAAGUUCAAUUCCCUAAUUGCAUGAAUAAUUAGAAGAGCCUAAUUCUAACCAAUCAACACGCUACGAGGGUCUCUUUAAGUUAGCCUGCCUAUCUCCCUGACACAAACCCAAUCAUGCCAGUUGCCACCAGUUUAGAAUAAUUAAACAAUUACGGAUUUAACUACCCUAAUUGGCUUCAGGUUAUUGAAUUAAUCUAGAAUCCGGGCCCUGGAUAAUCGAAUAAUAAAACAACCAUAUGAACAUAAAGCAGAAGAUAGACAAAUACCAGUGAAUAAUGGGAAUAAAUAAAAACUAAUUCGAUCUCACAAAUUUAGUAGAACCAAAUCCUCCGUUGUUCUUGACUAGACAAACUUAGCCACGCCUCAUGAGAAAUUCUUCAAGUAAUUCCACUGAGGUCCAGGCCAUCAAAAGAGCCAAGAAAGAAACGAAAAAACUAAAACUAUGCUAAAAACUGUCUAAACUAAAACUAUUGAUUGAUAAACCUCUCGUACGUUUCUCCCUUUUUAAAGCCAAAAGGAAGUCUAAUGCUAUCUCUAGUGGUCCCCACACCAAAUUCAAAGUCUUGUACGUUUCUUUUCCUAGAGUCCAAAUGACUCAUGCUUCUUAUCCGUGGUCCCCGCACAUGUGGACAAAGCCUCCAAAGUACUUGUUGUUCCAAGUCUCUCUACGUUGCUUUCUUUGAAAAGCCCAAAUGACUAAAUGCCUUGCACUAGCUUGUGGUCCCCACCAAUUCAAGGACCUAAAGGUUGAAGCCCUUAGAAGUCUGCAUUUUUCCAUACAAGUCCCUCCUUUUUGGUAAUUUUCUGCUUCACUCCUGAAAUUGAUUCCAAAUACCAAAUAUGAGUAAAUAUCAGCAAUUAACACAAUAUUUGUCAGGGAUAGAAGGGGAAAUCAAUAAUAAAUUUACUAACAAAUUAUACCCUAUCAAUUCCCCCCACACCUGAAUCAUGCUUGCCCUCAAGCAUGGGAAAAGUAUACAGACACCAAAAUUUGAUAAUGGUCAUUGCUCUAUCUACCAAAUUGCCAAGAUAUUCAAGAGAGAACCAUAUAUCGGGCAUUAGUAAUUAAAAUCCAAGAAGCAUCCCCCCAGUUAGCUUCCCAACCACCAACUUUUCCAAUUCAAAGCAAACUAAUCUAAGAAAAAGGAAUGGUUGCUCACAUUUAUCAGUAAAUGGUCCAGCUAUUAACCAAAAUCUCGACAUUAAGAUCACAAACCGGCGAGCUGACUUAUUCACAUACUAACACAAUCUUUAUUUUAUUUUUUUCCACUUUUUUUUUUUUUUUUUUUGUAACAAAAGACUUAGUGUAUAGCCCUUAGAGCCUUUUGACUCGAACUCCAACAUUUGAUAGAUGGAGGAGCCCGGUUACUCAGCUCCAAUCGCUACAGGACCACGCACUCAUAGCAACUACUACCUUUUGACGCGAAAAUCGACACUUUAGGUGAAGAUCCCCGGUUACUCAAUAGUAACUACUAGCAGAGUACAGUCAGCUCUUAUUUACAACCAUACAGCACAAUAACUAAAAAUAACACAAAAAUAACAGCAGCCAGCCUCAAAUUUCCAAAUAUGGAGAACUAAAAUUAAUAACUGGACCAAUUCACAUAAAAAAAUGCCAACUAUCAUUCCCUAUGCCUAGAAAAGUUAACCAAAAACUGAAAAAGUCAAGCAAUUACCGAUAUUCACCAGAGAGAUGUUCAUGAACUCAACCACAUUAAUUUAAUACCCUUUUAUUAAUAAAACUUGGCAAUAGCAUAAUUAGAGGCAACAAUCCCGCAUCAAAACUUGGUAUUCAUUUAAGGACUGACCACUAGGAAAAGAAAUGAAAAGGAAAUAAAUGAAAAGGGAGAUAAAUAUCAAACUAAAAAUAAAGGAAAAACCUUUAGAAACUAAAAAUAAAAAUACUAGCACCCAAAACUGACCCCCCCCACACCUAAAUCACACAUUGCCCUCAAUGUGAUAAACUAACAGCAAAAGGAAGGAGAAGGGCAACGGUACUUCCCUGAAGUUGUCAAAACAGGGGUGGGUCGGGCGGGGUACUGCCAAAUUCCGCACCAUGUUAUGCAAGUCGACGUCAAUGUGGGUCACUCGAGUCUCCAGUCUCUCAACUUGUAUUCGGAGUUGGACCCAGUCGUUAGCCCCUGGUUGGUCCCCUCAACAAGCAAAUGCAAACUGUCUCCAAUUGGACAGUCAAGUAUCCAAUUCCACCUACUAAAAUUAGCAAAUGGCUCAAGAAAAUGGUACUCCAGUAACAGUAGUUCAAAAGUCGGACAAUAACCAAAUCACAAGGGUAUUAGUUGGCUAUCAGACAGGCAACCAUAUAGAAUCCAUGAAUGUAUUCAAAACACCCCAACCAGUACCACUGGUACAGGCAUAGGGAAAAAUUAAAGCAAAUGACCAACCCAAAGUAUUGAUAAUUCCAAGCAACGCCAAGCAGUACCAGAAAUCGAAAAGACCAAAAUGGUAGUCAAUUGGGGCAAAUAACUCCCAAGGCAAAUAGAGGCAACCUACUUCAAUAAGCAACGGAAAUGGCACAGGAGCCGUCCAAUGCACCAAUUAAAUGCAAUAAACCCCAACCAAAGGCAGCUCAAUAGAUUCCAGGCAGAAAGUACCAAAUGAUACUCAAUUGACACCAAAAACGAUCCCAACAAAGCAGCAAGAUCGAAGGAUACUCAGUCACAGAUGCUCAAUCAUAUCGAAAUAAGAAAUUGCAAGCAAAUUAGCACAACCAGUACCACUGGUGUAUACACAGGAAAGGAGGGAACCACAUGGCCAUCCCAAUUAAUAAAAAGCACAACUGAGGCACCCCAAAGGCUAGAAAAGUACCCGAAAAACACAGCAAAUUGAAUGAAUAUGCACUGGGUCUCCAAUUCAGUCAAAAUAAGAUCAAGGGGCACGAUACAGAAACUAACAAAGCAGUACUCAAGUGAUACCAGUAGGAACCCCAACAAAGCAAUGAAUUCAACCAAUUGGAGCAAGUGAAACUCAACAAAUGUCACCAAGUGGACAUUCAAUUACCCACUUCAAGAUACCAAGCCUUAAGAAUUUUAAGAAUCCCAGCAAACAAGCAAUUCCAGCAACUACCGAUUAGAAUUCAAGAAAAUUUAAGAAUUGUAAGCAACACCGCAACCAGUACCACUGGUGCACAGACAGGAAAGAAUUAAAUUCAACGGCAGCAACUCAACCACAAGAACUGCAACUUAAAAAUAAGGAAGUAGCUGCAAAUAGAAGCAACAAUGAUAUGCAAAAUAUCUCAACCAGUACCACUGGUGAGUCACAGGCAAAAGUUAAUCAAACAGCCAACACUGCAAUAAAUAGCAGAAAAUAUCCCCACUAUGGCAUCAAUUAAACCCAAAUCUGUCCAAAAUUUAACCUAGAAAAUGCCCAAAUAACACCUUCUUUUAUCCGUCAAGAAAUCCAGACACAAAUUUCAGAAAUUUAAGCUAAUUGGAGAAGGAAUUACAAUACCUCCACCUGUCGAUUUCUGACAGGUGGUGACGACGUGGCUGGACAGAAAGGCUCGCGAGGGAGGAGCUGUCGGCGUGCGCAGGUUGAGGUGACGUCCUGGUCUGCUGUCGCACGCGGACAGCGGUGGAGGGAGCUGCGCGCGGAGCUUGGCGAGCUCGUGAGGUGGUGGCUGAGGUGGGAGCGAGCUGGUGCAGGCUGCGGCACGCUGGUGGUAGCGGCAGGCGGCGCGCGAGGAAACUCCUGGGCGGCGCGCUGUCGGCUGCGUGUGGCGAUGGGCUGGCUGGUGUAGAGACGAGCUGGGGCGGAGGGCUUUGGCCUGCGAUUGCUUGGCUGUGAGGGACGGCGGCGGCGGCUUCCCUUGGGCGAGCCAGUGACGCGCGGCCAAGAGAAAAGGGAGAAGGCCGCGCGCUGUGGGAGAGGAGGUUCGCGAUCUGUGGCCGCGCAAGGGGGAGGGAGCGCGGGGCCUGGGCUGCACGCUGGGGUAGCGCGCGCGCCGUGGAGAGCUCGCUGGAGCUUGGAGCUGUUGCUGAGAGAGGCUGACUGGACUGCGAAGGUAGAGAUUGGUGGUGCCGUGCGCAGGUGGAGGGCAGACAGCAACGGUGGCGGCGCGCGGCGUGGGCAGCGGAGGUCGUGCGGCUUUGGUUGCGGAGUGGAGCUGCUGUGGUGGUGGAGGUUGAUGAUUGGGGGAAUUGAUAAUUAGGGGGAAAGGAUGGCGGCCGAAAGAAGAAAUAAAAGAAAAGGGAAACAGCGCAGCAGGGAAGAAAGGAAGAAAGAAAGAAGAAGAAAGAAAGAAAGAAGAAGGAAAAAAAAAAAAAAAGAAAAUUUUUUUUUAUUUUUUUAUUGCACACUCAAAUUUCAAAACUCGAAUUGUGAGAACCAAAACUGAAGGUGUAAAACGGAAAAUGUUUUUAUUUUUUAAUUUUUGAUUUUUUUUUUUUUCAAGGAACCUCUGGCUUAGGCGUGGGCACGUCUAACUGCUAUAGAGUCCGCAGAUCCUGAACGAAAAUUUCUUUCCCUCAGGCGUGACCACCUGGUGUGGGCACGUCUAACUGCUAUAGAGUCCGCAGAUUCUGAACGAAAAUUUCUUUCCCUCAGGCGUGACCACCUGGCGUGGGCACGUCUAACUGCUAAUUCCCUGUCACCAAACAUCAAACUAUUAAUUGACACUAACACUUAACUAAAACUUCAAAAAUUCAUGAAAACUGAAACAAAUAGUCUUGGGUUGCCUCCCAAGUAGCGCCUUUCUUUAAUGUCUUUGGCUAGACAUUAUCAUGUUUUGCUCAUGGAGGGUAAAAUCUUGUGGCUCGUCUUACUGCUUCAUCCUCUAUAUAGUCCUGAUAACCCUCGUAAAUAGAAUAAUCCUUGAGCAUACGAGCUACGGGCUUCCAUGGACUAGUGAAUGGCGCCAAACGAGUCGAUGAUAAUUUGCAUUCUCCAUUCACUCCUCCCCCACUUGCAUUUAUUGGUACAAGAUAUCUUGCCAUCGCCACUCUUAAUUUAUUCCUGUCAUGAAAUUCAAAAUUGUCUGGUAUAAUAAAUUCAAUUUCAUUAACAGGAAUUGAAGAGUAAGAGUCAGGAGAAUAGUGAUGAAGGAGUGGAGGGGAUGUCACCGCAUUUGGAGAUUGUUCACUGGAUUAAUUCACUUGAACCAUUUGAUGUUGGGGUCUCAAUUCUUGCUCUUCAACUUUCUUUUCAACUACAUCUUUAGAUUCUUCUUCUCGAGACUCUUGCAGUACCAUGUCAUUUGUCAGAAUAAUUGCACUCUCAUCUUUCUCAUGGUCGAUAAUAGUCGGUGAGGACAAUUCUUCAUAAACUGGAGAAAUCAAUUUGCUCGUUUUAAAUGCCCAUUCAAGCCUUGCUUCUUUCAUCUCUUCACUCAUCUUUUGUGUCUCCUGUUGAAGUUGAUAUGUGUUAGUAGCUAUUAAUUCAACCAUUUCUUCAAGAGACAUACCUGACAUGGAUGACGGUUCUUGAGACUCUAGCUGUUGAAAAUCUAGUGGCCCUGUUGUAUAAUUAUAACUGGAGUUAUCCCACCAUCCUUGAUCAUACCCGUUUGGAUUAGGGUUAUACCACGUUUGAGACCAUGGUGAAAAAUCUCCAUAAUUAUUGAGUGGGACACUCAUAUUAUCUUGAUAUUCGGGGCACAUACCGGUCGAAUGAUCCCUGGCAUAACAAAUUUUACAGGUUGCAGCAGCCAUUCUUUCUCUAAUAGAGUUUACUGCCUCUGAAUAUGCAAACUUAGCAAAAAAACUAGUCUCAUCGCUUUCCCCGGAAACAAAAUCCAGUCUAUCACCAAAAUACGGAGUGUUAGAAGCCAUAAACUAUAAUAAAAAAAAUAAGGGAAAAAUAAAUAAAAAAUAAAAAAAUAAAAACAAGAUGAACUCAAAAAGAAACAAAUUAAUCUGGCACCAGUCCCCGGCAACGGCGCCAAAAAUUGACAGGUGUCGAACCUGUGCAAUAAUAAAUACAUGCUCAAAUAAAAUACAAAUUCUGUAUAUAGCGGUAAGCAGGGUCGAAUCCACAGGGACUGGGGAUAAUUUAAUUUCUUCUCAAGUUCCAGAUAUGGGGGGUUUUUGAAAAUGAGAGUAACUAAAUUAUUUGGAAUAAAAUAAAAUAAAAUAACUACAACUCAAUUAACUAAUUAUCACAAUAAGAAUAAUGAUGGACGAACUCUAGCCAAGAGACAACUUCGGAGAUGGUUCACUUAAUUCGAUCACAGAUGCAAGGAUUAUUCCAGUUACUAUCCGAUAAAUUAGUUAUAGUUGUCAUACACGCGAUAAACAACCAACUCUUCCUCAAUUUGUCGAUAGCCAAGGUACGACCGUUGACUAUUUCUCUAAUCAGGAAAUAACCCUAGGUACGACCAUAGAAGUUCAAUUCCCUAAUUGCAUGAAUAAUUAGAAGAGCCUAAUUCUAACCAAUCAACACGCUACGAGGGUCUCUUUAAGUUAGCCUGCCUAUCUCCCUGACACAAACCCAAUCAUGCCAGUUGCCACCAGUUUAGAAUAAUUAAACAAUUACGGAUUUAACUACCCUAAUUGGCUUCAGGUUAUUGAAUUAAUCUAGAAUCCGGGCCCUGGAUAAUCGAAUAAUAAAACAACCAUAUGAACAUAAAGCAGAAGAUAGACAAAUACCAGUGAAUAAUGGGAAUAAAUAAAAACUAAUUCGAUCUCACAAAUUUAGUAGAACCAAAUCCUCCGUUGUUCUUGACUAGACAAACUUAGCCACGCCUCAUGAGAAAUUCUUCAAGUAAUUCCACUGAGGUCCAGGCCAUCAAAAGAGCCAAGAAAGAAACGAAAAAACUAAAACUAUGCUAAAAACUGUCUAAACUAAAACUAUUGAUUGAUAAACCUCUCGUACGUUUCUCCCUUUUUAAAGCCAAAAGGAAGUCUAAUGCUAUCUCUAGUGGUCCCCACACCAAAUUCAAAGUCUUGUACGUUUCUUUUCCUAGAGUCCAAAUGACUCAUGCUUCUUAUCCGUGGUCCCCGCACAUGUGGACAAAGCAUCCAAAGUACUUGUUGUUCCAAGUCUCUCUACGUUGCUUUCUUUGAAAAGCCCAAAUGACUAAAUGCCUUGCACUAGCUUGUGGUCCCCACCAAUUCAAGGACCUAAAGGUUGAAGCCCUUAGAAGUCUGUAUUUUUCCAUACAAGUCCCUCCUUUUUGGUAAUUUUCUGCUUCACUCCUGAAAUUGAUUCCAAAUACCAAAUAUGAGUAAAUAUCAGCAAUUAACACAAUAUUUGUCAGGGAUAGAAGGGGAAAUCAAUAAUAAAUUUACUAACAAAUUAUACCCUAUCAGGGGCAAAUGAUCCGAUCCUAUUCUAUUCAAAGUUUGUAGCGAGUUAUCUUGAAAACACUACUGCCAUUCUAAGUUUACUAGCUGUCCAUACCAUUCUAAGUUUACUACCAUUUGAUUUACAGUGAACUUGGUCAACACAAAGUUUAUUCUAUCAAGGUUAUAAAGAAUAAAAUUGCAUCCAUUUUGCAGCUAAGGUAGGAACCCUGAAUAAGCUAGUUAGCUAUCAAGUUUGUUUCAGAUAAUAAGCAAUGAGCAUCUGAUCAUCAAAGAGACAGAGAAAUGAUAACCUCAACAACCAAGUCAUUUAUUGCCAUCUCAAGUAAGUCUAUGGUAUUCAGGUCAUCGAAUUCAUCUCCUUUACAAAUGCAAGUAAGGAGCAUUCGGCCACGUGAAAGUAACUUUUCCGAACGAAUCCUUAGAAAUAUGGACAAGCAGAUGACUUGCUUUGGAAGAGUAAAUGCUCUUUUUGUUUGCACUGAUCCCCAAUUCAGUCACCAAACCGCUGGGAACCUGUUGUCUAAAGCUGGUAACUUAUAUAGUUGGAUCAUUUUGUUAGUGUUGCAUAUGGGAAUAUAAAUCAUGAGCCACGAAUUAAAUUGUUAAUCUCAUUUCUUAACUACAAUAGUUUAUCUCAUUUAAUUGUUAAUCAUGCUUCAUUUAAAUGCAUUUAAUUAGUAAAUUUUAGGAAUUUUAUGUUUAUUCGUAUUUUUUUAUAAUAAUAAAGUGAAUUUACUAUAUGUUUGUAUUUUCUUUUAAAUUGUUAAUUAAAUUAGUGUCUUGACUAUUUUGUUAGUUUUGGAGUAUAAAUAAGGUAAAUUCUACCUCAUUUUACCAUUACUUUAAGGGAGGUACUUUUUAUUAUUAUUUUAAGUUCUUUUAUGUGCUCCUAUGUAUUUUUUAUAUGUGUGAUUGCAUGUUUUAAAUGUCUUUUCUUUUCUUUUAUCUUAUUCAUUUUUAGCUUUCAUUUAUUUUAUUUAUUUAAAUUUUGAUUAUUAUUUGGAAGGCAUUUAAAGCCAAAUUGUAAUAGAUAGGUGUCCAAAAAAUGUAUUCAGUUAGGCCAUGUAAUUAGUUAGAUAGAUUUUAUUUUCACCAAAAUUGUAAUUAGUUAGAUAAAUGUAGAUAGGUUUAUUAUUUUCAAAAUUUCCCUUCUACAUUGUAGUUAGGGUCCUUGUGAUAACUCCACCUUCUCCUAGGGCAUAUCUAAGGGUUUGGCGGACCGCCUGCCCAACUCUCGCCAGAACUCACUCACUAACGUUCUUGAAAUAGCUGUUCAAGUCUCAAAAUUAACAUAAAAGUUUCAUUUCCAGCCAACAAUUCAAACUUAAUUUACAAUCCAAGAGUAAAACAUAGGAUUACAUUUCUAAAGAUUUCAAAUACAUCCCAUCUACAAAAGUACAAGUACGAGAGAUUAUAUACACUAGUUCGCGGCUACUUGCUCCAACCUCCACCCCUGUAAGGAAAACAAAACUAAAGGAUUGAGCUAAAAAUCCAAUGAGGUUCCUAAACAAACAAUCAGGUAGGGAAACCAUGGAAACAUUACAUUUAACAAUUUGCAUACUUUGCACAGUAAUAUCCAGUCAUUCAAGAAAUAAACAUUCAAUCAUUGGAAGGAUACGUGCUUAUUUGGAGCAAUUCAUUCAAGUCAUUCAUUCAUUCAUUCGCUAACCAUUUUCCUUAUCCUUCCGACAUUAGAAAACAUUUGUAAGUGAAAACUCCUUCAGUGUUCUUGUCAUUCGUUCAUUGAUAUCAUUGCAUUGAAUUCACUGGCCAAUUCUCCACUAGAUUUCGUGGUAAUAUUCGAGUAUACCAAACAUUGUCCCAGGGUCAGCAGCAGCCCGACGGAGUCCGCUUCUGACUCGAGUCGACUGGCAACGAAGGGCAAGGGCCCAGUUCAGCCAAAAGGCUUACAUUCAUGUACAAGUAGCAUUCAAUCAUUGAAAAUUCACUUUUUCUUGGGUCGAGUGCGUUAAAGUACACACUCGCCCAUCGAAAAUCCACUUAGCAAUCAUUGAAAAGCAUUUAAUAUUCCAGCAACACUCACAACAUUUCACAUAGUCAUUUAAAGCAUACACAUGCAAGGAACACUCAUCUUUUAAAGUAGACCAAAGUUAAAUGUUCCCACCGUUAAAUCCUAAAAGUAAUCAGGACAAGAUGUCAUGAGACUUAUAACAUAUGUUCUUGACAAGAAAUCCAUCACAACUCCACAUAUAUACAAAGUUUCAAAUAACUAAAUCAAGGCUGGAAAUUUUGCCUCUUAAAGCUGAAAAUUGCACACCAAGACUAAAAUUCACAUAUCAAAACUUAAAAUUUCAUAUCAAAGCUAGAGUAUCUCUUAUCAAAGCAGGAAAUUCAUCUCAAAGUUAAACAUUGAACAAUAAAACUGGUAAAAACCAUAAACAUGCUUCCUUUAACUUCAAUCAUAACAUAUCUUGCAUAAAUCUCAAGAAACAAGUAAAAAGAGAUGUUAUCUAGGAAUUUUACCUCAAAACCCCAAGGUGACAAGCAACUCAAGAGUUUCUUCCUCAAAUAACUCCACCAAAGGCUCACCUCCAAACUUAACUCAAGGUUUAUCGGAGUGGAUUAAGGUUGGUCUUUGGAUUCUUCACAAAUCAAGCAAGGAAAUCAAGAAGAAAAUUUGGAAGUUUUUCUCUUUUCUCUCUCUCUCAAUUUCGGCCUUAAUAAGAGAAAAUGAAAGGCUUGUGUUGUGAAAUUGCAAAAUAAAGACUAAAGGAAAGUUUUGGUCAAAAAUUGGCUUGAUGGUUGACAAGUGGCGGCUUCUGGUUUCCUUCCUAUCUCUUUGUCUUUCUUGAUUUAUAUCUAGUUUCCAAAAUAUCUAGAGUUUCUCUAAUACACUCUUAACACUUCUAAUCACAUACUCCCUCUAAUACCACACUUGUUCUCAUCCACCAAAUAUAACGCACACAUCUCACUAGUCGGUCAAACUACCAUAAUACUUUACGAAACUUAACAUGCAUCAAAAUUAUAAAAGGGAAAAGAGAAAAAUCUUGAGUUAACCUUUAAAAUCACCAUCAAAUUAAGGCUAACAAAUAAACAAGUAAAGUAAACUAAAAGGAAAUAUAAAUUAAUUUUUCAAAAAUAGGAGAAAAUUUAAAAUAAUUUUCGGGUUCUCACACUUGUAACGAUCCCACAUCGAUUAGGGAGGAGAGUCUUGGCUGUUUUAUAACCUGUUGUGGGUGUCCCCCCACCUGACCGAGACCUUUUGGAGGGGUGCUGGGUUUCUUGACCUGCGGGUUUGGGCUCUUCACUUGUUGUGAACUAUAGCCCCACCUCCAGGAACAAAACCACGACCUUCUGGACGGCUAACUGUGGGACAAUAUUGAUCAGGGGUGUUAGAAUUGGUAUCAGAACCGACUCCUGACCCUGGUGUUGGAUCUCCUAAGGGGGGUGGAUUGUAACGAUCCCACAUCGGUUAGGGAGGAGAGUCUUGGCUACUUUAUAACCUGUUGUACGUGCCCACCCACCUGACCGAGGCCUUUUGGAGGGGUGUUGGGUUUCUUGACCUGCGGGUUUAGAUUUUUCAUUUGUUGUGGCCUAUAACCCCACUUUCAAGAACAAAAUCCCACCUUUUGAGUGGCUAACUGUGGGACAAUAUUGGUCAAGGGUGUUAGAGUCCCCAAUAUAAUAGUUAGUUUUUAUUUGCUUGCAUGCUUGUGCCCUAAUGUAUUUUAUUCGUUUUUUCUAGGAUUUUGUAUCUAGAUAUUAUGCCUACGUGCUCUACAUGUUUUAUAUGUUUUUUGUGUUUUGAUUAUGUUUUAUGUGUUUUAUUUAUUUAUAAUAAAUGCAUGACGUCGCCGCACUAGUCCAAUAUUAGUUCUGGCAUUUUUUCCCGAUUUUUCACUAGUCCAAUGCUAGUGAGAACUUGUAGAAAUGGAUUAGUUUAAUGCUAGACCCUUUAAAUCAUUUUCACGCUAAAUUCAUACCUUGUGUGAUAUUUAUUGCAUCUCAUGUAUUUUUUCCUAUUUUUAGGUUAUUUUCAAUUGCAUGAUAUUUCCCCUACUAUCAUUCUCCUACCCUCUAUAUAUUUGGACUAUAUCAUUUAGAAUUACAUUUCAUUCUAGGGAAUAAGAAGUAGACUAGUCCAUUUGGUUGACAAGAUUAAGAGAGUCACCCUUCGAAUAUGAGAAAUGGGCGAAUAUGGCUUUUUAACCUUAGCACGCCAUUACUCCUCUAUAAGAAGAAAAAUUGAGUCACGAAUUUUAGUCUCCCAUACCCGUUAUAUUGCAUUUCCCUUUUCUAGGUCAUGCACAUUUAUCUAUAUUAUAAUUUCCUUUUUGAGUCUCACCUUUUGAACUUUUCAUGAUCUCUUCAAAUAAUCAUUUCUAGACAUCACAAUUAAUGUGAUUAGUACCAAUUAAAUUUUGAAGAGACAUUUUGACCCUCCCAAUAUCCUUUAGAUCUAAAUUUGUAUCCAUAUAGAAGCAUCCAAAAUGUGAUAAGUUUUAUACAUUAGAUUAGGAAAAUUUUUGACUAAAUCCCGCAAUUACCCUUGGUUAGGUUGAAAGGGUGUCUUAGAUCAAAUCUUUGUUUUUCCUUUUUUUCAAACAUGACUCUCGAAUUCUUUUAUCUUAUUUUCAAAGAUUUGAAGUCAUAUAAAAGGGUUUUAUUUGUUUUUAUUUAAAAUAUAUUUUUGGUGAAUUGAUACACAUAAACUCAAUACCAAGUGAUGACUCUACUGUUUUCUAAAAAUCUUUUUUAAACUAUUAUUUUGGACUUAAACCGUCGCAUAUUUUAAGUUCCAUUUUAAGCCUUUUUUUAUUUAUUUUUUAAAAUCAAAAACUUAUUUUUUUUAAUACUAUUUUUUCUUUUAUUUUCAAAAAUAAGGUGCCACAAACCCUAAACUGAACCACGUUCCAUUAUCGCAAAAAGUAAUACACAGUGGAUUUAAGGAUGGGCGGUUGUGAUUCACAUGCUUGUUUUGCUUGUUGGCUGGCAUCAGUUGCGUCAAAAGUUGGAGCACCCAUUAUGUCUGUCCCCGACCAAACUAGGCCCCAGCUUAGCAUCGUCCACAGGGCGUCACCUGCUCAUGUAGCUUCUGUCUGCAGUCUGGCUCUUACCAUUAUUUAUGAUUGUGACUUUCCCAUACCACUUGCAUUUUCUGUGGUGAGAAUUUUUCUAUGAGAAUUAUCUCAUUGUUUUUACUUUUUUUUUUUUUCUCUAUUUGUCUUUUUGGAGAAUAAUAAUAAUGUAUUGGUAUGCUUUUUUAAAAUCUGAACCAUGAAAAUAUUCACAAGUCAUUCAUUUAUUGUGUUCUGCUUCUUUUUCAUAUGUUGGAACUUAGAGAUGGAAUAACUGAGAAUUGAGCUUGCGAGAUACUAACAAAAGUUUGAAUGUCUUUCAAGAUAAAGUGGCACUUCCUUCAAAAAGAUAAAGUGACACUUAGCGAAUGAAUAAAUGACAAUUGAGUAUGGCAUUUACUAAGGAAAAGCCUAAUGUAUUUGAAGACAAAGUGGCCACUUUAUGAAAGUUAUUCACGAAUGAUAAAAUCAGAAGUAGAGAUACGGGGAUGGUUACGACUACGGUAGAAAGUUCACUUUUCUGCCCAUAGCAGGCAGAAGCAAUGCAUGGAGGCCAACUGUGCUCUGUGGGACUCACAAAGAAGGAUAUCCGGACACCACUGAGAAAGCGGUUGUCCGUGGAUGAAAAAAUAUAAUACAUUUUAAAAUCACAAUAGAAGUUCUGUUAAAAAUUUAUUUAUUAUCUAAUGCCCAAUACUUAUAUUUGAUAAAUUAAAACAGUUAAUUAAAUAUUUUAUUAUAACAUAAACAACUCUAGUCAUUGAGUUGAUUGAAUAAUAUUUUUUUUUUUUUUUUUGACAUUUCAACUAGUUGUCAAUUAAGUUUCAACUAAAUCCUUUCCCCCACACAAAAACCAACUAAAAACAAACUUUUACAUGUCUGACUUCUCUGGCUUUUUGGCGAGAGAAAUGAUAAGAUUAUUAUAGCAGCCUUUGCCCAAGUGGAGAACCUUUGCUGCAUGCUUCGCAAGCCUGUGGAAUAAGUCAGGCAUAAUAGCUUCUCCAAAAUGACUUGCGAGGAUGGGUUCGUAAACUGAUCUAAUUAAUGAUGCCACAUACUCUGCUUUAAUAUGUUCAUCGCCGUAUACUUGGAAAUGGGAUCUUACUGGGUAAUCAUCAUCAAUAGAGAAGCCAGCAUCAUAAUGGGCCUUAAAAGUCUCCAGGUAUAAAAUUUCAAAAGAACCUUCCUCCUCAACUAUGCACUUUACUUCUUCUGCUGAAGGUGUAAAGAAUGGAAGAUUGAAACUAGCCAAUUUUUCUUCCUCCAGAUGUCCCUGCAGAUAUGCCAAUCAUCAAUUCAAUUCAAAUUAUUUGAAGCGCGAGACUUGGAAAUUAGCCAAUUUGCUAAAACAUCAACUCUAGGAAAAAAAAGGUACAGUUUUUUUCCUUAAUUUCAAAAUGAAUAUAUUAUUAUUACUUGUGCUUUUAGUUCAUAUUAUGAUUUUUUCCAAUACCUUUUUAACCAAAAAGGGGGGAAAAAGAUAGCCGACAAAUUAAAUCCCCCUAUAUUUCUAACUUGAAAGAAUUAUCUUAACUGUAUUGGAGUUGUGUGACCUAACUUCUAAUUAAAGGCUACUACCAUCUGAUUUACGGUAAACUUGGUCUACACAAAGUUUAUUCUAUCAAGGUUAUAAAGAAUAAAAUUGCAUCCAUUUUGCAGCUAAGGUAGGAACCUUGAAUAAGCUAGCUAGCUAUCUAGUUUAUUUCAGAUAACAAGCAAUGAACAUCUGAUCAUCAAAGAGACAGAGAAAUGAUAACCUCAACAAUCAAGUCGUUUAUUGCCAUGUCAAGUAAGUCUAGGGGAUUCGGUUCGUCGUAUUCAUCUACUUUACAAAUGCAAGUAAGGAGCAUUCGGCCACGUGAAAACAACUCUUUCGAAUGAAUCCUUAGAAAUGUGGUAAAAUCUUUCGUAAAUUGAUCCAAAUAUGCCUUUUGGACGGGCGGACGACUUGCUUUGGAAGAGUAAAUACUCCCUUUGUUUGCACUAAUCCCCAAUUCAAUCACCAAACCGCUGGGAACCUGCACGUCUAGAACUGGUAACUUAUAUAGUUGGAUCAUUUUGUUAGUGUUGCAUGUGGGAAUAUAAAUCAUGAGCCACGACUUAAAUAAAAUAUGUUAUUAGUUUCUUCCUGUGGAUAUCUUUAGAAUUAUUAAAGAAAUUUCCAUGCAUAGUUACUAAUGUGUUGAAUGAAAAUCAUGAACUAUUUUUGCUACAAGAAAAAGUAAAAAGAUAAAGGGGAUUAACUCAAAGACCUGAGAUAACCAAUGAAAACUGUAACAAGAGUGUAUAAAAUGCAUGGACUCCUCGGGGAAGAGUCUGCCGUAGAAAGAGCCAGGCAUUGCGCUUAUUAGGCACGAUCCUAUUUUGCGUCCAUUUUCUUUCUCAAGUUUGCGGUAGAAGCUUGGCAGCAACUUGAAAACCGAAUUGAAAUCAUUUUGGAAAAGAUCAUUCAGAAAAAUCUGAAUGGUGGGACGUUCUAAUUCAUUCUUCUCUUCCUGGCCAACUUUGUCAAUACUUUGCACAAUGUCCCGAACUGUUAAAAGUGUGUUUGGUCCAGAAGCGCAUCCCAAAUCCGCAACUUUAAUGCAGUUGUUGAUGUUGGGCAAGUUGGCCCGCAACAAUUCUCGUAUGCAUUGUUCAAGGACAGGUUUCACCUUGGCAAGAGCCAGCUGUUACACAUACCAGUCCAAAAUACAAAUGUGAAGGGGGGAAAAAAGACAUACUAAGUUAGAGAUCGACGUAUCAUAGCAUGAUUUACCACUACUCUGUGUGUGUGUGUUAAAGAGAGAUAGAGAGACAGACAGACAUUGUAGGAUGAAUUCUUGGCGUAGCUUGUAUCGCCUUCACCUCCAUUCAUAUGCAGGACUGCUUGGAGCUCCAUUCAUAUGCAGGACAAUCGAAUUGCGACUGCUAAAGAAGGUGUCUGUUAAUGAUUAAUUGUGCAAAAUGUCGGGCUUAAAUAGCGAAAAUUUCAUAGAUGCGUAUGCGAACCAGCUACCUACGUGCGUAGAAAAGUCUGUCAAUUGGUCAGAAAGAAAGCGCACAGCCAAUGGGAACCAGACACGAAUGAUAAAAUCAGAAGUUGAGAUUUGGGGAUAAAAUAUCUUAUCUUAUAGGGUUAAAUGCAAAAAACCCCACAAACUAUAUACCCAAUUGCAGUUUACCCCCUAAACUAUAAUAAUAAACAUUUUGUCCCCUUGAAUGAUAUGUUUGGACAAAUCUACCCCUUUUAUUUUAAGCAUUGUUAUUUUUCUUUUUUCCCUAUCAUUUUCUUUUUAAAUUCUUCCUUUUUUUUCUUUAAACAUUGUUUAAAUAAGUAGACUAGAUUAGUCAAAAUUUGUUUAUUUCUUAAUUUCGUAUGUCAAUAUUUUAUAAAAAAAAAUCUAUGGAAUACAAGAUUUUUUUUCCAAAUGUUGGAGUCAAUGUCAUUUAAGAAAUUGAACUUUUCAAAUAUAUAAUAACAAAAUAGAGAAAUUGAUUAAUCAAUUAUUAGUAGUAUCAAUAACAAAAAAAAUGAACUACUAUUGUUGUUUAUUCUUAUUUUUUAUUUCACUACAAAUAACAAUUGCUAACUUUUCUUUUUUAUGUGACAUAUAAUAUGUUACUUUUAUUAUAAGUAGUUGAGUAACUGUGAACUCUUAAUUAGUUCAUGGGUACUUAAAUUGUUGAAUUACUAGAUUAAUACACUUUACAAUAUAAGCUACAUAUAUUUUGUAAUAACAAAGAGUUUAUGUCAAAUUAUUAAGAAUAAAUUUAACAAAUAAACAAAUUAAAAAAUAGUUUAAAAAAUAUUAAAAUUUUUUAUGUAAGUCUUUUCACAUCGGAGAAAGACGUUGGCUAGUUCCACGAGAGAAGGAGAAAAUAAAAGGAAAAAAUGAAAAAAGCUAAUAGAGAAAAGAAAAGAAAGGAUUUAAGACAGUAGGGGUAAUGUUGUCCAAACAUAUCAUUCAAGGGGACAAAUUGCCUAUUAUUAUAGUUUAGGGGGUAAACUGCAACUGGGUAUAUAGUUUGUGAGGGUUUUUUGUAUUUAACCCUAUCUUAUAUAGAAAAAGUCAAGACUUCUACUCUCAUAUUGAGCCACGUGGCCGCAUUUGGGAAGGGAGUCUACUGUAGUAUAUUGAUAAGUGUAUGUUUUGAGUGUUUUAAAUGUGUUUUAUUAAUUAGUUUUGGUGUAUUUUAAUUAAUUUUAUAGCUAAUUAACUAAGUUUCUAGUGAAAAUAUACAUUUUGUGGUUUAAGUAUCAAAAAUUGCAUUUCUAUAGAUUUUAAUAGUGAAAAUUUCAUAUUUUUGUAGGUUAAAUUAUUCAAUCAUCAAUUGGAGUGACUUGAGAAGAUAUUUGGAUGAUUUGAAAUGAUUUAAAGAAAACAUGAACUAUCAAAUGUUCAAAAGAGGAAAUUCAAUCAAGAAUAAAAGAAAGGGAGUUUUCCAACUUUGAUACCUUGUGGUCUUUCAGCUAUAUCUUGAGUUACAAGCAUUGAAUUGAGGUGAUUCUUAAACCAUUUUAACACUAAGAGAUAGCUGCAUAUUUGAUAGGGAUAAUUUCAUAUACCUCCCCUUAGGUUUCUGACAGUUUCACUCCCCUCCCCUGUGGUUUCAGAAAUACCACAAACCUCCCCUAAAACUAAAUAGGCAAUGUCAAAAUAGACCCAAUUUAAAAAUACAAACAAUAAAAAAUCAGUAGCUAGAGAGAGAAACAAGUGUAUGCCACAAACGCCCUCAUUAUCUUGCAUUAAUGAGCUAAUCUCAUGUGAAGAAAAAACAAGGAAUUUAAGAAGAAUAAAACUUGAGGGGGUGUAAGUGAGACCAAUGCAUUCAUUAAGGUUUGAACGUCAAUAGUGAACAAAAUGGAAGGCAACGGCUCUUUCUGGCAGUCAGUUCUAAUGUCCAUAUGCAACGCCCAAUUCAGAAGGCUAUUUAUAAGAGUAAGGGACUGCUUGUUUUACAGAUUGAAAUCGGAAAUGGAAAUGGAAUCAUAGACUCCGGUUUUGGAAUUAAACUUUUCAUUCCAAUAUCUAACUUGGUUCACAUAUUGGAAUUAGCAUCAUUCCAAUUCCUGAUACUUGGUUUGAUGAGUGUUUCGGAAUUAAAUGUAAUUAAAUUUCAAAUUUACCCCUGAUAUAACAAUUCUUCUAAAACAAAAGAAUUACACAUACGACAAAUUAACAUCUCCAUAAUUGUAACUACAAUAGUUAUUAACUUUUUGAUAAAACAUAAGAAAAUCAUAAACCAUAAAAAAAAUUAAUACCAAAAAAUAAAUAUAGUGGCUGCAUUAACAAGGAGUAAAUUCCCAAAACGAAGGAGUUUUUAAACUAACUUCUCAAAGGGUGAUGAUUUUUGAAUCUCUUUCCACAGGGUGAAAAAUACAUCCAAGGAAUGCAUUCUUCCAAAUAAAAACGCAACUUUCAAAUACAUUAUUUUAAUUUUCAUAAAUUUAUUUAAAUAUGAAAAAUUGGUUAAAUAGCGCAUAAUAUACCAACUUUUUAUGAGAAAUUGACAGGUUUUGUAGUAUGUUUUGUAUCAGCUCUUUAUGGGAGACAUGCUAGUUCUCUAUGGGAAAAAUUGGUUAAAUAGCGCUCAAAGGAAAACUAUUAUGCUUUGUAUUUAACAUAAAUUAAAUAUGUGAAAGUUAAAAAUAAAAAAAGAAAUUGCUCAUAACAUACCAGCUCUUUAUAGGAAACUGGCAGGUUUUAUAGUAUGUUUUGUACCAACUCUUUAUGGGAAACAUACCAGCUCUUUAUGGGAAAAAUUGGUUAAAUAGUGCCCAAAGGAAAACUAAUAUGUUUUGUAUUUAACAUAAAUUAAAUAUGUGAAAGUUAAAAAAAAAAAAAAGAAAUUGCCCAUAACAUACCAGCUCUUUAUGAGAAAUUGGCAGGUUUUGUAUUUAAUGAACUAUUUAAUCAAUUUUUCAUAUUUAAACAAACUUACGAAAAUUAAAAUAACGUAUUUGAAAAUUGCAUUCAUAUUUAAACAAAUUUACGAAGGCCCUUUUCUAUAUUGGUUGUUAGGACUCUAAUUUUUCGUUAAUUACAUUAAUUGUGUUUAUAACUAACUUAACUAAAUUUUUCCAGAUAAUCACGAAAUAUUAGCAAACUUGUGAGGGUAUUUAAGUCUUUGUGGCACCAAUGAUGUAAGAAAUGGAACCUCACAAUCUGACAAGGGAGGUUUGUGGUAUUUCUGAAACCACAGGGGAGGGGAGUGAAACUGUCAGAAACCUCAGGGGAGGUAUCUGAAAUUAUCCCUAUUUGAUAUGAAGACUUGAAAUCUAGUUUAGUCGUUUUCUUUGUCGAAAUACAGAAGUGCAUUUUUAUUGUCAAAAACUAAAACAGAGUUCUGACUAGUCGAGAAUAUUUUGGUUAUUUCUUGGUCCACAGAUCUCCAAAUUAGAUGAUUCUUGAAGCAUUGAAAAUGGGCUACAACUUUCAUGCUUUUUACAAGAGUUAGUUCAUCCUCCAUCAUCAAGAAAAUACCAGUUGACGUUGGACCAAAAACAGAGCAAAGAGAAGACUUGACCAGAAAUGAGCAAACUUCAAAAAGAGAAAAACGUGGGUAUAAUAUGCGACCUUAGGUCAUGUUUUCGAGGUCGCGUAAUCUUCAUUUGUGGCUGCAGUUUGCUCUGCAACUUUUGCUUUGUUCACACAAGCUUUUUGACUACUUUUUCAGCAAGAAUUUCGACUAGGUAUGAGCUAACAAGUAUGGAGACAUCAAGAAACAACCUUUUGAUGAUUCCAAAAGCCAACUAGCACCAACCUUAACAUGAUUACUUGGAGUUUUAAUCCUCUAUAAAUAGAGGCCUUUGGGAAACAUUUUCCCAACUUUAGAAAGGCUAGAGAAACUCCACAAAAAUGUAGUCUUCACUAGAAUUUCUUUAGUUCAUUAAUUAGAUUAGUAUAGUAUAGUUAGUGUAACUUAUCCUUCUUGUAUUUGUAACUAAACUUGGAUGAAGAUUAAGGAGCAAAAUGAAGAGUUUGAUCUCAUGUGACAAGGGUGAUAUCUCUUAUACUAUUUUUUCUCUUGUAUUUGAUUUCAUAUUUAGUUAUUAUACAAGUUUGGAUUUGUGUUUAAAUAUGUAUUUUUAAAGUUUAUACCUAGAGUUAUGGAUGAACUUGCUAUAUCUUAUUAGUGAUAUUUACUUGGUUAUUUGAUGAUAUUAUUUUGAGCAAAUUAUUUAUUAGUUUUACUUUUCUAAUCAUGAUUAACCAACCAUUAAUUAUGAUAAUAUUAACGUGUUAAAUUUGCAAUGAGAAUUGGGAUUAACAAUAGUUCAACGAAGUGAUAAACUUAGGGAAUACACUCACAAGAGUAGAGGUACACUUAUGUGGAUUUACUGACUUGUUUCAUGUAAUUUCAUAGAAGAAAUAAGUUUGUAAUUAAUUUCAUAACCAUGAGAGUAGGUAUGGUUUAAUUACAAGUAUAGUUGAUUCAUUACGAGAGUAGAUUUCAUAUACAUUAAGAAAUUAUGCCAUAACUAGCCAAGAUAAUAACAUUCACUUAAUCGAUAAUUUCAUUAGCGAGAGUAGUUAGGAAUUUCAUACCUCUAGAAGUUUUAUAUUUUUAUUUUUAUUACGUUUACUUCAUGUUUGUAGUGUAGCUUUAAUCUUUUGCAAUUUGUGGUAAUCUAAAUAAUAAAGGAGUUUGAAAGCUAUCGGUAAUUGACAAUUUUCUCUGUAGGUUUGACCCUUAAUACUCUAUGCUCAAUCACGCAUAGUAUACUUGUGAAAAAUGGCAUAUGGGGUAUUUUGAAUUUUAUAAAUAUGAAACUUGACUAUGGAUGACCUAAUUGUUAUAUACAUAUCCCGUGCCCGUCAAAUUUUUAAUGCCGUUGCCGGGGAAGAUUUUGCUCAAUAUUGGCGCUAAGAAUAACUUUAUUAAUUUAGACAUUUUUUCUUGGUUUUCUUGUUUUUAUUGUGUUUAUUGUCCUUUUGUUAUGUUUAGUGUCUUGUUGUAUCUUUUAUUUUAUGUUUAGUGUCAUGUUUUUGUAUGUGUCGAGUCAUCUAUUCUUCUUGACUAAACUUGUUUUUGAAUUACUUUGAAAGUAUGUUUAGGGUUUUAAGGAGAGUAGAAAACAUGAGGAGACAAUGCUUGAGAAGUGAAAGAUCGGCAAUGGAUUAUUAUCAAGUACAAAGCACCUUGAAUAGAGGUAACCAAGAUGUUACCGAAGGUAUAUCAUUCAAAAAUGGUUUAAAGAGUUUAAAGGCUAAACUUGAUAUUAUAAUAUUAAAAGUUCAAUUGGACACCAUUACAAACAUGCUUGAGCAAAAGAGGAAUGUUAAUACUUUUAAUUCUUAUCAUGUGAUUUGUAACUUGUGUGGAGAUUAUCAUGCUACUCAUACAUGUAGGCAAGCACACAAUGUGGAUUAUUAUGAUGAAUUUGGGUAUUACAAUCCUUAUUUUGAUCAAUAUGGUCAUAACUGGGGGAAUUCUUAUACUUAUGAUUGGGAUAAUCAAUGUAUUUAUAGUGAUUCUCAAUGUUAUCAUGAUUACCCACCCGAGCGUGUCCAAUAUGAAUCUAAACUAUUUUGGGAAUUAGCCAUAGAAAAGCUAGCUAAUGCAACCUCAGAUCGUUUUGAUAGGGUUGACCAAAGAUUUGAUGAAUUAACUUCUCAUUUUGGUAGAUUACAAGAUCAAUUACACGUUUUGUGUGAAGUUAUUUUUUCUAAUCAUGUGCAAGAUGACCCUAACAUGAAUGAUGGAAAUGUUGUAUGUCGAAAUGGAUUGCAUUUUGAUGGAAAUGAUGCAUUUAAUAUACGUUUCAAUGAGAAAUUGUCCAUUUCACAAAAUCAUAUCCUUGGAACUAACUUUAAAGCUCAAGAGAUGAGCAUCAAUGACUCAUUUUUCAUCUCUCUUGAGGAAUGUGUUGAAAACAUAGGUUCUAAAUAUAUCGUCACCCAAGAAAGGCAAGCAGAUGUUCCUUUGGUGAGCACUCAAGUGACGCACAUUCAAGGUAUUAUUUAUCCAUCGCUUGAGAUAUGUAAGCCUCUUCCACCUCUCAUACUAUUAGAACAUGUGGAUUUUGAUAUCAAGCCACCAUUUAUUGAUCCACCAUGUCUUCUAAUGAUGAAUUAUUCAUUGACAAAAUCUCGAAAAAUGAAAUUAUAUAGUCGAGCCAAAGACUAUAAACAAAAGCGCUAGUUGAGAGGUAACCCAAUAUUUUGAUGACUUAUGUUAAUUCAGUGUGAUUUUAUGUUUAAAUUAUGCAUUUAAUGUAUUGUUUUUCUUUUGUAGGUUUGGGAAAUAGAAGUAAAAGUGAUCAAAUGAGAUGAAAAAGGCGAAAUUUGAUUGAAAAACUCCACCCCUCGAUUUGAGUAUUUAAUGUUUUUGAUUCGUUAAAGAGAGGUAAAAUACAUAUUUUGAUCAUUUUACAUAGCGUGCGUUGAUUAUUUUAUCGAAAGAAUGAUCUAGUGUGCAUUUUAAGCAAUAGGGGUACCAUGUGUAAUUUUAAAAAAUUGAAUCUUCUGUAGAAAAAUUGCAGAAAAAAACGCAGCAUCAUGGAAAACGCGACCUUAGGUCACGUUUUCUUGAGGUCGCCUACUCUAUUCUACAAUUUUUCAACAGAAUACACGAGUACAGAAAACAUGACCUAAGGUCACGUUUUCAAAUGUAAGAUAGAAAACGCGAGCCUGAAAACACAAGCUCAAGCUCGCAUUUUCUACUCGCAUUUUUUAAGUUCUUUUAAGAAACAAAAAUGCAGGCUGCCUUAUUCUUCUUUUCUUCUUCUCCUCCUCACAUUUUCUCACACAUACUAACACACAAUUCACCAUUUUCCUCUUUUACUCAAUUUCCUUGUAAGAAAUCAUCAACAAAAUAUUAUUUGACCUUCAUAGAUCCUUUUUAACUAAUUAGAAUUCAGGAAAAAGAUCUCAAAAUUUGGUUGAAGGUUAGGGUUCAUAAUUUCUAAUUCCAUCAAUUGAAGGUCAAUUGGAGUGAUUUUCAUAGGACUUUUUGUAUCAUUUGUAUCACCAAACAUCACUCUACCAAUUUGAGAUAAAUUUCUUGAACUUAAUUUGGUAUUUUAAAAUUCACCAUUUGCAUAUCUUUUGAGUUUAUUGAAACACUUUGAAUGGCGAAUUUGUGAUGUUAUUUGUUGGUGUAUAUAAGUUCCAUUAUGCUUAUGUAACAUCUUUAAGCAUAUUUAGAUGAUCAAAUGUGGGAAUGUGAUGAUCUAUGCAAUGUUUCAAUUCAUGUAUAUUCCUAUUUUAUGAUCAAUGUAAUAAUUGGUCUUAGAAUAUUGUUAAGCAUAAUUGGAUAGUUCAAAUUGCUAAAAUGUGACUUAUUCAUGAUGCUUACAUGUCUACAUUCAUUACAUGGUGACAUUUUAGCAAAUUUGAAUUUGUAAACUUUAGAGAGUGGCUAGUUUAUCUAGUUAAAGGAAAAUGAUACAUUUAAAUGGAAAUUUAUUGCUUAAUUUUCAUAUAAAACAUCAUUGGAUGAAAAAUUUUGAAUAUGUGAAGAAUUUAGCAAUUUGUAGAAUUUUAGGAGUAAAAAAUGUGUGAAGUGAAGUGAAAUGUUUCAUUGUACCUUGAGUAGUUUCUUAUAUAUUUUAUAUGGGCACAUCACCACGACAAAGGCGUAGAAGUUACGGAUCGCCAUUUUGUGUUUAUUAAUACGUUUGUUAUCACUUUUGUUUCUCAUUUUUCAAUUCUUAGGUUUAAUUACUAAUGGUUAUCCAAUGGAACUAAUAAAGUUUUGGAAAUAAACGGACAAUGGUUUGUGACACUUCAUGACGCUUCAAUUAUAUCAAUAAGGGAGUAUUCCUUUUUUUUUAUUUCCCUUCUUACACAUUGAAAACAAUGUAUAUGUUAAGUGUUGGGGGGGAGGGAAUUGAGAUUAUAUGCAUCGUAUGUGAUUGAUUUGUUAGUUGCAAAUAUUGGACUUGUGCUUGAAAAUGUUAUCGGGUUUAAAAAUUUUUCAAAAUUGGGUUUGUUGGCAGGGAGUUUAGUCCAUUUAUAAGAUGAGACUCUCACAAAAUUUUUUCAAAAUCUUGUCUAAAAUUGUAAAAUUGUCCCAAAAGAUUUCAAAAUUUUUCAAUUUUAUCCAAGGGCAACAAGUUUCAUACCUUUAGUAAUUCAAAUUCCUUCUACUUUUAAGAUAAAUAUAUGUAACUUGACAACUUCUUUUCUCAUUUAACUUGAAAAUGACUAUUAUGUGAUUAUAAUUUGCGCAUUUAUAGGAAAGUAUCUUGAAAAAUGGAGAAAAUUAUGCCUAAAUUUUACAAAUUUGAUGAAAUUUCUUCUCUUUACUUAAUUUUACAUAGUUAAGUGAAAAUAUGGUCAAUAAGUAUAAUAUUCUUCUCAUGAUUAUUCUUUUGAGAGAAUGUUAUUAUUUUUGCUUUUGAAGAAAAAAAAGAGAGAAAAAAGGAAAAAAAAAGAAUAAAAGGAGAAUAAAAGUUGUUCUACUUUAAUGGUUCUUGUACUUAGUAAUCGGGAGUGUUUAUAUACAAAUAUUGAUUUUCGCGUAAAAGGGAACUAGAAUUAAGAGUAUGCAAGGCAACUUGAGGAUAUGAAGUGUUGAGUAACUGGCGAUUUUCAUCUAAAAAUGUCGAUUUUUGUGACAAAAGAUACUUUCACAACUUGAAUAAUAUUAGAUAUAUUAUAUGAAUAAAUCCUUUUUUGCAUCUGAAAAAGGUGAUGAUCAUGGGUUUAGAAAGCAUUUUUAUUCACCAUAUGACUCGCUUGUGAAAUUGGAAAAGGAUAAGAAAUUGACUUGAAUUAGUUACAAUUAUGGCAUAAUUAGCUCUCCUUUACUUGAUAUUAUGAGUACUUGAACUUGAUUGAAUGAUUGCAUUAUGGUUAUUUACCUUGUUUUGAGGAAAUGAAGUUGAACUGUGUACAUAUGUUUAAUUCCAAAGUUUUGGAUGAUUGUGGUUAGUAAUUCUUAAUUGCUUGAGAACAAGUAAUGGUUCAAGUAUGGGGGAGUUUGAUAAGUGUGUAUUUUGAGUGUUUUAAGUGUAUUUUAUUAACUAGUUUUGGUGUGUUUUAAUUAGUUUUAUAACUAAUUGACUAAGUUUCUAGUGAAAAUAUACAUUUUGUGGUUUAAGUAUCAAAAAUUACAUUUCUAUGAAUUUUAAUGGUAAAAACUUCAUAUUUUUCUAGGUUCAAUGAUUCAAUCAUCAAUUGAAGUGACUUGAAAAGAUAUUUGAAUGAUUGUUGAUGAUUUGAAGUGAUUUAAAGAAGAUAUGAAGUGCCAAAUGUUCAAAAGAGAAAAUGCAAUCAAGAAUAAAAGGAAGGGAGUUUUCUAACUUUGACACUUUGUGGUAUUUUGACUAUAUCUUGAGAUACAAGCAUUGGAUUGAGGUGAUUCUCAAACCAUUUUGAAGUUAAGACAUUUGUUGUGAAGACCUCAAAGUUCAGUUUAGUUGUUUUCCUUGUCAAAAUAUCGAAAUACAGAAGUGCAUUUUCAUUGUCAAAAGCUAAAAUAGAGUUCUGACCAGUCAAGGAUAUUUUGGUCAUUUCUCAGUCCACAGAGCUCCAAAUUGGAUGAUUCUUAAGGAAUUGGAAAGUUAAUGCAAAGGACUACAACUUCAUGCUUUGUAUAAGAGCUAGUUCAGCCUUCAUCAUUAAGAAAAUGUCAGUUGAAGUUGGACUAAAAACAAAGCAAAGAGAAGACUUGACCAGAAAUGAUAAAACCUGCAAAAGAGCAAAAUGUGGAUACAAUACGCAACCUUAGGUUGCAUUUUCGAGGUCGCAUAUUCUUCAUUUGCAGCUGAAACUUGCUCUACAACUUGUGCUUUAUUCACACAAGAUUUUUUACUACUUUUUUUGCAAGAAUUUCUGCUGGAUAGUGCUAAUAAGUAUGGAGACAUCAAGAAGCAAUCUUUUGAUGAUUUCAAGAGCCAACUAGCACCAACCUUAACUUGAUUACUUGGAGCUUUAAUCCUUUAUAAAUAGAGGCCUUUGGGGAACAUUUUCAGAACUUUAAGAAGACUAGAGAAACUUCACAAAAAUGUAGUUUUCAGUAGAAUUUUUUUAGUUCAUUAAUUAGAUUAGUAUAGUAUAAUUAGUGUAGCUUAUCCUUCUUGUAUUUGAUCUCAUAUGACAUGGGUGAUAUCUCUUCUACUACUUUCUCUUAUAUUUGAUUUCAUGUUUAGUUAUUAUACAAGUUUGGAUUUGAGUUUCAAUGAGUUUGUUUGGACAAGCCAAAUUUGGUUUGCAAAAUUUGUUUUCACAAAUCCCAAUCACCUUUUUAUCUUCCCAAUCACCUUUUUAUCUCACAUACAUCACAUCACAAAAAGUGCUACAGUAAAUAUCUCAAAUAAAUCAUCCAAAUAAACUCUUAUCCAAACAAACUCAUUAUGUGUUUCUAAAGUUUAUACCUAGAGUUAUGGAUGAACAUGUUAUAUCCUGUUAGUGAUAUUGACUUAGGUAUUUGAUGAUAUUAUUUUAAACAAGUUAUUUAUCGCUUUUACUUUUUUAAUCAUGAUUAAUCAACCAUUAAUUGUGAUAAUUUUAAGGUGUUAAGUUUGCAAUGAGAAUUGGGAUUUAACACUAGUUCAAAAAAAUGAUAAACCCAGCGAGUAUACUCAUGAGAAUAAAGGUGCACCUAUGUGGUUUUAGUGACUUAUUUCAUGUAAUUUCAUAGAAAAAAUGUACUUUAGUUGAUUUCAUAACCACGAGAGCAGGUAUGGUUUAAUUACAAGUAUAGUUGAUUUACUACGAAAGUAGAUUUCAUAUACAUUAAGAAAUUACGCCAUAACUAACCAAGAUUAUAGUAUUCAUUUAACCGAUAAUUCAUUAGCGAGAGUAGUUAGAAAUUUCAUACCUCUAGAAGCUUUAUAUUGUUAUUGUUAUUAUGUUUAUUUCAUGUUUGUAGUGCACAUUUAAUCUUUUACAUUUGUGGUAGUCUAAAUAAUAAAGGAGUUCGAAAGCUAUCAGUAAUUAAUAAUCUUCUCUGUGAGUUCAAAGAACGGAAGUCAGGAAUUUCAAUUUUUUGUAAUGGAGUCUGGUAGGAUACUUAGAAAAGUUAAGACUUGAAGGCGGAUUUCAAAAGUGGUUUAAAUGAUCUGAUAUUGCAUUGUUGCCCCAACCCUAUCAAAACUUGCACCAGUUUAUUAUCAAUUGAGGUUCUCUUCUUCUUUUUUUUUAUUUUCCCUUUUCCCCUUUUUUGGCCUUCUAGCAUUUCAUUCAUUUUUUGAAAUUUUUAAAAUUUGGGCCAGUUUAUUUUUAACUGAGGUUUUUUUUUUCAUUUCCUUUUGUUCCUCUAUCACUUUUCACCUCUUAAGGCUUUUCUUUCCUCUCUUUUCAACGCAAACUUACUCCAGUGUGGGGUUUGCGAUCCUUAGGGGUUGCCAAAUGAAAAUAAUUUAUUCUGAAGGUUCAAAAGGGAUAACUAGGGAUAGAAGGUUUGAUUGGAAAGGAAAAAGACCUGACUUUCAUUCCAUUCUCCGUAUUAACCCUGAAAGGAAACUUUCGUUUAUCAUAUUAAAUAUUUUUCACACAUAUCCGAAUUGAUCGGUUGAGGGAAAUCUUGUCCAUCCAUUUCUACAAGAACAAGUGCUCCACCAGGCAAUACCUUUUUGACAAUAAAAGAAUCUUGUCAAUUUGGGGCAAACUCUUCUUUUGGGCUCAUCUUGCACCGACAAAAGCUACUUCAAUGCUUUGUCUCCUUCUUCGGAUAGUUGCGGUUUGAUCUUCUUGUUUUAAGCACGGGCCAUUCUCUUUUGUUAACACUAAUCAUGACAAAUGGCAUUUAGCUGUUUCUUAUCAAGUGACUACUGACUUUUAUUUCUUUAAUCUUGAUCCCAAUUCGGCUUGAGUUUCUCUUUAUACCAUUUGGGCCUCUUUGAAAUAUUUUCAAAUGUCUCUUCGCUAUUCCUCUCAUUUUGAAAUCCAAAUUUACAUUCGUGAGAUUCGAGAUUGCUGUCAUCAAAUUUCGGAACAGUGAUAGUCAAAGGGUCAGAGGAUUUUAUUGUUGGCCAUCUGAAAAAAAUGCGUAAGUAACACAGUAUAUAUAAAACUAUACAGUUUAUUGAAUUUCAAAAUAAAGUUCAAACUUAAUAGCAUGUUACUUAUUAAACAAGACGUAUCUUCAAAAAUCACUUGAUUCAAAAUUAUUUACAAAAAUAUAGUUAAACAAAAGACACACACAUGAAUGAUUUUCAUAGAUUUUAACCAAAGACAAUUCCUCAAAUUUAUAAAAACGCCCUUCAAGAGGGAGGGAUCUCACUAGUUCAGGAUUUUCAAAUUACUUCAUUGGGGACAAAUGCCUCAAAGAUGUCCUUAUGUUCGGGACAGGGUUUUGUACUUAUGCUCGGUCCUUAUUCUCCCAUUUUCCUUAGCACUAUAUCUCCUGCUUCAAUCAUAUCCUGAAUUUUAUGUUUCAAUACCCAACAAUUAUUGACGGAAUGCCCAAGAGCUCCAGAAUGAUAAGUGCAGACGGCUUGAGGGUCAUAAUUAGGGGGAACACCCCUAGGAUAGAUCUUGGGAGGCAUAACAUCAAUUUUUCCGGCAGCUUUGAAUUGUUCGUUUAAUUGAUCAAUGGGUCAGCCCAGGUUGGUGAAGGUUCGAUAUGGGGUUGGGUUUCGAGUUUCACUGUUUAGAGGAUAAGUUUGGUUAUUUGGUUGAACAGGUCUUGGAUUAUAAGGAGAGGAGGUCGAGUUUGAAAAUUGGGUAUUGGGACGAGUAGUAUAAAUGGGUUUGCAUAAUUUGGCCGAGGUCGAGGGUGAUUGAUAGUAGUAUGGUAAAUAGGGCGUGGGUUUGGAUAAUAUGGGUAGGGUGAUGAAUAUGUGGGGUAUUGCUGAAAUCUAGGUUGGGAAGAAAAGCCUUAGUCCCAGACUAAUGCGGCUUCCCCAUCUUUCUUUUUGAACUGAGGCGUCUUGCUACUGCUUCUUGCAUUUUGCAAGGCUUCUAAUUGCGAUUUCAGAGCUGACACAUUAACAAUCUUUCCCGCUCUUACAAACUCAUCAUAUUCGUUCAAUUUGUUGACAAUUUCUGCAAACAAGCAUCUAGUCAUGCAAAAAUUUCCUCAAAAGAGGACAGGUCAUGAGUUUUGAUAAAUGUUUGAACAAUUUCAUCCUCGGUUAUAGGAGGUUCCACCUUGAUAGCCAAUUUCCUCCAUCGCUUCGCAUAAGUCUUGUGAUUCUCAGAUGGUUUCCUUUUAGUGCAUUUAAGCGUGGUUCUCGUUGGAGCAAGUUCACAAUUGUACUCGUAUUGUCUCACAAAAGCAGUUGACAAAUCCAACCAUGUUCUCAUUUCUUCAGGCUUUAAAUUGGAAUACCAAUCCAGGACAUCGCCUUCCAAGGUCUCCGGGAAUAAACGUAUUGGCAAAUUUUCAUCAUAUACUGGCUUUUCCAACUUAUUUGCAAAUAGUCUUAGAUGCGUUUUGGGGUUACCAGUUCCAUCAUACUUACUAAAUUUGGAUGUUUUAAAACCCAAAGGCAAUUGCAUGUCCGGAAAAAGACACAACUCAUCAUAAUCCAAAACUCCAGGCUUGCUCAAUCCUUGAAUUUUUCUUAUGAAUUCAUCAAAUUUAUUUAACCUUUUCAACAGAUUUUUGUCUAUUGGGGGUGGAGGAUUCACCCUUUUUCACCUUUCCUUGCAUAGCAGCAUCCAGCAUGAAUGGCUCAGUGGUGGUGUGAUGAACUAUUUGAGAGUUUGGGUAAUUCUGAAACAUUUGAAUGCUGGCCAGGUUGACUUGGAUGUUAUGAGGGUAAUUAUAUGGAAAACUGGAAGCAGGGUAGGUGAAAGUCUUUUCGGGUAUAUUUGCAAAGGAUGGUGCAAAGGUAACUUGGGUAUGAGAUAAAGGAGAUGGUUGGUGUUCUAUUUCAGGUUGACUAAUAGGCAUGGGAUCAUGUUGGAUAUCGCCACUGCUAGCAACCAGUUGGUCAAUCAUGCGCCUUUGGGUUGACAUUUCCACGCUCAAUUCAUUGAAUUUGUUUAACAUCUCACUCAGUUGAACUCCCAAAUUUGCAGUGUCUGCUGGAGGUGUCGUGGUGGACCGGUCAGAUGAUUUCGGAUGUGCACUCAUGUUUACACGGUUUCUCAAAACUCGACUGCGAGAUCGUGUGACGAUGGGGUUUCUUCUUAUAGUUAUGUUUACAAUUACCUGAAAAUUUAGGAAAACCCUAUUUAGAUUCCCUUCUUGAUUAACUGCUGUCAAAAGAAAGAAAAAGAAAAAGACACGAGUUAGUACAAAUUAAAGUAAUUCGAAUGCACGUUCUAUUGGGGGAGCCCUUUUUGUGCCAAGGGUAGCCCUAACAUGAGAAUGCAAUCCUUUAGGGUAGGCACGUACAAUACCUGAUGAAUCCGAUCAACUUAUUGAUAUUCAAGUGAAAACCAAUUUGAAAGAAUUUGACCAAUUGGAGUGAGAAAACACAUAUGUCCUAACAAAAUGAGAACAAAGUCCGAAUGGAUUGAUUACUUUGAUUAAUACUUAAAGUGAUGUGUGAAAGAGCCUACUCUUGAAAGGAUUGCAAUGCCUUGACUAGUUUAUUUAGUGAACCUUAGAUCGAAACCCUAAAAGAGAAUAAACGGGUCAAAUAGAUCGGAUGAAAUUGAUGAACUUUGCUGGAUCGCCCUAAAAAUGGGUAAACUGGUCAAAUGGAUUAAAUGAAAUUGAUGAUUUAUUCAAAAUUCACUGGAUCACCCUAAAAAUGGGUAAACUGGUCAAAUGAAAUUGAUGAUUUAUUCAAAAUUGAUUGGAUCACCUUAAAAAAUGGGUAAACUAGUCAAAUGAAAUUGAUGAUUUAUUCAAAAUUGACUAGAUCACCCUAAAAAUGGAUAAAUUGGUCAAAUAAAAUUGAUGAUUUAUUCAAAAUUGACUGGAUCACCCUAAAAAAUGGGUAAACUGAUCAAAUGAAAUUGAUGAUUUGUUCAAAAUUGACUGGAUCACCCUAAAAAAUGGGUAAACUGGUCAAAUGAAAUUGAAGAUUUAUUCAAAAUUGAUUAGAUUGUCCUAAAAAUGAAUGAAUGGAUUGAGUUAAUGAUUUAUUAAAAAAUGACUAAAACUUGUUCUAAAAGUGAAUUGAUCUAAUGAUUUUGUGCUAGUGCCUCUUUCUUCUUUUUUUUUCAGUUGGCCAAAACCUACUUGGCUCGCGACUUUCCUUUUUUUUUUUUUGAGUUGCUGAAGCUUUCAGCAAUGGCAUACAAUAGUAGCGGCUCUCCCCCUCCCCUUCUUUUUUUAUAACUUUUCAACAUAUUUGGGUAAACCCUAUUCAUCCCAUAAUUAAAAUUUAAUACUCUAAUCCUACUAAUCCAGAUAUGAAUCCUCCUAAAUCUCUCAUACAAGCAUAUAUAUAUAUAACAUAAUACAUAGCCGUAAAAUCUUUAGAAUAAUUAAUGCGACUAAUUGAACUUAAAAGAGAAGUUUUCACGUGAAUUUGGGACUUACAGGUUUAGGUGCCUAGUUGCCCAAUUGAUUGAUAGCGACGUCAUCUUCUCCUUCUCUACUUUCUGACGGCUCUUGCUCUAAGGGGAGGCAGACAAUGAAAGGUAGGAAUGAUGUUUUUUUUCUUUGUUAUUUUGAUAAGUGCGCUAAACCCUAAUAACCACCCACUAGUAGAUGGGUUAGAUAAGAGUUUAAAUGUUAUGAACUUUUACUCUAUUUUAUCUCAUUUCUAUCCUCCAAUUAACCCUUUAAUCUAUCCUACACUUACUUUUACUUUUACUCAUAGUAAAUUACCAUUUAGUUAAUUGGGCAAGAAUUAAAAAAAAAUGAGCCAAAACCGUGGGUUUUACAUUCUACCCCCCUUACAAAAAGUUUCGUUCUCGAAACUUACGUACAUUGAUAAAAAAGAUAGGAAUAUCUAUUUUGCAUGUCUUCUUCUAACUCUCACGUUGCCUUUCGCAGUGUAUGGUUCAACCAUUGUACCUUCACGUAGGGUAUGGUCCUUCUUCUUAGAACUUGAUCCUUCCGAUCCACGAUUCUUAAAGGGACUUCCUCCACUGACAAGUUCUCCCUCACCUCGAUGGGUUAAUUCUCGGGUCUGACACAUACUUUCUUAGUUGGGAGACAUUAAAAUCGUUAUGUAUCCUGAACAGAACAAAUGGAAGAGCCAGUCGAUACGCUAAAGGUCCAACUCUCUCCAGUAUUUCGUAAGGUCCUAUAUACCUUGGACUUAACUUGCCACUUUUUCCAAACCUCAACACUCCUUUGGUGGGGAAUACUUUCAAAUAUACCUUUUCUCUCGAUUGAAAUUCUAAAGGCCUUCUCUGUAAAUUCGCCCAAUUUCUUGUUUCGGUCCUGAGUUACUUUUAGUCUCUCUCAAAUAACUUUAAUCUUCUCCAAGAUUCUUUCCACCAAAUUGGGUCCGAUGAUCAACUUCUGAUAGGUCAUAAUUUGUUGCUAAAUUUAUAAUUAUUUUCCCUUUGAUUUUUAGCCAAAUAUUAUUUUAAUUGUCGAAUUCUACUUAUAUUUGGUGUUUUAUAUUAUUUGCAGGGCAUUGGAGUAAAAAGUGCUAAAGAGAGGUAAUUUUCUUAGAGUUGAUUGUCAAGCGUAAGUGUUCCAAUUCAAGAUGGAGUCUAUGUGGAGCAUUGGUUGAAGAUCAGGAAACUGCCACCUUUUAUUAGAUAUUUUAUUAGGGAAUAAUUAGCAUUAUUUUUUAGAAGGUUUCCCUUUUUCAAUUAGAAUUGGAGUUUUAAUUCUUUUGCGGGCCUUUAGUUAGUGGAGGCCAAGAUAUUAGUACUUGAUAGGAAACAAAGCAAAUAAGAGGAGAAAAAGCCGGAUCCCGCAGGAUGAGGACUCAGCUAGGUAUCUCACAUGAUUACUACUUGGCCAGGGAAUAAGAAAAGAGAAGAAGGCAACCGCUUGGCUCUCUGCUCCGCAGAGUAGUUCUUUUACUAUCGAACAUUGACGCAAUUUCGUGGAGGGGACUUGCGUGAGUUACUCUCAAUGGAGAGUAACUAAUCUUGUUUUCUAGUCAAUGGACAAUUGAAGAUUUGGUUCAACAAUAACUGUGAGAUCUAAAUUAUUUUAAUUGUUUCCUUCAUUUAUUGGUAUUUGUAUACUUUCUGCUUUUAAUUGUUGUUAUAACUAUCGUGUAUAAUUGAAUAAAUGCGCAAUAUUUAAUUAUUCACGUAGGCUAUUUGCUAAUUGAGGGUAGUUGAAUCCGUAAUUGUUCGAUUACCUCUGUCCUAGUAGCAACUGGCAUAAUUGGAUUUAUGUCAGGGAAACAUACGAUCUAAUUUAAAUAAACCGUCGUAGCGUGUUUAUUAGUUAGGAUUGGGCCUUUCUAAACCUUAAUGCAAUCUAGAAAUUAAAUCCUACGGUCAUACCUAGGGUUGUUUCUUGGUUAGAAAAAUAGUUAAAGGUCGUACCUUAACUAUCGAGAAAUUAAGAAAAGGCUGGUUGUUUAUCGCGUGUAUGACAACUAUAACCGAUCUAUUGAUAACUGUUGGAAUUAUAUUUGCAUCGAUGAUCAGUUGCAUGAACCAUUUCUGAAAUGUAUCCUUGGCUAGAGUCUCUGCAGUUAUUUCUGUCAAUUAAUUAUUUUUUGCAUUUAAUUUAUUUAGUUAGCAUUUAAUCCAAAAAUCCUCCAUGCUCUGAACUCUAGAAGAAAUGAAUUAUCCCCAAUCCCUGUGGAUUCGACCCUACUCACCGCUAUAUACAAAAUUUGUAUUUUUCUCGAGUAGGUAUUUAUUAUUGCACAGGCUCGACACCUGUCAAUUUUUAGUGCUGUUGCCGAGGACUGGUGCCUGAUUAAUUUGUUUCUUUUUGAGUUAAUCUUGUUUUCAAUUUUUUUUAUUUUUCUCUUAUUUUUUUUAUAUAUAAUUUAUGGCUGCUAACAUUCCGUAUUUUGGUGAUAGACUGAAUUUUAUUUCUAGAAGGGGUUAUGAGGCUUAUGCUUUUUCUAAUAAUCAAUGGACUGCUACAAAUUGUGAAAUUUAUUUUUUCUCAAAUCAUUCAAUCGACAUAUACCAUACAUUUCAAGAUGGUCUAAGUGUUCCAAUUGAUACUUUUGGAGAUUUUUUACCUCAAUAUCAAACGUGGUAUGACCCUUAUUCAAAUGGGUAUGAGCAAGGGUGGUGGGAUGAUUCCAAUUUUAAUUAUGAACAAAGGCCAAUAGAUUUUCAACAGUUAGAGUCUCAAGAACUGUCAUCCAUGUCAGGUAUGUCUCUUAAAGAAAUAGUUGAAUUAAUAGCUACUAACACAUAUCAAAUUCAACAGGAGACACAUCAAAUUCAACAGGAGACAAUGGAUUUUCAUCAGGAGACAAUGAUUUUUCAUCAGGAGACACAAGCGAGCAUGCGUAACCUGGCAGAUCAAGUUAAUCAAUUGACAUAUAGGAUAACACAAUUGACUUCUCAAAUGUGUGAAGAAUUGCCCUCACAGACUAUUAUAGAUCAUGAGGAAGAUGAGAGUGCAAUUAUCCUGACAAAUGACAUGGAGCUGCAAGAAUCUCAAGAAGAAGAAUCUAAAGAUGCAGUUGAAAAUGGCAUUGAAGUGCAAGAAAUGAGACCUCAAUAUCAAAUUGUUCAAAUGAAUGAAUCCAGUGAACAAUCUCCAAAUGCGGUGACAUCUCCUCCAUUUCUUAAUCAAUAUCCUCAUGACUCUUGUUCUUUAAUUCCUGUUAGUGAGAUUGAGUUUAUUAUACCAGACGAUUUUGAGUUUCAUGAUAGGAAUAAGUUAAGAGUUACAAUGACAGAAUAUUUCGAACCAAUAAGUGCUCGUGAUGGAGGAGUGAGUGAAGAUUUAAGGUCAUCACUUGUUUGUUUGGCGCCAUCUACUAAUCCAUGGAAGACCGUAUCUCGUGUGUUUAAAAAUUACUCUAUUUACGAGAGAUAUCAGGACUACAUAGAAGAUGAAGCGCUGAAACGAGUUACACGAUUUUAUCCUCCGUGAAUAAACAGGGCAAUGUCUAACCAAAGACAUUAAAGAAAGGCGCUGCUUGGGAGGCAACCCAAGGCCUUUGUUUUAGUUUCCUUAUAUUUUUGGAGUUUUUGUUAAGUGUUAGUUGCAUUUAGUGAUUUGUUUCUUUUGUGGCAGGAAGCUGGUAGUUGGGCGUGCCCGCGUCUAGUAAGCACACCUAAGGAAUGCAAGUAUUUUUUUGCGGUCAGAAGACUACUUAGUAGUUAGACGUGCCCACGCUUAAGGGAGGCAAUUUUCAUUUGCGGUCAGAAGACUCUAUAGUAGUUAGGCGUGCCCACGCCAAGUGGUCACGUGUAAGGAACUUAAUUUCUGAAAAUUGGUCAGAAGACUCUCUAAUAAUUAGGCGUGCCCACGCCAAGUGGUCACGUCUAAGGAACUUAAUUUCUGAAAAUUGGUCAGAAGACUCUCUAAUAAUUAGGCGUGCCCACGCCAGGUGGUCACGCUUAAGGAUCUUAAUUUCGGACGGUUGGUCAGAAGAUUCGAAGGCAGUUAGGCGUGCCCACACCUAACACAGGGGUUCCUUUAUUCAAAAAAAAGUCCCUCACUGCCUGUUCUCAUCUUUGUUCAAACAAAGGAUAAAAGGAAGAACCGACCAAUUUCACCUAUGUUAUAGCUGCUCGAGAUCCUCCAUUACGUGCUCAGGGAAGUUUCGUUGUCCCUUUUGUUUCGUAUUAUAUUCUUUAUCUCUUACAUUGGGGAUAAUGUAAGAUUUAGGUGUGGGGAGAGUAGUAUAUUGGUAUUUUAUUGAAAAAAUGCAAGUGUAGGCAUUUUUGUUGGAUUUUUUUUAUUCGACUUUGUCGAAUUUUAUCCAAUUUUUGCCUAUUUUUGUGCAUAUUUGUGAUUAUUAUUGAUAAACGAUGGUUAGAUGUCUCAAAUUUUUCUAUUGCUAAAAUUUUACACUCUAGGGUAUUGAGUAUGAUAUGGUUAAGUUUAAGGGUAUCUCUUUAGUGAAUAGUUAAGAUUUUGUGACUUUUGCACUUUUUGAUUAACUUCUCUAAGUAUUGUAAAUAUUUGUCUAGCAUUUUUUUAUGUAAAUUGGUUCAACUAUUAAUCUUGGUUCUCCAUGAUUAAGAAAUGAAGCGGGCUUGUGUGAUCUUUAAUUUUAUUUUUGAUGUUUAUUUGAAUCAUAUUUGGCUAUACUCCGCUAGUAUUGUUGCCUAGUAACCGGAGAUUUUCACCACAAGUGUUGACUUUCGCGUCAAAAAGUGACGAUAACUAUGAGUAUGUGGUCCCUUAGCGAUGAUGGCUGAAUAACCGGGCUCCUUCAUUUGGCCAAUGUCGGAGUUCGCGUCAAAACGCUUAAAUGACUAAAGACUAAGCAUUCCCCAUGAAGAAAAAAAUCAAUCAAGUUUGGGGAUAUUUUAGAAAAAAAGUGCUAAUAGUGAAAAAUGUGAAUGAAUUGUUAGCCCGCUGAUCCAUGAAGUUUAAUGUUGAGAUUUUGCUUAAUAGUCGAACCAUUUACUUAUGGAUGCUGGUUGAAUAUUUUAUAUUUUUAGAUUAGUUGGUCAUAAAUUGAAAGAGUCAUUGAUCUUGAAAACUAAUUGGAGAGAUAUUUCUUGCAAAUUGCCCCUAAUACUUGACAUGUGUUUAAUUGUAUAUUGGCAACAGAAGAUUUGGGUAAUACCAUUGUUUGAAUUUGAUCACUUGAUUUGUGUUCUCAUGCUUGAGGACAAGCAUGGUUUAGGUGUGGGAGAAAUUGAUAGGUCAUAACUCUCUCUCAAAUAACUUUAAUCUUCUCCAAGAUUCUUUCCACCAAAUUGGGUCCGGUGAUCAACUUCUUACCUAUUUCAUCCCAAUAUAAGGGAGAUCUACAUUUUUGCCCAUAUAACAUUUCAACGAUGCCAUACCUAUUCCUCUAUGAUAGCUAUUGUUAUACGAGAAUUAUAUUAGUUUUACCAACCUAUCCCAACUAUCUGAAAAGUCUAGAGCACAAGCUCUCAGCAUGUCCUCCAGUGUCUGUAUGGUCCUUUCUAACUGUCUGUCCAUUUGGGGGUGAAGGGCGGUAUUUAGUCUUAGAUCAAUCCCCAUAACCUCUUGGUAGGUCAACCAAAAUCUAGACAUGAAUCUAGGAUCCCAAUCUAGCACUACUUUCACAAUUCAUUUUUAGACUAGAUAUCACAUUCUCUCCCCCUAAAAAGGUUUCAUCCUCGAAACCUAAAAGAUAUAAACAUCAAAAUAAGUUAACAAAAUUCCCAAUAUUCUUGCAAUACAUCUUAGGAAUUAUUCCUACAAUGUCUAAAUUGGAUUUUCUUAUUUAAUUCCAUCAAACUUCUGCUGCACACUCUCAUUUUUCUCAAUACCUCUCAUCUUCAUAUUUAUAGAGAUCAGAUGAACAGAAUAUCUCUCACAAAUCCAACAUUCUAAAUAUUAGCUUAUAAUGCUACAUAGAGAUCAACCUAUAGAAAGGAUGCCAAAAACACUAACAUUACCAUUUCUUCUUUUGUCAUACAUUUUUUCACAACUUACUUAUCCACUAUUGCAAAAAGUAAUCAUUAUCUCGAUAUAUGGGUUCCUGCCUAUUGUAAUUGGUAAUGAAAAUCUCUUAUUUCCUUCAAAUCCCAUAUCUAUCUAAUUUCAAAUUUCAAAAAAAAAAAUCAAUAAUACCUCAAAUAGCAUCACACCUAUUUUCAAAUCCUAUAACCUGAGUUGUUAUAUCACUAAAUGCCAUGGAAAUCUUAUUUCAUUUGAUCAUCAUUUUUUUUUAUCUCAAUUCAAUUUCCAAAACAAUAUUCAUAUUACGGUAGAACAUACCAAAACACACAAAAUUUUAUACAAAAAUUAUCGCCAAAUUCUCAUAUUUGAAUAUAAUAACUUCAUCAUAACUUUGGUAAAGUAUUUAUCUAUGCGUAGAAUUUCGAACUCAUACAAGUUUAGAAACCUGAAAGUGUUUGAAACACAUAAGUUAGUUAAUUGUACUUCUUAUACCAUUAGAACUUAGAGUACGAAGAGAAUUUAUUAAAAAUUAUUGUUAGAUUCUUUCUACAUGAUAUGAUUUUUUUUUUAUGUAGAACACGUUUAUCUAUAGCUCGUUUUGAGAUUGGAUGAGUAUCAUAAAGACAUUUUGUACAGGGUUCUGGGAUACAAUUAUUUAUGGUGAUUAUUCACCUUUAUUGUUAAUUUAUGUAUCUUUGUGUAUACAUAUUUAUAGAAAUUAUACUUAUUUGAUAAAGAUACUUAUUCAAAAAUCUUGAUUAACAUUUGUUCGUGAAAUAAUUUUUUUUUAAGACAAGAACUAUGUAAGAUUAUGUAUUCUAAGAAAUUUCUAACAUAUUUAUUGACCAAGCACAGUGUAAUAAUGCCAAUAAACUAAUUCAAUAAUUAUCUGGGGCAUGAGAUCUAAUCGUUGUAAAUCUCAAAAAGAGACAAGUCUAUUCACUCUUGGCCAUAUCUCCCACCGAAUGAGUACUAUUGCUAGACUUAUCAAUUUGUAUGGGAUAAGGCCAUACACCUGUUAGUUGUCACCAGUAGUGGUAAUAAUUCAAUUAGAGUAAAAUGGUACCAGCAUUAGUAGUACUUCUAUCCAGGUAAGAGCACUAUUUAUAGAGCUCUAUUACAAAAAGAAAAGGUUCGCAACAUUUCAUUCUUCAUCCUUUGAAAUGGUUUCAUCCGUGAAGCCUAAUCCCACGUCAAGAUAAGUCUAUAUAACAUCCCAUAUCGUUGUUACCCAUCGUGCAAUUAAUUCUACACAACUUAAACUGGGUCUCUUUAUUCACUCCAUCACACUUGCUACGUACUUUUAAUUCCUUGACACUUUCAAUUUCCUAUAGACAGUACUUCAAAUAUAUAUAAUAUUUCCUACACGUCCAACAUCUUAAACUUAGAUUGUACUACCAAAAUCAUAUUCAACAAAAGGACAUCAUAAACACCAAUAAUACCAUUUCAACUUAAAUAACACAUACAAAUUUUCAAGCCUAUUUAUUCAGUCACAAUUGAUCAUUUUCUAGUGUGUAUUUCCUCUAAAGAAUAAAUCGUACCCUACGCUCUGUUAUCACUAAAUAUUAUGGAGCUCUCUUAUUUCACAAUCCUCUAUCCAACCUCAUUCAAAUUUCUAAAAUCACUAAUAUUACAAACAUCAUUCAACAUACAUCUAGAUCGUAUAAUCUAAACUUUGAUAACAUUAAAUAUCACGAGAAUCUCUUAUUUCCUUUAAUCCACUUUUUUUUCAUCUCAUUUCAAUUCUUAAAGUUUCUAAUACCUCAAACACCAUUUACAUACUUCCGGAUCAUAUAACCUAAGCUCUGAUACCACUAAAAAUGUCAUAGGAAUCUCUUAUUUCCUUUUAUCUGUUUUUAUUUUCAAAAUCAUUAAUAUCUAAACAUCAUUUCUCAUACUCCCAGACCAUAUAACCUAGGCUCUGAUACCACUAAAAAUGUCACGCCCCGAGGCCGCACGCGCUAGUCAUGUGACAUUUGCCAUAUCAUCAAGUCUCGUUCAAGAAUACAAGGCAACAUCGAACUAGACUAAAUUCAAAAAGUACUAAAUAGUAUAACUAAAGAAAGUGCGGUACAAAUUUCCAGUGAAGGAUAGUCUACGAAUAUUCAAUAAGUUCGUACAUUUAUUCUCUAGUAGAAAUAGCGGAAACAAAAGUAAAUAAAACUAACAACUAGAAGUAGCUAGCAUGCUAACUUCUGUUAACUUAAAAACUAAUAAAAGUCCUCCUCAGGGUCUUCUACGUAAAUCAACUCAUACUUUUCAGAAUCUGCAAAGAUGGUAAAAAGUGGGUUGAGCGAAAAGUCGUUUAGUAGGUAAUAUCUACCCCUAUGUUGAACCAUGCACUCAUAACUUUAUAGAUACGUACAUAUAUAAAUCAAAUUAUUUUCACAUUAUUCACAUCAAUAAUCAUGAAAAUAAUGUUAUGGGUAAAACAAUUAGUAGUAACGAGUGACAAAGCAAUUUCAAAGCAUCUUAUUGGUAAUCGCAGAUGAAAGUCAUAAAGUCAUAGAUAAUUUCAUAUCAAUUCAUAAGUCUCUUCAUAUCAGCUCACAAUAAGCACAUGUAAUGACCGACUAUUGAGUACUCAGACUAGAGAUUAAACCCAUUAGGUGGGCGACCAAUAGGUUUCAUGACUACCGAUUGGUCUCAUUACAUAUAUGGGUCAAUCGACCGGACUCUAUACCAAACUACCAUGAUCUUGUCAAUCGGCCGGACUCUAUACCAGGAUACCAUGACCAUUAGACACGACUAUAACCCCUACCGUCUAUUCCAUGACUGUUUUGAGCUUUUCUUGACAUAAAUUCAUUUCACACGUCAUAUGCAUAGUUCUUGAUUUCAUAAAAGGUACAGCUUAUUUGGUAUAUAAUAACAUAUCAAGAAGUUUCAAAUAAGUCACAUGGUCCAUUUUUAUAUAGUCAAAAUAGAACUUCCUUAAACAGUCAAGUAAAUCAUUCAAUCAAAACAAUUCAAAUUAACACGUAAAAAUAUAAUCGAUGACAAAAAUUUUACUUUAAACUUUUGAAAUUUCAGAAGGAUAAGUACCAUCUACCUUUAUCUGGCUGCUCGAGUAAAACUACCUUAGAUCUUUUAAACUUGUAUCGUACAUAUCAAAUGCAUAGGUAUUCUAAUUAGUUGAUAUUUCUUAUAAAUGCAUAAAUAUACUAACUCUGAGUAAAUUUAAAAUUCAUGUCUAAACCAUUAUAUGAACCCUAGUAGAGUUUUUUUCCUAUAUUGAGAAGUUUCUAUUUUUGAAAAGUUUCUUAAUUUGGAAGGUUUUCCUUUUUUGUAAAGUUUCCUAAUUUAGAAAUAAUUAUUUGUAAUCACAUUUAUUAUCUUGACCAUUGUACGUAUUUAACUAUACAUAUAUAUUUAUUAUUAUUUUAUUAUUCAUUGUUAUUGUUGUUGUCCUUGUCAUCACUAUUUUAUUUUAUUAUCAUUUAUAUAUAUAUUUGUUAAUUAGUUACUAUUAUCUUUUGCUUUACUUCCUUUUUUUUUGCGCAUGUGUAGGUGUUAUUAUUAUUUAUAUGUAUAUAUAUUGGCUUAUUAUUAUAAUUAUUUCCUUAGUUUAUUUCACUUGUAUUUAUAUUUUCAUUUUAAUCUUUAAUUUACUUCAUCUAUAUCUAUAUUGUCAUUAUUAUUGUUAUUAUUUUAAGCAUUUAAAAGAAAUCUAAAACCUAUCUUAUAUUGUAUAACUUAAUCUAAUAGUGAUAGAUUAAAAUGUCUUAGAUUUCUAUUUAAAUACCUUAGGCCUAAUUAAAUAAGCCCGAUUGGCGAAAUCUUUUAAAAUAUUCACUUAAUUUAGGUUGGGUCUGGAAAUUUAGUUUCUAUGUUAGUCCAAAAAUGUGGGUUGAUUAUACCUAAAAUUUAAUUAUUGGACAUUCACUUAACCCAUAUUAUAUAUAUAUAUAUAUUUUUUCAGAAUCUAUUACUAUUAAUAUGAUUUUUUUUUUGGUUUCGGCCAACCUUUCUAAUGGAGCCUCUGUCGCCAGCACUUGCUGGCAGAUUUUUUUUUUUUUCUUUUGGUUGGCCGAAAGGUUUCGACCAACCUUUCUAAUGGAGCCUUAAGUGCUAGCGGCUCUUUCUUUUUUUUUUCGGUUGGCCUUUUCCUACUUGGUCCAUGUCGCUAGCCACUUGCUGGCGACUUUCCUUUUUUUUUUUUUUUGCAUUGCUGAAGCUUUCAGCAAUGGCGUGCCGCUGCUCUCCCCCUCCCCUUCUUUUUUUUUAUAACUUUUCAACAUAUUUGGGUAAACCUUAUCCAUCCCAUAAUUAAAUUUAAUACCCUAAUCCUACUAAUCUAGAUAUGAAUCCUUCUAAAUCUCUCAUACAAGCAUAUAUAUAUAUAUAACAUAAUACAUAGCCGUAAAAUCUUUAGAAUAAUUAAUGCGACUAAUGGAACUUAAAAGAGAAGUUUUCACGUGAAUUUGGGACUUACAGGUCUAGGUGCCUAGUUGCCUGGUUGAUUGAUAGCGACGCCUUCUUCUCAUUCUCUAAUCUCUGACGGCUCUUGCUCUAAGAGGAGGUAGAGAAUGAAAGGUAGGAAUGAUGUUUUUUUUUCUUUGUUGUUUUGAGAAGUGUGCUAAACCCUAAUAACCACCCACUAGUACAUGGGUUAGAUAAGAGUUUUAACUGUUAUGAACUUUUACCCUAUCUUAUCUCAUUUCUAUCCUCCAAUUAACCCUUUAAUCUAUCCUACACUUACUUUUACUCUUACUCAUAGUAAAUUAUCAUUCAGUUAAUUGGGCAAGAAUAAAAAAAAAUGAGCCAAAACCGUGGGUUUUACACUUAAAUAGCAGAAUUUUUCUUAAAUGGGUAAAAUACCAAAAAACUCCUUAUGGUUUACUAAAUGUUUAAUUUAACUCCCUCUGAUUUGAAAACCUACACUAUAACUCCUUGUGGUUUGAACUAAUUUGAAAAUUGGACGGAAAGUGUCCAAUCUAACUGCUAUAUGUGAAAUGUCAAUAUUGCCCCUGUAUAAAUGAACUCCCUAUAGUUUGUCGAAUGUUCAAUUUAACUCCCUCUAGUUUGAAAAAUUACACUAUAACUACCUAUGAUUUCGACUAAAUUGAAAAUUGAAUAGAAAGCAUCGUACAUAUAGUGGGGCAAUAUUGACAUUUCACACACAACCGUUAGAUUGGAUGGUUUCUAUACAAUUUUCAAUUUAGUGAACACCAUAGAGCGUUAUAGCGUAGGUUUCCAAACUAGAGGGAGUUAAAUUGAACAUUUAUCAAACCACAGGAAGUUUUUUGGCAUUUUACCCUUCUUAAAUCCGUGUACUAACUGGCUACACAUGUGUGUGAAGUGCAUUUGAAUUGACAGAAAAUCUAUCAACUGCUCAAAGAGAAAGCCACUUCACGCACAUACGUAGCCAGUUGGUAGACGGAUUAAUGAAAGAGAAAGGCACAACCAAUGAGAACGAGACACAAAGUAACUGGUAUGCAUAACACUGAAAAGUUGUAUUACUUCUUCCAUCCCAUUAAAAGUGUAAUACCUUCUAUUUUGAAACAUUCCAAAAUGUUUGUCAAAUUAAAGUCACUUUUGAUUUUUUUUCAAUGUUGUCCUCAUCUUUAUCGAUAUUUUAUACUAAAUUCAAAUUUAAAACUUGAAUUUUUAAAGGUAAUUUUGGAAACGAAUCCUCUAACAACAGUAUCAAUCCACUAUUAUUAAAAAGUUGAAAUCCUAAAAUGCAACAAACAUUUCUAAGAGAGUAUAAUUCAAAGAAUUAUAUGUCAAACGUAGGCACAACAUGUUUUGUCCAUGUGAAACGUGACACAUAACGUCCAAGCUGAAAUGAAAACGUGUUAGUAGCGUAGAGCACUAAUAGGCAGUGUUUUGAUACCUAAGUUGAAUCAGCCGGUUCAACCGGUUAGAUCGCGAACCAAUCACGGCUCCAGUCCUAGCACCUUCCACUUACAUCAUUUUCACACUUUUUUAGGGACAUUUGAGGGGAUGUUGCAGCAACAUUUUGGGAGCUCCAAGACCGCUUUUUCUUGAUUCUCUGGCAACAAGAAACAACUAGAAAUAUAGGAGUAAAGACUUAGUUUUCUUGAACAUAUUUCUCUAGUUUUUUUAGUUAGCUUAGUCUUUCAUUUUUCUUGGAGAAUUCUUGGAGAACUCUUGAUGUGCUCAAUAUUUUGAAGACAAUGAAGAUAAUGGAAAUUGAAAACUCUUGUUUCUUCAAUUGAAUGAGUAAUUUUUUCACUCCUUCUUUCUUUAUUGUUGGAUUUAUGUUUGGUUGCUGAUAAGUUACAUUUUUGUUAUUAAAUUUGUGAUUAUUUCCCCCUUGAUUUUAGCCAAAUAUUGUAUUAAUGGAUAAAUUCUACUCAUAUUUGGUAAUUUGUGCUAAUUGUAGGAAUAUGAUGAGAAAAGGAGUAAAAAAUGGUUUAAUGAAAAUUUUUAGCCAGUUCUUUGUGGGCCCGUUCAAAUCCUACUAUCAAGUCUCGGAGGCUCGAGAUUUUACUACGAGCGGUAGUAUCCCAGUUCGAAUGGAAGUUCUUCGAAGCAUGUUUCCUUAUCUGAGAUAAUUGGUCUUUCUUUUUGUAUUAAGAAACAAAUAGGUUAUAUUUUGUCAAUUUAGGGAAUCUCCUUUUCUUUGAAGAAAAUUAGGAAGUAUUAGUAGUUUAGGAGAGUAAGAGACGUGAGAACAAGGAAGUCUUCUUGUUUGCGUUGGCUUUAAAAAGUCAUGGUUGUUUUUAGCGAAAGGGGUGAUUAGUCUUGGCAGUCAGCACCAAGGAAGAACGAAGAGUUUUUCUCUUCGUCUUUUCUUUUCUAUUGCUCCUUCUGUUGUCGAACCUCAGGCAACUUUCGUCAACGAAAUUGCCUGAGUUAUUUUCAAUGGAAAGCAACUAAUCCCUUUUUCUAGUCAAGGGUCAAUUUGAAGAUACGGUUUCAAAUAUCUAUGAGAUUGAAUUAUUUUUAUUUAUUUCUUUUAUUCAUUAGUAUUCGUACGUCUUCUGUUUCAACUUCUUAUGAUUAUUUUGUUAUUUGAAUGUCAAGGACCCGAUAUUUGAAUUAAUCUAAUAAUCUACUGCCAUAUUAAUCAAUUAAAUUCGUAAUUGUUUGAUUGAUUAAUACUAAUGGCAACUAGCGUGAUUGGUUUCAUGUUAGGAAAACGUAUAAUCUAACUUCAAUGAACCUUCGUAGCGUAUUUGUUAGUUAGGAUUGAGUUUUUCUAAUUUUUAAUGCAAUUGAAAAAUUAAACCUAUGGUCAUAUCUAGAGUUGUUUCUUGGUUAGGAAAAUAAUUAAUGGUCGUGCCUUGACUAUUGAUAAACUAAGGAAAAGUUGGCUAUCAAAACUUAUUGAUGGUUAUAACCAAUUUAUUAAUGAGUGAUUAAAUCAUUCUUGCAUCAAUGAUCAAUUGUAUGAAUCGUAUCUGAAAAGUUGUACCUUUGAUUAGAGUCAUAUUUAUUGUUGAUUUAAUUCCUAUUUAUUUCAUUAAUUGUUUCUUUAAUUGGUUAGUGAGUUAUUUCUAAAUUGUCUAAAAAUUCCCCUUACUUUAGGCUCUAAAAAGAGACAAAUUUUUCUCAAUCCCUGUGAAUUCGACCCUACUCAUCACUAUAUACAAAAAUUUGUAUUUUAUUUGAAUAGGUAUUUUUUAUUGCACAAUCUCGACACCUCUCAGUUGCAUUAAAGCCUUAAGCUUUUCUAUUCUAUCUACUAUUUUUUUAUUCAAAAGGCAAUUUUAUUAAGUAGAAAGCAUGCACUUGUUUUUCAGAUAUGUAUGCAAAAUGUGGAAGGUUGGACCUAGCACGUCUAGCUUUCUUCAGAAUUUCCAAAAAAGACACUGUUUCUUGGAACUCGAUGAUUACUAGCUAUUGCUAGCAAUUGAUCUUUUCUAUCAGAUGGGUUUAGAAGGAGCAAAAUAUGACUCUGUUAGGAUAUCUGCAGCUCUUUGCACAUGUGCAGACUUACAGGCACUGCAUUAUGGCAAAGAAAUACAUGGAUUCAUGAUUCGAGGAUCAUUUAGCUCAGAUCUUUAUGCUGAGAGCGCAUUGAUAGACAUGUAUGCUAAAUGCAGACACUUAGAAUUAGCAUGUACUGCUUUUGACUUGAUGAAGUGCAAGAACGAAGUUUCUUGGAAUAGCAUAAUUGCUACUUAUGGGAACCAUGGACACCUUGAGAAUGCUUUGGCUCAACUGAAUGAAAUGAGGGAAAAUGGAUUCCAGCCUGACCAUGUCACUUUCCUCGCCAUAAUAACUGCUUGUGGCCAUACUGGCCAAGUUGAAGAGGGCAAGCAACUUUUUGAGUGCAUGACCUAAGAAUUUGGAAUUACAGCUCGAAUAGAACACUAUGCAUGCUUAAUAGAUUUGUUUGGCCGAGCUGGUCGUCUUGAAGAAGUACAUCAAGUGAUUAGGAGCAUGCCAUUUACUACAGAUGCUGGCAUAUGGGGCAUGCUACUCGGAGCCUGCCAUGUCCAUGGCAACGUUGAACUAGCUGAAUUGGCUUCAAAUCAUCUUUUUGACUUGGACUCGCAAAAUUCUGGAUAUUAUAUGCUCCUAUCAGAUGUGAAAGCUGACACUGAAAAGUGGGAAGGGGUUAACAAAGUAAGAAAUAUGAUGAAGGAAAGAGGAGUGCAGAAAGCUCCUGGUUACAACGCAAUCUCGCAACUCAGGAAUACGUGGUUUAACAAUUCUUCAUUCGGGCAGAAGAGACAUUUGGAUGGGAGGUUGAAACCAAACUAUUGUAAAAUUUCUGGAAAAGGCAGCAAGGAGUACAGCAGCUGCCACAUGAAGAUGGAAAUUUUGUAUGGUAGUCGUUUAUCCCAAAUCAGCAGAUGUGAGACCAUUGAGGCACCUUGUGAGCGCAGCUGCUGUAGUGCUGAAGAUAUGCUAAAGAGUCCAUUGGAUGAGGGACACCAUGCUAGACGAUCAUCACCAUUUGAGAUGGAGAUUUGGGGAGGUCCGAAUGUCAUGUAUCUCACUAGGGGAUAAGGCACUCUCGACAGCUUGUAAGUUCCAAGACCCAUUUUCCAAACAAUUGCUGACUUGCACUCCCGGGCAAGGGACAUAUGCCUUCCCUAUAGCAAGAAAGCCCAUACCCAACAAGUUUUCAAACCAAAAGGAUGAACGACCUGUGCAUAUCAACCAUCACGAGUGAUCCUCCGCAAAAUCUCGAGCUCGUAGCAAUCAUCGCCAUGUCUUCGAUCCUUUGCUGGACGUUGGUACCUGGAUUAAAUGUGACUAUUGCCCGUAUUUCACAGACAUGAAACGGGUCCAUAACGUAGAGGUAGUUCGUAGCCACCACCAAAGCUUGCAACUAAAUGCCUGCAGCACAGCGUCUAGUGCCAUGAACCCUAAGCCAUCCUUCUCGACUGGUUUACAUAGUUCUUCCAUUCCCUCUAAUGUCUCCUCUCCUUCCCCUCGACCUAGCCAUAGAAGAAGGUAGCAAAAAUGCAUUCCAUUUUUCGUAAAGUCCUUGUUGGGGGCUCCAAAACAGCCAUGAUAUGUUGGGGAAUUGACAUCAGGACGUGCUUGAUAAGCAAUGCGCGACCCCCAGCUGAUAAUGCCUUGGUUUUCCAGCCAACUAGCUUCAUUCUCAUUUUUUCAAUUAUAUGCUGAAAAUUCACUCGACUUGGUCUGCCUUUUGCUAGCGUGCAGCCUAGCUAUUGAAAAGGUAACUGGCGAACUUUAACAUCUAGCCAUUGGGAUAUCUGUCAUGAUCUAGCCGUCGAGCAUCGUAAGAAGAUACUCCCUCCCUUUUUUUAUAACUGACGUUUAAGAAAUUUGCUCUAGUGUACUUUUAUCUAUCAUUUUAUUAUCCCCAUACAGCAUUAAUUACUUUUUCACAAUUUUACCCUUUUAUCUCUCUGGUAUUAAUACACUCUCAUGCAUUGCUUUUGGCCUAGUAAAACAGCACCAUUUAGUACUAUAGUGAGAGAAAACAUGGGUGAAUUGGACAAUUAAUGAGGAUACAAAAGGAAAGUAGUGUACAGAUUUAAGCAUUGAAAAACUUUUCUUAAUUAGUGUGCAAAACCUUAAACGUCAGUUAUAAAAAAAGGGAGAGAGUAAUAAAGAAGCACUUGUCUUUAUUGAUUUGCUGCCCCAAGCCCAGUUGAUAAGUGUCAAGAAACUCUAGUAGUGAUUUGAUGUCUGUUUAGUGCCCCUUCAUAAAGAGCAAGACAUCGUCGGCAAAGCUCAAAUGUGCAAUUGGGAUACGUUCCCUCAGGAGGCCGAAUGGAGAGAGUUUACCCGUCGAGAGUAGGGCAUUCAAGCCUCGGUUGAAUGCUUCAACAACUAGUAGGAAUAAGUAUGGGGAGAGUGGAUCUCCUUGUUUGAUUCCCCACUCACCUUGGAAGAAGCCGAAGGGCUUGCCAUUGAUAAGUACUGAAAACCAUGCUCCUUGAAGAUUGUUCAUGACCAAGGAAAUAAACCAGCCACUAAAUCCAAAUUUACAUAGCAACUUGGAUAGAAAUUGCCAGGAUACGAAGUCAAAGGCCUUCAUCAUAUCCACCUUGGGAAUCAUGUUGUGGCCUCGAGUUUUUGUGUCUAUCGAUUUCAACAAUUCUUGGGCCAGAAGGAUAUUGUCUGAUAUUUCCCUCCCGUCGACAAAAGCAGAUUGCUCCAAUGAUAGUAGAGUAGGCAUCAAUGGUUUCAUUCGCAUACAAAGAAUCUUCGUGAAUACCUUUUUUAGGAAGGUGCAAAGACUUAUUGGUCUAAACUCGGCAAAUGUCUGCGGCUGUUCUUUUUUUGGUAGCAGUAUGAUUAAGGUGCUGGCAAUACUUUUUGGUGUUGGAACCCCACAAAAAAACCCUCGACUGCUUGCAACAGGUCUUGAGCUAUUAUGUCCCAACAAGUCGUGUAAAAGAACCCCGUAAAACCAUCCACCCAUGCUGCACUUUGGCCAUCCAAUGCAAAAACAGCCUUUUUGACUUCCUCUAAUGUAACUUCGCUCGUUAAAUCCUCGUUUUGUUGGUGUGUAACCGGCCUUGGAAUCGAAGCCAACAAUUCUUCAAUUGCUGGCUCACAAUUAGGAGUGUUUUGGCAGGACAACAAGUUUCUGUAGAAAGUUGCUGCACUCUGACCUAUAGCCUCCUCGUCUUCUAACAUGUUGUCAUCUGCCUCCCUUACUUGACGAAUUGAGAGGCAUGCUCGCUUGGAUAUUAGAGUGGAAUGGAAAAUUUUUGUGUUGGAAUCUCCCUCCUUUAGCUACCGUAUUCAUGUUUUUUGUUUCCAGAACAUUUCCUCAUCAGCGUCUUAAGUAGCCUUGCUUGUGUGCGGCUCUAUUGGGUCCUCGCCUCUUCUGUCCCUUCCUCCUCCAGCAAGAUCUCGCACGCUCUAACUUCUUCUGCUGCUGCUGCUACAUCCUUGAAAACAUCUCCAAACAUGUCUUUGUUCCACUGCUGAAGGUCAUGUUUGAGGCGCUUGAGCUUGAAGAAGAAAGCGAACAUGCCAUAGCCUUGAACAGCUUGCUCCCAACUCUGGUGAACCGUGUCAAAGAAUGUUGGGUGCUGGACCCACAUAUGCUAGAAUUUGAAUAACUGUGGAGCAGGGGCGCUGUGUUGCUUAACUUUCAUCAAAAGGGGCAAAUGAUCCGAUCCUGUUCUAUUCAAAAGUUGUAGCGAGUUAUCUUGAAAACACUAUAGCCAUUCUAAGUUUACUAGUAGUCCAUACCAUUCUAAGUUUACUACCAUCUGAUUUACAGUGAACUUGGUCAACACAAAGUUUAUUCUAUCAAGGUUACAAAGAAUAAAAUUGCAUCCAUUUUUCAGCUAAGGUAGGAACCCUGAAUAAGCUAGCUAGCUAUCUAGUUUGUUUCAGAUAACAAGCAAUGAGCAUCUGAUCAUCAAAGAGACACAGAAAUGAUAACCUCAACAAUCAAGUCGUUUAUUGCCAUCUCAAGUAAGUCUAUGGUAUUCAGGUCGUCGAAUUCAUCUCCUUUACAAAUGCAAGUAAGGAGCAUUCGACCACGAGAAAGUAACUUUUCCGAACGAAUCCUUAGAAAUGUGGGCGAGCGGACGACUUGCUUUGGAAGAGUAAAUGCUCCCUUUGUUCGCACUGAUCCCCAAUUCAAUCACCAAACCGUUGGGAACCUGCAGUCUAAAGCUAGUAACUUAUAUAGUUGGAUCAUUUUGUUAGUGUUGCAUAUGGGAAUAUAAAUCAUGAGCCACGAAUUAAAUUGUUAAUCUCAUUUCUUAACUACAAUAGUUUAUCUCAUUUAAUUGUUAAUCAUGCUUCAUUUAAAUGCAUUUAAUUAGUAAAUUUUAGGAAUUUUAUGUUUAUUCAUAUUUCUUUAUAAUAAUAAAGUGAAUUUACUAGAUGUUUGUAUUUUCUUUUAAAUUGUUAAUUAAAUUGGUACCUUGACUAUUUUGUUGGUUCUGGAGUAUAAAUAAGGCAAAUUCUACCUCAUUUAACCACUACUUCAAGGGAGAUACUUUUUAUUAUUAUUUUAAGUUCUUUUAUGUGCUCCUAUGUGUUUUUUAUAUGUGUGAUUGCGUGUUUUAACUGUCUUUUCUUUUAUUUUAUCUUAUUCAUUUUUAGCUUUCAUUUAUUUUAUUUAUUUAAAUUUUGAUGAUUAUUUGGAAGGUAUUUAAAAACCAAAUUGUAAUAGAUAGGUGUCCAAAAAAUGUAUUCAGUUAGGCCAUGUAAUUAGUUAGAUAGAUUUUAUUUUCACCGAAAUUGUAAUUAGUUAGAUAAAUGUAAUAGAUAGGUUUAUUAUUUUCAAAAUUCCCCUUCUACAUUGUAAUUAGGGUCCCCAAUAUAAUAGUUAGUUUUUAUUUGCUUCCAUGCUUGUGCGCUUAUGUAUUUUAUUCGUUUUUUCUAGGAUUUUGUAUCUAAAUAUUAUGCAUAUGUGCUAUGUGCUCUACAUACUUUAUAUGUUUUAUGGGUUUUAAUUAUGUUUUAUAUGUUUUAUUUAUUUAUAAUAAAUGCAUGACGUCGCCGCACUAGUCCAAUACUAGUUGUGACAUUUCUCCCCGAUUUCUCACUAGUCCAAUGCUAGUGAGAACUUGUAAAAAUGGGUUAGUCCAAUACUAGACCUUUUAGAUAAUUUUCGCGCUAAAUUCAUACAUUGUGUGACACUUAUUGCAUCUCAUGUAUUUUUUUCCUAUUUUUAGGUUAUUUUCAAUUGGAUGACAUUUCCCCUACUAUCAUUCCUUUACCCUCUAUAUAUUUGGACCAUAUCAUUUAGAAUUGCAUUUCAUUCUAGGAAAUGAGAAAUAGACUAGUCCACUUGGUUGACAAGGUUAAGAGAGUCACCCUUCGAAUAUGAGAAAUGGGUGAGUAUGACUUUUUAAAUUUAGCACGCUAUUACCCCUCUAUAAGAAGAAAAAUUGAAUCACGAAUUUUAGUCUCUCAUACCCAUUAUAUUGCAUUCCCCUUUUCUAGGUCAUGUACAUUUAUCUAUGUUAUAAUUUCCUUUUUGAGUCUCAUCUUUUGCACUUUUCAUGAUCUCUUCAAAUAAUCAUUUCUGGACAUCACAAUUAAUGUGAUUAGUACCAAUUAAAUUUUGAAGAGACAUUUUGACCCUCCCAAUAUCCUUUAGAUCUAGAUUUGCAUCCAUAUAUAAACAUCCAAAAUGUGAUAAGUUUUAUAUAUUAAAUUAGAAAAAAUUUCGACUAAAUCUCGCAACUACUCUUAGUUAGGUUGAAAGAGAGGCUUAAAUUGAAUAUUUGCCUUCCCUUUCUUCAAACAUGAUUCCCGAAUUCUUUUAUUUUAUUUUCAAAGAUUUGGAGUCCUCUAAAAGGGUUUUAUUUAUUUUUAUUUAAAAUAUAUUUUUGGUGAGUUGAUACACCUAAACUCAAUACUAAGUGCGCGACUCUACUCUUUUCUAAAAAAUCCUUUUUAGACUAUUAUUUUGGACUCAAACCGUCGCAUAUUUUAAGUUCCAUUUUAACCUUUUUUUUAUUUAUUUUUUAAAAUCAAAAACUCUUUUUUUUAACACUAUUUUUUCUUUUAUUUUCAAGAAUAAGGUGCGACAAACCCUAAACUAAACGACAUUCCAUGACCUCAAAAAGUAAUCCACAGUGGAUUUAAGGAUGGGACGUUGAGAUUCACAUGCUUAUUAUGCUUGUUGGCUGGCAUCAGUUGCGUCUAUAGUUGGAGCACCCAUUAUUGUGUUUGUCUUUGUCCCCGAUCAAACUAGGCCCCAGCUUAGCAUCUUCCGCAGGGCGUCACCUGCUGAUGUACCCUUCUGUCUGCAGUCUGAGAUUCACAUGCUUAUUAUGCUUGUUGGCUGGCAUCAGUUGCGUCUAUAGUUGGAGCACCCAUUAUUGUGUUUGUCUUUGUCCCCGAUCAAACUAGGCCCCAGCUUAGCAUCUUCCGCAGGGCGUCACCUGCUGAUGUACCCUUCUGUCUGCAGUCUGGCUCUUACCAUUAUUUAUGACACUGACUUUCCCAUACCAUUUGCAUUUUCUGUGGUGAGAAUUUUUCUACGAGAAUUAUCUCAUUGUUUUUACUUUUCCUUUUUUUUUUCUCUCUUUGUUUUUUUGGAGAAUAAUAAUGUAUUGGCAUGCUUUUUUAAAAUCUGAACCAUGAAAAUAUUCACAAGUCAUUCAUUUAUCGUGUUCUGCUUCUUUUUUAUAUGUUGGAACUUAGAGAUGGAAUAACUGAGAAUUGAGCUUGCGAGAUACUAACAAAAGUUUGAAUGUCUUUCAAGAUAAAGUGACACUUCCUUCAAAAAGAUAAAGUGACACUUAGCGAAUGAAUAAAUGACAAUUGAGUAUGCCAUUUACUAAGGAAAAGCCUAAUGUAUUUGAAGACAAAGUGACCACUUUAUGAAAGUUAUUCACGAAUGAUAAAAUCAGAAGUUGAGAUACGGGGAUAGGUUACGACUACGGUAGAAAGUUCACUUUUCUUCCCAUAGCAGGCAGAAGCAAUGCAAGGAGGCCAACUGUGCUUUGUGGGACGCACGAAGAAGGAUAUCCGGACAACACUGAGAAAGCCGGUUGUGCGUGAAUGAAAAAAUAUAAUACAUUUUAAAAUCACAAUAAAAGUUCUCUUAAAAAUUUAUUUAUCAUCUAAUGCCCAAUACUUAUAUUUGUUAAAUUAAAACAGUUAAUUAAAUAUUUUAUUAUAACAUAAACAACUAUAUGUCAUUGAGUUGAUUGAAUAAUAUUUUCUUUUCUUUUUUUGGCAUUUCAACUAGUUGUCAAUUAAAUUUCAAUUGAAAUAAAGAUUUUAUAAUUAUUUAAAUUAUUCAAUAAAAUUAUCAAUUUAAGAUGAACAUAAAUAUAUGGGGAUAAGAUCAUAAGGCUAGAAAAGUUGAGAUAUGGGGACAAGACUACUAGUAUUUGAGGUACCCUUGCGUAUUUGUAGAAGCCCGGUGGGUAAAAUAUAUAUAUAUAUAUGUAUGUAUAUGUGUGUGUUUGUUUAAUGCUUAUUUCUAUAUAUGUGUAUAUAUAAUGCUUAUUUAUGUCCACUUGUUAAGUUUUUAUAUGUUGUUCUUUUUAGUUUAUGUCAGCAUAAUGGUUAUUAUUUUUAGUUAAAUUUAUUAACCAAACAAAAUGUACCACAUUUCAACAUGUUGCACACGUUGAAAAAAAGACUUCCAACAACAUCUUGAAUUUCAAUUUUUUAAUAUGGUAAAAUUAUUUUGGUACUUAAAUUUUCAAGUCCAUAUCAUCUCAACUCCACCGACGUUGGAUUCCUCAACUUAAAGCUUAAAAACUGAAUGCUUUUCUUUCAAUUUCUAUGUCUCAUGGUUUUCUCGUGGUUUCAAUGAAAAAUAAAUAAAUAACAAAGCUAUAUAUGUUUCUAAAUUGAUAUCACAAGAGAGAAGAAAAAAAAGGUACUGAAAGGGUGAAUUUAUCAAUUUAUUAAUUUGAUUUUGAUUUUUUACUAUUGACCAUUCAUCUUAACAGAAGAGCUAAUGGUGACACUUUACCCAAAUCAUGAGAGCUUAUAUAUAGUUUUUUGAAGUAGGGAGAGUUAUGUGAUAAAUCACCAAAUUACAAGGGGGUAAAAGGUAAUUUACACAAAAAAUCAUCAUUCCGAGACUUCCCAUACAGUCAUACACGUGAUAUCGGACAACUAUUUAGUGCAGCUGUAUUUUGUGCAGUUGUAUCUGGUUGUUGUGCGUGUUCAAAUAUACAUAUGAAAAUAUUGUACUAAAUAUAUGUCAAAUAUCUUAUUCUUAUACACCACUUUUAUUACGAAUACAAAACAAUAAUAUAAUAUUAUUAUACACUAAAUAAUAUAAAAAGUACAAUACCCGAAAGACCCCCAACGGCACUAAAUCCUUUCCCCAACACAAAAACCAACUAAAAACAAACUUUUACAUGUCUGGCUUCUCUGGCUUUUUGGCGAGAGAAAUGAUAAGAUUAUUAUAGUAGGCUUUGCCCAAGGGGAGAACCUUUGCUGCAUGCUUCGCAAACCUGUGGAAUAUGUCAGGUAUAAUAGCUUCUCCAAAAUGACUUGCGAGGAUGGGUUCGUAAACUGCUCUAACGGAAGAUGCAACAUACUCUGCUUUAAUAUGUUCAUCGCUGUAUACUUGGACAUGGGAUCUUACUGGGUAAUUAUCAUCAAUAGAGAAGCCAGCAUCAUAAAGGACCUUAAAAGUCUCCAGGUAUAAAAUUUCAAAAGAACCUUCCUCCUCAACUAUGCACUUUACUUCUUCUGCUGAAGGUAUAUAGACUGGAAGAUUGAAACUAUCCAAUUUUUCUUCCUCCAG
rnacentral:lncRNA from 1 species